rnacentral:lncRNA from 1 species
GAACCAACCCUGGUAACCUUCUAAGCACGCUGUGCUUUUUAUUGCGCUAGCUUUUUAUUUUAUUUAUUCAAUCGACUACACAACAUGAGGUAGUCCUCUAUCGAUACAAGCGAUAUUGAAGGGAGGGGAAUCAAACCCAGGAAGUAGUCCUAUUGGCCUUUAUUUUUUAUUUUCAGGCUGCACUGCUUAGUCAUUCUAAAUAUGCUUUUAGUUGCAUAGAUAGAAGGAAACUAAGAAGAGCAAUUAAUGAACCUAAUUAAAAUUGGAGAGCUAGCAGGAGAGAUUAGUGCCAGGAUCAACGCUAAGUUGGGUGCAAUAAUCAGUAUAAUAGUUGAUGCGGGCUUGAACUAGGGCAGGCUGUUUGCCAUCACAUUCCACAGCGCCAUUAAUGGCUCGAAUUGUGGCUCCAAAUCCUUGACUUAUAACCGGACGAACAUUGUUUAUCCAAAACCACAGGGCAGUCUUGAAUGCAAGAACGGGGUCUGAGGCCACGCUUUCUGGCGAGUUUAAGCCGUCGAAUCCAAUGCUGUUUCCAGCAGCUCCAUAGUUGUAGUUCCACGUUAGCUGGAGCGGUCCACGACCAUAGUACUGUUUGUUGGGGUUGCAUGGAUAGUUUGUAAAGCUUGGAUCGCAGUAGGUAUCUUUGUUUAUCUCUUCUAUGUAGCAGAAAUCUGAUUUAAACAAGACAAAAAAGAAUUUAGUUGUUAGGGUAUUAAUUAAUUAACUGUCUUCUUCUUCUUAUAUUUUUUUUAUAAUAAGGAAACAGAAAUUAUAAAGCGAAAUCCAAAGAGGUCAAAAGAUACGUGUCUUCAUUUACAAAGCUACAAAAGAUGAAAAAAAAAACAAUAAUGUUGUGCUUAUCAUUAAAUUUAUUUGGUAAUUACUGAUCUAAUUAAUCACUAAAGAUUGUAUCCUAAACAAAGGGUGACAAUGAUAACUUGUAGGUUAUCAUUAUAUACAAAUUAAAGUAUAAUAAUGAUGAUAUUCACAAGAACUUACCUCGCACACACAUGUAUAUAAAUCUACUGAGUAAUGGUGAUAUUCACAAGAACAAAAAUCAAGCUGAUAAAUUGUCCAAAUUGAUAAGCAUCAUAUGCUAGUGUAUAGAGAACUUACGCCCAGUCUCAUGAGUGACAUGAGCAAAGAAAGCUGCGAUUUCGCGUUUAGAGUCGUCAGCCGUACCGAACCGACCGAAAUCAGAAUAUGAGUUGACAGCAUCCAGAAAAGCUUGUCGUGUGUAGAAGUUCUUCCCAGCACAAUCUGCAGCAGCCUGGUUAAUGAUCCCAUCAAAGAAUGCCUGGGUCACAACAUCAGCCACUGGAGCUUGAGCUCUUACAUUUCUGGGCAGGGCUCCUCCGGCUACAAAUACAAGGGCAAUGAGGCUUAGUAGUCUAUAGCUAGCCAUUUUUCUGUAGGGAUAUGUAUGGGUAAAGGAUGAGAAGUGAAGGUUCAGAUGAGUUGGGUAUUUAUAGUGAAAUUUCUAGCUUUUCUAGAAAUUUAUGCACAUCUCUUGAGGACACACGUAUGGUUCGAAAUUUUCUUGGACCUUGACUUGUACACAGCAAGACGUAAAUUAUUGGUUUCUUUUCUGAUUCUGAGUAGAUCUGUUGAUGUGUAUCUCUUCCAAUAGUAAACCGUUGUUAUCGAGUUAGGUAUAUUUUAUACCCUAGCUAGCCAAUCUAGUCUACUUCCAGAAUUAGGGAAAUUCUGGCCGACAAAGUUAAUUAGGUAUUUUAAAUUUGGAAUUUUAUAUAUUGAAUACUCUAAAUUGUUGGAAUUUUAAAAGGUUUUAAAAAUUUAACCAUUUUAUUUAUUUAAUUAUUUUGGCUGUUUUAUUUUAUUUAUUAUGGAGUUAUAAAUAUUUAAUAUUCAGGUUUUAUUUUUGGUUGGUGAAUACCUUAAUUUUUUGGUUGGUGAACUUUUAUGGUUGGUGAAGGUUAUAUAUUUUUGGAUGCCUAUAAAAGGCCACUCAUCCUUUACACAAUAACACACAAUAACACACAAUACAUUAUCAAAAUAUCACAUACACAUUCUAAUUCUCUCCUUGUCUACUUUUACAUGUAUUCUCUACUUUAUAUUAUUAUUAUUUUGGGCAAUGGUUAUGUGACUUGGAUACCUAUAUCUGUCUGUGAACGUGCUCAUAGCGGAUCUUGAGUUUGUGUACAAGGGGUCGUAUCUUGGAGUCUUAUAGAUCGUCAGUAUCUGCACGUAGGGAGGCUACAAAGGCUUUAGGACAGCGUCUUUGACGUGCUUCACCGUACCAAACUCACCUUCUUACUUAUUAUUUAUUUUCCUUUUACUUACCUAUUAUUUUGUUUUCUUUAAUUUUAUUAUACCUUCAAAGCUUUCCUAUUUGUUUAUAUGUUAUUUAUAAUUUGUAUUUGGCUUUACAAAAAGAGGAAAACUAUUAUUUUUUAUAACAAUCUAAAGCCUUUGUAUGUUAAAGUUGUUUUCUUCCCGUAUUGCUAGCUUUUACAUUUGUAUUGGAUUUUCAAAAUGAAAAUUACGAUUUAUUUUGGGUAGAUGCAGUUUGAAGCUUUCAUGUUGUCUAUACAAUUUCAACUGCUUUAAAUAUUGUUGGUACAUUUAUAUGUUUAUAAUUUGUUGCUAACGUUUGGGAAAUUACUGCUAGUGUUUGAAAAUAAAACCUACCUACUAAUUUAUGUGGUAUUAUUAUUAUAGCUCAACGUAUUAUUAUUUUAUGUGGUGUGUCCGUUUUCUACAGCACAAUUAUUUUUAAAAUACAUUUCAGAAUCUUAAAAUUGUUAAUAGCAUUCAAAAGCUAAUUAAUGACCAUUGAAAUAAUGAAAAAAUAUAGAUAUUGAAGUGAGCUAUGUUUUUCUAAACUACUGUUUGUUUUAAAUAGCUUGUAUUGUUUCAUUACCGAUUACUUAAUUAUUAUUCAUUAAUCAAUUUAUGGUGAAACAUCCAAUAUUGAAUGGUUGAAGUGUUUAAAAUCGAAACAUUGAAGUGUUUCAAACCGAAACAUUGAAGUGUUUCAAAAUCUUUGGUAUGAUAAUUUCAAAGCUAUAUAUUUGAUUUUAUUGUGUUGGGCCUUUUACAUUUGCCUUCAUUGAUUUUGGUUGCCAUCAAUCUUCUUUUAUAUAACGGUCCCUUAUUUUUUGUUGGACUUAAUGUCAUUUUAUUGUUCUUACUUUUGGAAGUCCUUCAUACCAACGUAAGAAGCAAUUAUAAUAUAUUCUUAGCACUAACGUGUAGUGUUUGAAAUUACUGUUUUAAUAUUGAGUUUUUGUACACUAUCUUUAUGUGGUUUAAUGCAUUAUGAAGGAAUAAAGCAUUAUUGGUCAACAGACAAUUAAGUUUUCCUUUUAUGAAGAUAAAUUUGAUUUGAAUAUUCAAUUGUUGCAUCCUUGCAAAUCUGUGUAGUAUACUACUUACUUUGGUUUCAAAUUCUUGAAAGAAAAAAAGUGCAAACAGUUUUUUUUGUAGUUUAAUUCUGAAUUCAAAAUCUAAUAUUGCGUUAGUUUUAGAUUUGGUCUAUUUGUGUAUUCAAUUUUUAUAUUGAUUCUUAUUUUCAUUUAUAGCUAUUAAUUUUUGCGUGAACGUGCAGAGAGUUUAUGUGGUAUUAUUGCAAGUUUUAUUGAGCCUAAUUAUUCUUUAUUUUGAUGGCUGUCAUUGCUUUGAAUUUGAGAGAAAAACCUAUAGUUUUUUUUGUAGUAUAAAUGCAUCACUUUAACACCUUGGACAUUAGCUCCUUUUGAUUCCAGAAUUAGUUAAUUGCUCUUAACUUCUUUUGGAAGCUUUUGCAUUUCACAUUCAAUUACGAGAUUUUAUUUAUUUUUUAAUUUAUGCAGCUUUAGUUUCAAAACUUUAAUGUCAAUUUCAUGACAUUUAGAGCUUUUAUUUUGGCAGUAAAAUUGUUGAUAUUGUUAGGUGAUUAUUGCCUUUAAUGUUCUAAUCAUUUAUGCAAUUUAAUUACAUCUUUGUUUUAAUGCCUUGGAUUCUUUUUAAAGUUGCCAACGCCUAUAUAUUUCAAUUGUGCAAUCCUUCAUAUUAGUUACUUGAGUUAAUCUUGAUACAAAUAUAUUGAGUGAACUAAUAUUCUUUUGAUCAUAAAGUUUUGACAGAUGUCUCAUGUAGUUAAUUGCCAUGAAGUGUACACUGUGGAAUCCUCGUGAGAAAACUGAAAUGAAAUAAUAAAUUAUAUCACUGUAAGUGGCAUUAAUUUUGAGUUUUGGUAUAAGGCUUUCAAACCCUAAAUUUUUGAGGCAUUUUUUUUCUUUUGAGGCUUUCGAUGGUUUUGUUAUAUUUACAAUGACUAUCAAGAUGGCUAUGAGUACAUAUCUUAUGAAUUUAAAAUUAAAUAAAUUUUGGUACAAUCUUCAUAUAUUUUGAGAAUUCCCUAAUUUGUGGGGGUUGAGUUUUUCCUUAACUAUGUGAGUAUUUGUUGGAAUUUUUGUGGGUAUUUCUUGGAAUUUUUGUGGGUAUUUCAAAUACAAAAUUAAUAUCAAUGCUUAUUUUUUUUUAAUUUAAUAUUCCAAUUUUUGAGUGAUUUGAUUACCUCUUUAAAACUGAAAUUAUUUUGUACAUUUAUUAUAUAAGUUUUCAUAUCUCCUUUAUUCAUAUUUAUUCUAUUUUAAUUAACGCUCAAUGCUUACGUUAUUUGCGUUUUGAUAAUUAUUAAUAUUUUUUAAAACAUGUGGACCAAUUUGUGGAAGUUGAAUUUUCUUAAAUGGAAAAUUUAAUGCUGUAAUUUAUUUGUUAACAUUAUGCAGUUUUGCUUUUAUGCUGAAAAUAUUAGAUUUAUUUAUGUAGGCUUUCCUUCUCUCUUUCCCAUAUUUUUGUGUGUUUUCAAUUUCUUUAUGCUCUCAUGGGAAAGAUUCAUUUAGUGACAUAAUACUUUUUAUAUUUUAUUGGCAAACAUACUGUGUCUGUAUGAAAUUUGUUUCAUUAUGCAAAUUUUAUUAUGAGACUAACUUGUCUUCAAUUUUAUGAAAAUGUGUGCAACUAAUGAUUACCUUGUUAUACAAUUUUGGUAGAGACUUCUUAUUGUCUUAUAGGUUCUUAUUGAGAAUCGACAAGAUACAAUUUCAACUUGGAUAUGUGAUCACGAUUUCAGCCAUUUGGAGUGCACAAAAGGGAGUAAGGGUAUCUUGAACUACUCAGUGUUUAUAGUUAAAUUUAUUUAAUGAAUUAAUUGUUAUAUUAUUGUUCAUAAGUGGUAGUAGGUGUACUCAAAGUUUCAUGGACUUGAGAGGUACUCUUGAUCAUAAGAUUUAAUGUAUGAUAUAUUUCUAUUAUACUUAAAUGUAUACCAAUGCAUAUUUAAUUUCCAAUUAUACUGAGGUGAAAUCCACUAAUCAUUUGUGUGCAAGAUUGUGUAGGAAAUAUUUUCAAAUAACAUACAGGUUUAAAGCGCGCUAAAAUGGAGAACAAAGACAUAACCUACAUUAUAUAUGCCUUGUGAAGGCUAGUUUUGAUAUGCAUGCCUCGUGGAGGAGGUUAUUAAUGCAAAAUGUCGAGGAGGAUGUGCUUAAGCCCAUAAGGGAGUCACCUAGGGAGGUAACCCAACUUCUGUGAUUGGAGAUCCCAUGAAGGAAGUUCAAUGUGGUAGAAACAAUCCAUAUUGCGUGACUCAUAUAGCACUCAUAAAACUAUGGAGAUAUCCUUGAGAUAUUCUUCUGCUCAUCCCUAAGGCAAAAGUGCUAUUUUAUGUGACGUUAGGAAGGAAUUUAUCCCUGAAUGAGUUUCGAGGCGGGCAAACUCCCGCAGGGUGCAGGUCACAUGUACUCUUGGAGAACUCACCUAAGUGAGAGACGUCGUGAGGCCGCUACUGUGAGAAUUGGGCUAUUCUCUAGUAACUCUCAUGAGAAUCAAGAUUAGCGCAUGGCCAUAAAUAGCGCUACCCCGCAUCCAAGUCUCAACUAAUACAAUGUGUGGGAUAUGUUGAAGUUUGGUCAAAGGUGCCGAGUUCAAUACUGUGUACACUCAGGUUCCUCAAAUGGAGACUAUCAUCACUAAGUGAAGGUUCAAGCCCGGAAGGCACCUACACCUAUUACAUAGUAUUAUAUUGCCCGUAUAUAUUAUAUAUUUUUCACUGUUUUUUCGUCAUGGUAAAAUUUUGAAAACCUUGUGGGGGAUUGUUGGAAUUUUAAAAGGUUUUAAAAAUUUAACCAUUUUAUUUAUUUAAUUAUUUUGGCUGUUUUAUUUUAUUUAUUAUGGGGGUUAUAAAUAUUUAAUAUUCAGGUUUUAUUUCUGGUUGGUGAAUGCCUUAAUUUUUUGGUUGGUGAACUUUUAUGGUUGGUGAAGGUUAUAUGUUUUUGAAUGCCUAUAAAAGGCCACUCCUCCUUUACACAAUAACACACAAUAACACACAAUACAUUAUUAGAAUAUCACAUAAACAUUCUAAUUCUCUCCUUGUCUACUUUUACAUAUAUUCUCUACUUUAUAUUAUUAUUAUUUUGGGCAAUAGUUAUGUGACUUGGAUACCUAUAUCUGUCUGUGAACGUGCUCAUAGCGGAUCUUGAGUUUGUGUACAAGGGGUCGUAUCUUGGAGUCUUGUAGACCGUCAGUACCUGCACGUAGGGAGGCUACAAAGGCUUUAGGACAGCAUCUUUGACGUGCUUCAUCGUACCAAACUCACCUUCUUACUUAUUAUUUAUUUUCCUUUUACUUACCUAUUAUUUUGUUUUCUUCAAUUUUAUUAUACCUUCAAAGCUUUCCAAUUUGUUUAUAUGUUAUUUAUAAUAUAAAUAUUUUGUAUUUGGCUUUACGGAAAGAGGAAAACUAUUAUUUUUUAUAACACAAAUCAUAUAUACUACUAAAGUUUAUUUUCUUAUGUUGUCUAAGUUCACGAAACCUUAUUAUAUUGUUAAACUAUCAAUUUAUUAAGUUAAUUUUUUAUUUAAUUGUUUCGUCCAUAUUCACAAUCUAUAACAACAUAAUAAGAUAAUAUAAGUGGAGUCUUACUUGAGUGAGCAUGUUAUUUUAGAAAAAGUGUGCACAUACUACUAAAGUUUAUUUUCUUAGAAAAAUAAAAUUCGAAUGAUAACAUUAACUUCAAUGAUUAGGUGUACGUGCAAUCUAAUCUAGAGCCGCGGCUUGUUGAAUGCAUGGCCUUAAAUCUUCUAGGUCACGGCAAGCACGCAUGUUUAAAAGUAGUGGGCUUGUUGAAUGCAUGGCCUUAAAUCUUCAAGUGUUUGCUUUAGGGUUUUCUCCCCUGACUUUCGUUGGGGGUUUUUUUGUUUUUGUUUUACCUUUCUGGUGCAGUAGUCGGGAUGGAUGUGGUGAUAAAUUCUCUAGAGAAGACGCUCAUCCUUACAGAGGAUGAGAGAGAUGCAAUUCAGGUCGGACAAAAUGAUAUCGAUGAUGUGGUGGAGAGACUCAAGAUGAGCCUGGUUGGCAAAGUCCUUACCACUAACGCUUUCAAUCGGGAGGCUUUCAAGCAAACGAUGUUGAAGAUUUGGAGUAUGGUCCGUGAGGUGGUGGUGAAAGACAUAGGGGAAAAUCCUUUCUUGUUCAUUUUUGCGACUGAAGGGGAUAGACUGAAGGUUUUGCGCAGUGGGCCUUGGAACUUUGACAAAGCCCUAGUUUUACUUGAGACCCCUGACGGCAGUAUCGCUCCAUCCAAGAUGCUUCUCAAAUAUGCAGACUUCUGGAUUCAAGUCCACAAUGUACCAUUGAGCUGUAUGUCGACAAAUCUGGGGAGACAGAUUGGGAAUAGUUUUGGAUGGUGUUCGGAUGUCAUAGAAGGUAUGGAUGGGGAAUGUUUGGGUAGAUUCCUCAGGAUAAGGGGUCAACGUGGAUGUCUCCAAGCCGUUAAGACGAGGAAAAAAGAUGACGCUGCCUUCUGGGAAUACAGUGUUCGUGGAGUUUCGAUACGAACGUCUGCCAGAAUUUUGUUUCUGCUGUGGUCGAGUGGGUCAUGUGUUCAAAGAGUGUUCUUUCGUCGACCAGGCAGCCAAACAAGCAGAUGAAAAGCCAUACGGUAUCUGGCUUAAGGCUACAAAGGAUUUUCAUUCUAUUAGGGCAGGCAAUCCUAAGCGAACUAGCGGCAGUGGUAUGGGCACCCAAAAAACACAAGGGUUAGCGGAGGAGGGAGGGUCUGGAGCUCAUGGAGAGUGGUUGGUACGGCAAGGAGCAUCUAUCCAUGCCCAACAACUAUGCAGUGAGGCAGAAGGGGACUGGGUGAAGGAGAGGGAGAUGGAGGCGGGAGGGCAGAAGGGUAAUUCUAGUGGGGAAAAGGUGGCUGAAUCUUCUGUGGGUUUGUUGAGUAGACAAAGGGUGGGUGAGAGACGACAACCACCGAGGGAGGUAGACCGGGAGGCGGUAGCAAGAGUGGGACCAGCCAGCAGCGGGGGAUCGGGGCACUCUCAUAAUAUUAUUGACGUGGCAACGACCCAAGACCCAGCAAAUCAAGUCAUAAUUGAUAUGAGUAGGCCGUUACAAAAGCCCAUAAUGAUUGAGGAGGGAGGGGAUGUUAUCAAGGAGAAAAUAAUUAGGAGUAACUCCAUCAUCAAAGCUGUGGAGACAAAAGCUCUUAAGAAGGAUGUUAGUAUUAAAACGGUCGCAGCAAGAUUCAAAGCUGUCUUUGGUGAGGAGGGGCGAGAUUCAUUGAAUAAUCCCCUUGGGCACAAUCCACUGCGGAGCAUCGAAAGUGGGUUGGGUACUUUAAGUGGGGCCCAAAUGAAUGUUGAACUCGGGCUUGAAUCUGAACCAGAACAGCUGAAGGACCCAAUGCAGUAUGAAGCACAUGCAGAGCAAGAACACAAACACAAGGCCAACUCAAAAAGUGGUGGAGGGUCGUGGAAACGCCAAGCAAGGACGAGAAGCUUUUCAAUCAAUCCACAUGAGGGGGAUAGUAGUGAAGUUAGAGGAUGGUCUGGGAAAAGGGGAGUAAGGGAGUUAACAGAGGCUGGGAGAGUUGUGACAAAGAGGCCAAAAGAGAGUGACACUAUGACUAUUUGUUCAACCAAAGUGGUGGGAUCAGCAGGGCUGACCCACCACAAGCAAUGAGGAUCUUAAGUUGGAAUGUCCAAGGUCUCGGGGCUCCUCGGACAUUCCAUUCUCUCAAAAAUGUGUUGCAAGAGAAAAAACCCGAUUUGGUCUUCUUAAUGGAAACCAAAAUGACGGCAAAUCAGAUGGAAAAUACACGGAUACAACUUGGAAUGGAAGAGAUAGUUAAAGUGGCGAGAGUGGGCUUGGGGGGAGGUUUGGCUUUGUUUUGGGGGAGUGGAUGGGGUUUGAGGCUGCUAUCUUAUUCCGUGGGUCACAUUCAUGUUUUGAUCACAGAGUCGAAUGAUUCACAGUUUUAUCUUACUGGGUUUUAUGGGCAUCCUGACAUGCAACAACGAAACCAUUGUUGGGAGCUAUUACGCAGAUUGUCGCAUACGGUUCAAGGAGCCUGGGUUGUAGUCGGAGAUUUUAAUGAGAUCCUGUUCUCAAAAGACAAAAAAAGGGGACGAGAACGACCACAAAGCCAGAUGAAUAAUUUUAAGAUGGCAUUGGAAGAUUGUUAGCUUAGCUCCACUAGAUUUACUAGGUAUCCAUUUACUUGGGCACGUAGUUAUCCUGAUGGUAGCCUGGUGGAAGAACGUUUAGACAGAUGUGUAGCGAAUGGAGUCUUCUUCAGUCGUCACUCACAUCUGACGACCAGCCAUUUAGUGGCAGUGGGUUCCGAUCACUAUCCGAUCUUAGUGGAGGCUUGUGUUGAUUGUCCAGAAGCAAGUGCAAAACAAAGUAGACAGUUUCAUUUUGAAGAAAUGUGGACAAAGGAGCCAGACUUUGACAAGGUGAUUGAAGAGGCUUGGAAGGUUACCGACGGAGUGGAGAGUGUAAGUAACAGCUUAUCAUUAUGCGCAAAGGAACUCAAAACUUGGAACCAUGUCCAUUUCGGUAAUGUUCGCAAUCAAUUAAAACAUGCUUAUAAGGAGUUAACAUCACUUCAAGGAAGACUGACAACUGAUCAACAUGUGUUAAAGGCAAAAGUUGAGGAAACAAUUUCAGAUAUCUUAGAAAAACAAGAAAUUAUGUGGAGACAACGAUCUAGAGUAGCAUGGCUUAAGGAGGGAGAUGAAAAUACUCAUUUUUUCCAUGGGAGGGCAAGUUCCCGAUCCAAACGCAAUAGGGUAUGCGGAAUAUUUGAUGCAAAUCAGGUUUGGCAGACUGAAGAGCAACAGAUAGGGGAUCUUUUCUGUGACUAUUUCAAGACUUUAUUUUCUUCCUCUAGUGGCCAGCAAAUGGAGUGGAUUCUAAACGAGGUAAGGCCGGUAAUAACAAGUGCUAUGAACGACCGGCUAUUGCAAGCUUUUACGCGGAGAGAACUGGAGCAUACUUUAUUUCAGAUGUUCCCAAUGAAAGCACCUGGGCAUGAUGGCAUGCCAGCUUUAUUUUUCCAAAAGUAUUGGCAUAUAGUUGGCGAUAAGGUGGCCAACAAGUGUUUGCAGAUUCUAAACGGGGAAGGAAGCGUUCGGGAGUUUAACCAUACCCUUAUAGCUCUCAUCCCGAAAGUCAAGAUGCCAACCACGGUUUCAGAGUUCUGACCAAUCAGCCUGUGUACGACCGUCUACAAGAUGAUAGCGAAAACAAUUGCAAAUCGGUUGAAGACUGUUCUUCCUCACGUUAUUACUGAAAAUCAAAGCGCCUUUGUACCGAACCGAAUGAUACUGGAUAAUGUGAUGGCUACUUUCGAAAUAAUGCAUACUAUUAAGGGAGUGAAGAAGGGGCGCGAUGUCAAAAUGGCUCUCAAAUACAUGGCCAAAGCAUACGACAAGGUGGAGUGGGUUUUCUUGCUUGAAAUGAUGCUCAAACUGGGUUUUUCAGCCACAUGGGUCGCCAAAGUUAUGGAUUGCAUCUCCACUACAACUUUUUCGGUGCUUUGGAAGGGCACUCCUAUUGGGCACGUUAUGCCAUAGCGUGGGUUACGACAAGGAUGUCCUUUAUCUCCAUAUCUUUUUCUUAUGUGCACUGAGGGGUUCUCGUGCCUAUUGCAUAGUGCAGAAAGGAGAGGUGAUUUCGUUGGGGUUCAAGUGGCAAGGGGGGCGCCUUCAGUAACACAUCUAUUGUUUGCGGAUGAUAGCAUUCUAUUUAUGAAGGCAACGAAGGAGGCUUGUAUGGCUUUGGAAACAUUAUUCCAAACCCACGAAGAGGUAUCAGGGCAACAAAUCAACUACUCUAAAUCCGUGUUCUCUCUAAGUCCGAAUGCCACAAGAGCAGAUUUCAAUAUGAUUGUAGGUGUUUUGAACGUUCCUGUUGUGCAGAGCCAUGAGAAAUAUUUAGGUCUGCCAACUAUCGCCGGAAAGGGAAGGAAACAACUCUUCCAACAUUUAAAAGACAAACUUUGGAAGCAUAUAAGUGGGUGGAAGGAAAAGCUCUUAUCUAGAGCGGGGAAAGAGAUUUUAAUGAAAGCCGUGUUACAGGCAAUCCCCACCUAUUCGAUGAGUUGUUUUUGGAUUCCAAAAGGAUUAUGCAAGGAGCUUAACGGAAUCAUGGCUCGAUUUGGUGGGCAAAGGCGAAAGACAAGAGGGGAAUUCACUGGGUGAAGUGGGAGCUGUUAUGUAAGAGUAAGUUUGCAGGAGGGUUGGGGUUUCAUGAUCUUGAUGCAUUCAAUCAGGCUCUGCUUGCAAAGCAAUGUUGGCGCAUUCUCCGGACUCCAAAGUCGCUAGUAGCAAGGAUUUUUAGAGCCAGAUACCAUCCAUCAGUACCAUUCUUAGAAGCUGAAGUGGGAACCAAUCCAUCCUUCAUUUGGAGGUCUUUGCAAUGGGGGAAAGAGUUGCUCAACAAGGGAUUGUCCAUCCAGGUUUAUACUGACAAAUGGAGUGUCCAUCCAAGUUUAUACUGACAAAUGGCUUCCAGCCCCUUCUUUUUUCAAAAUUAUUUCUCCUCCCCAGUUGCCACUGUCAACACUGGUUUGUGAUUUAUUCACCUCUUCAGGGCAAUGGAAUGUGCCAUUACUUAAGGAUAUUUUUUGGGACCAAGAGGUGGAUGCAAUAUUGCAAAUUCCAUUGGCUUCCUUGGCAGGUCACGAUUGUUUAAUUUGGCAUUAUGAAAGAAACGGCAUGUAUUCGGUCAAAAGUGGAUAUCGGUUGGCAUGUUUAGAGAAGGAUAAAAUGAGUGGAGAGCCCUCAGUUAGAGUCGAUUUGAAUUCAAAGUUCUGGAAGAAAAUUUGGGCUCUUAAAAUCUAAAAUAAGAUUAAGUUCUUUCUAUGGAGGUGUGCUUGGGAUUUUUUGCCUUGCGGUCAUAUACUAUUCAAUCGGAAAAUAGCGCCCACACCUAUUUGUCCCAACUGCCAUCGCAAAGCUGAAAGUGUACUACAUGCUGUAUGGUUGUGUGAGGCUGCAAAGGAGGUGUGGCGCAACUCAGCAUGGGGGAACGUCUGUGAGGGGUGGCGGUUCAAUUCUUUCAGAGAGCUGUGGCAUGCAUUACAGCUAUCCUCAGGUGGGGAAGAGCAAGGGUUGUUUGCAUAUCUGUGCUGGGGGCUUUGGAAUAGGAGAAACAACUUUAUCUUUGAAGGGAAAUCAGAAACUGCAACACAGUUGUUGCAUCGAAUGACUAAACUUGCACAAGAGUUCUUUGAUGCAAACAACCUCUCUCACACAAUCCAUGGUCGUCAGUCUAGCCCUCAAGCUCCUUUGCACGGCUGGAGGCCUCCACCAGCAGGUAUUUACAAAAUAAAUGUAGAUGGGGCACUCAAAUCUGGAGACUCCGUCCGAGGGGUUGGGGUGGUCGUCAGAAACGCGAACGGGGAGUUCAUGGCGGCAUGUGUUAGGCGAAUUGGCUAUGCAAACGGAGCUUAUGGCUGCAAUAGAGGGUCUGCAUUUUGCUAUUGAUAUGGGCUUUACUGAUGCUAUUCUAGAAAUGGACGCACAAGAUUGCAUUAAUAGUAUUCUUUCAACAGAGGAGUGCAAUGGAAUAGAUGGUCUUUUGAUUGAGGAGGUGAACUAUCUACUUCAUAAUUUUAGAGCAGUCGUAUGUCAAUGGACUCCAAGAUGCGGUAAUAAAGUGGCACACACUUUGGCUCAGUUUGCAUUUCAUUGUAACGAAUUUGUUACCUGGAUUGAGGAAGCACCAAGAUGGUUGCUCCUUGUGCUUGAAGCUGAUGUACUCUCUUUGGAGUGUUGAAUGAAAUUUUGUUUCUCAAAAAAAAAAAAAAAAUUAAACAAUAGGACAGCGGGCAUGUCCUUAUUUUCGAAAAAGUGUGCACAUCUUUUCGAAAAGCAGUUUUCGAAAAGCAGUGGGGAUAGAAUGCAUAAAGAGGAUCAUGAUUCUGAUAUAUAAGCUUGCAAGGAUAAUACACCAACGAUUUUUCAGUUAAAGUUUAACUAAAAAAUAUAUAAAAGAUAUUUUAGGAGUUCUCUAUAAAAUUUUAACUCCAAUCAUACUUUUUAGUUUAGGGAGUCAUAACAGCUCUAACUCUUUUUUAAUUGGUCUAUCUCUAUAAAAAAAUAGUUUGCAUUAAUUAAAGAUCUCAUAAAUAAAGUAAAGCAACAUUAAAUUUUAAGGAGCCACUAUAGGAGUCCUUUCUCUCUCCUCAAAUUUAGGAGUUCCUAGAAGUCUUCCUAUUUUAAAAGGUAGACAGAGAGCAUUAUUAAAGUUGUUUUUUUCAAAUUUUUGUUCAAAAUUUGUCUAAGAAUAUGAUUUAGGGAGCCCAUUAUGAAUGCUAUAAUAAGAGAAAAGAAAAGAAAUCAAACUACUUAUCAUAAUAGACGAUUUGGCAAGCUCUUUUGCGAAAGCAAAUUUGAAAACGAUCUGGUGGUACCAUUAAUUGUGGAUGUCUGUUUCCUUGAGUCAAGAAGUAUUGGAUUGACUCGCGGUGCCCAUCACUUCAAUUGUUAAUACUCCAUUCUGAUUGACUCCUAGUAUUACGCGCCAACAUAGAUUUUAUUAUUAUAGGUUAUUCGCAGUAAUGGUCUCUUAAUUAUACCCGUAAUUAUAUUUGGGUCACUAAACUCAAUUAUUAGUUGCAAAGGUCACUCAAAUAUAUGUUUUGUUGCACCAGUAGUCCUUCCGUCAAGUUCUGUUAAAUUUUUUUUUGUCAAAAGUGAGGGUAAAUUCAGAAAUUAAAAUUGAAUAUCAAAUAAUUAAAAUUCCCACAAAUCUGCUACACAAAACUUCAAAACCCUAACCCACCAACCCCUCUUCCCUCUUAACCUCUCGAUGGUUUGCAAACUGACGGCGAACUGAGUCUAAGAAAGAUUCCUCUUGUGCCAAACCUAUGGUUCAACCUUCCAUUCUUGUUUGCUCCCUCGGGAAGGUCCAAAGAUUCAUCAUUUCAGCACUUACCCUUUUUCAUUUUUGUUUCAAAAGUCUACAAAUUUUGGCACCCAUGAGUCAGAUUUAGUGGCUCUUGCAAAAGGGUCGGGUUUUAAAUUGGUGUAUUUGAAUUGGGUUCGAAGAUUAUGGAAGACCGAGGUGAUUUAGGAGAAGGGUUGGUCUGAAGGUAAAAUGCGAAAUCUUGAAUCUGUUUGCUGGUCUAAAGGUAUUUAUUAUGAAUAUUUGAAAAUAUUCUUGUUGCUGUGCGGCAUCUUUUUAAUUGAAUUUUUUGGUGUCGGCAAGAAUUGGAUUGCGGCAAUGAAGGGUCGUGGAGCAAAGGACCAUCAACUUCCUUUAGGGAGCUAUCCACAAACUCUUGGUACUUCUGAAAUAGCAAAUAUCAUUUACUUCAGCCAUUCAAUUAGAGGUCAUAGCGGUGUUGGUGUGAAAAAUAAUUUUCCUGAAGUCAUUGUUCGUUUGCUUCAUGUAUCCAAUUGUAGUUAUUUGGAUGAGACUUCAAAUAGAAUUGGCAUGUAAUAUGUAUAUAAACAUUAAAAGAGAUUAAAAAGGAAAGUUUUUUUUUUUUUUUUUUUGCAUAAAAAAUUUCGUAGUUUCAAGAGGGGAAGGCGAAUUUCCGAAUUUAUCCUCUUUUUUGACAGAAAAUUUAACAGAAUUUGACGGAAGGACUACUGGUGCAACAAAACACAUAUUUGAGUUACCUCUGCAACUAAUAAUUGAGUUCAAUGACCCAAAUGUAACUACAAGUAUAAUUGAGGGACCAUUGCUGCAUAUAAGCCUAUUAUUAUUUUGUCCUGUGUUUUAUGUGUUAAUUUUGUUGUUGAUUCAACCACACACAUUUCUUUUUAAAUAAACUAAAAUAAUUUUAUGGCUGCUGCCGUCACUUGAGAGAGAAGUAAGCAUUUCUUUAGAUGAAUGAAUGUAAUCACUUGAGAGAGACUAGUGGUUAGAUUAAAUGAACGAUGAACUAUUUGCAAUGCCAAAUCUCAAUAUAUACAUUAAAAGACUAUUAAUUCUACAAGUUAAUAUAAUAAUGGGAUCUAGUCGAGUAGAAAAUGGUAUUAAUUUAUAAACUAUAGUGUGUGUGAGAAAUCUCCUUCUCCUUUAUAGUUUAGACCAUCACUUGUAUUAAAAAAAAAAUAACAAAAGUUAAUUUUCUUUUGUUUUUUGGAACAACUUGUUAAGGUUUGUUCAUGCUAUGUGUAUUGAGUUGGAGUACAAUGGCAAAGCCACUCCUAGGCCUAGAGGGGCCCUGGCACCCCCCCAAUUUUUAUCUCUCCUCUAUUAUAUUAUUUAUAACAUAUAGAAUUUGUAAUAAACCACUUAUAAUUUAAGUUAAAGUUCCCUCUAAAAUAAAUUAGAAAUUACUAAAUUAGAAAUAUUUAUAUCUAAACAUAUAAUUAUUGAAUACCCUAACUUUACAAUUCUAGCUUCGCCCCUAUUACCCUGUUGCCCAUCUCAAAAGUCAUGCCAUUUCGUAAAGUUGUCAAGCACCAUGCUGAGCUUAGCUAUUUUGGGGUGGUCAAAAUUCACUUAAUCUGCCAAGGAGGAAUUCCUAGCAGCCGAGAAUUCCUAGAGACAGGAUUCCUAGCGGUCGAAAGAAUUCCUAGCGGCAGAAUUCCUAGUCGAGAAAUUCUAGUAGCCGAGGUGAUUUCUCAAAAAGGUGGCCGAUGUGUUUUCUUUAAAGGCCAUGGUGCCUUCUCAAAAAUUUGGUCAGGUGUAUCCUUUCAAAUGGGCCGAACACUUCCUUUUGCAAAAGUGGUCAGGCACUUCUUAAAAAGGUGGGCCGGGCACUCCUUAAAUACCUUGGUCGGCCACUACUCUUGCAAAAAGCUAGGCAGGGGUGGAUUUUCUCCUUGCGCACCCGGGCGCCCCCCUCGCAACAUUUGGGCAAGCAAAUUUGGGCCAAGGGAGUUGAAGUUCGGUGGGAGGUAUUUCCGCUGAGGGAGUUGAAGUUUGGCAGGAGGUAUUUCCACCGAAAGAGUUGAAGUUCAGUGGGAGGUAUGUCCGCUAAGUUCUCAAUAUUCGAAUAUUUUGAGAACUCAAAGAUGAUCGAGGAAUAAUUAUUUUCUCAAAAUAAUUUUUGGCCGGCUUUUAUUCCUUAUACAUCAAAUAAGAAAACUUUGAUUUUAUGGAAUUUUAGUAUGAAGUUUAUAUUGACUUAAUGAGCCAUCAUUUUUAUUUUGCACUAAAACCCAAUUUUUCCAUAUUUUGAUUUCGUGGGAAUUUGAUUUUCUAGUAUUUUUUCUUUGGAAUCCAAAAUAGGGGGGAGAGGAGGAGGGGGAGGGGGGGGGGGGGGNNNNNNNNNNNNNNNNNNNNNNNNNNNNNNNNNNNNNNNNNNNNNNNNNNNNNNNNNNNNNNNNNNNNNNNNNNNNNNNNNNNNNNNNNNNNNNNNNNNNNNNNNNNNNNNNNNNNNNNNNNNNNNNNNNNNNNNNNNNNNNNNNNNNNNNNNNNNNNNNNNUACUUUAUUUAUUACUUAAUUUAUUUUUUAUAUUACUCUAUUACUUAAAUGUAAAAAUGAAAUAAGGGAAUCUGUACACCAGUUGAGCAAAGAGGCAAUUUGAAGCACCUACAAUUGUUUUUCCCGGUGAGAAGAGGUGUAGCUACACCUCCUUGCGCCUUAAUAGGUGUUUGGGCCUAAAUUCUGCGAGCCCAGCCUAUUUAUUGCAGCCCACAAACAUGAGCACAACUUGGAUUUGAUGUUGAAAGAAAGCUGAAGAGCAGCCCAAAAUAGAGAAAGCCCAGACUGAUUUCUCGAAAUCCUGCGAGCCCAACCCAGAAUUUGUCAAGCUUAUGAUAAAUGAACAGUCUUGGGCUUUGAAAAAAAUACAAAGCAGCUUAGUCAACAAUAUAGGCCCAAGUCUUUUUCAAAAAUGGCAGAGGUUUUUCCUUUACUAAAAAAUAUAUUUCCAGAAAAAGUCCCAUGUGACUACCUGACUUUGAAAAAUAAAAAAUCUCAACUAUCACAGAGGAGCUGACAGAGAGUUAAUGAAGGCAAGUAUAAAAGGAAGACGUCUCUGAAUCUCUAUAGACAAAAGAUCAAAAUCCCUUUCUAUAUACAGAAAAAUUCUGCACCAGAGCAGGUAUCAUUUCCCAAGGAUAAGCAAACUACAUUUUCUAAAAAGAUAAGUAGGGAGCAGGGAGUUGUUCAUCAGGAAAAUCAAACUAACCAUCAUGGCAGACUGCAUUCUUACAAAAGGCAAUUAAAGAUUAAAAAGGGAUUAGGUUUUCUUUCAGGAAAAACAGGGAAGUGAUCACCAUAAGAACUGACUGUUGAUGGCUUUUCUAUAAGAAUAGAUAAUUUCCCCUUUCUUGGCAUUUAAAAUAAAAUAUCUUUCUUUUGGAAAAUCUGCCUCCCAUUAUUAAAAGAUUAGAUACCCCACUCCAGCAUUUUUUCUAUAAAUAUUAGAGAAGGUGGACUGAUCAAGGACAACCAAAAAAUCAAUGAAAACAACACCUUUCAAUAUCACAAUUGACAAAGAAAUAGUUAUAAAAAGCGAGAUUUCUCUCGUUACAAAUUUGGUUCAGCAUAAGCCAAAUCAAGCAUAGUCUGGGUUUUUACAAAUGUAAAAACGUCAACAAAUUUAUAGAGAGUCCUGAUCAAGCAGAACAGGUACCAAAGUGCAGUUUCAGCUUAGUAAACAUCAACUCCAGUCACUUCUACCCCUUUCAGACUGAAGAGGCUCUAAUUUUGCCCGUUGAAAAAGCCUUCCAGGGCUUGAAAUAGAUUAAAGCUCUGCCAAACUCGAACGUUAGCAUUGAUUUAUAGCUGAAACUUAACGGUUGAAGUUGUUGAUGGUCCAAUCCAGCACAGACAUACCUAAUCCGGUCCAGAUCGAAAGUAGCUAUGUAGACAGAAAUGGAAGUCCAACGCUCUUUUGUCUUUUUUAGAGUUGGUCUUUCCUUUUUGAGCUUUGUAAAAGGCAGUUCUGCCUGAAAACAGUUCACUCUCUUAUCAUUUAUUUGGGCCAAAACUACCAACUUUGUAUUGUGAAAAAUUAUGAAGUCCUCACCAGUCUGAGGCAAGAAAAUAACUUACUUGGGAGAUAUUCCUCACCCAAAGUCACAAUUACUUGUUUAGAAGUUAAUAACUUGGGGCGCAAGUUAUCCAUUUUUAAGAAGUUUGCUAGGGUUUUUAUUCCUAGCAGUGACACGCUCAUACACAAAAGAAAGUUGACUUGUUGAUCACAAAUGGUUUUCAAGCCAAUAGGGAACUUGACCCUACCAUCACAGGAACAAAUCUAAAACGGGUGAACAAUUUGGCACACCCAAUGGGAUUUCUCAGUACACAUACUCCUAGAAAAAUCUUCUAGUAUAUGAAUAUUGGAAGUUCUAGCCAGAAUCCACACUGUGCUAUGGAAAGAGAUCAAGCAGCCCUCCGAGAAGGACUUGAGUCGAAAGAAAGUGAUGCUAGGCAAUCAGCCCAUGGCUGUACCAGGAGUAAACGUUCCAAAUCUGGUUUCAGAAGGCUAAACCAGAUAUAGGAGGCUGUGUUCCGGCAUGAGGCCACAGCACAAAGGAGCCAGGAUACUCUAAACAACAUGAUAGCCAUGAUGCAAUGGCAAGUCCACAGGCAGUUCAGGAAUGACCGUGAGGCUACUUUUGCCAGAAUUCCAAACCCAGAUGUUGUGGUCUAGCAGCUCGAACUCUAUUUUGGACCUCCACUAGUCAUCGCACAGUUAGUUGGAAUACCAGGACAUGGAGAAAUCCAAGCUGGACAAAGGGGAGGAGCCCUUCCCAUCUAAGAACAUGAGGCUUCGGUUCGUCCAGAAGGCGCUGCACCAGUUCAGGUCCCCUAGAACCAGCCAGAACCUCCACCUAUUCCCCGACCAACGGUCCCAUGCGAUUAGCCCUUGGCACUUCUACUUGAGCAACCAGCUGUGUUGCCCUACAGACUUAGAAGGAUGGACCGUAACCCAUUCCCUCCACUAGCGAGAGGCAGGAGAGGUAGAGGGGGAAUCAACCCUUUUGCCAACAAUGAUAGGAACAGAUCGAGGGCAAACUGGAGGAAUCAUCCAGACCAUACGGAAUGGAACAGGUGAUUGAACACAACCAGCCAAAACAAGGGCGAAAUACGCAUCCUGUCAAUGCCUUGAAUGACAUGGGAGUAUUAUAGAGGAUGAUAAGAGAGAUAAUGGAACUUGAGGCUAGAAGAGGAGAAAGGCCCACCUACAGAAAGCCAUACGUCUAUCUCUAGGCUUUAAGGUACCAAACUUCACUUGUUCAAUGGAGAGGACACCCAUGCUUCAUUAGUUGAGCAUAUAGGCAGAUUCUCUAUCCAGUGCAUAGCCAUAGUAAAUAACCCUCGGUUAAAACUAAGGCUUUUUGGAAAUUCUCACUCUGGACAAGCCUUCAAAUGGUAUACUAGCUUACCAACCAAUUCUGUUCAAACUUGGGAACAGAUGAAAAAUGUCAUCCAUGACUACUAUUUCAGGAUUCAGCCAGAAGUCACCAUCAGUGAUCUUGUUGCCCUCAAACAGAGUGAAGAUGAGCCUGCCCAAGACUUCAUAACUAGGUUCAGAAAGCUCGAAAUGAAAUGCUGAAUCCCUAUGGAAGAAAGACACUUCAUCCAAAUGGCUCAAACCGCCUUUAAAAUCUCUAUGAGGAAGAGAUUUGAUGUGAUGCUGUUUGGAGACCUGGCAGAACUGGCAGACAAAGCAUCUAAAUACGAGGAGCUGAUGAGGGAAAAACAACAGAAAAGGAACUCCUCUAAAGGCAUAUAUUACAAAACCCCAUAUUCUUCAGCACAAAAGGCUCGGAAGAAAGGGAAGUUGUAGUGGCAAAAAUGGCGAAAUUAAAACAUCCCAUCAGUUGCAAGGCUCUGACAAAGCCACCAAAGGACCAGAAUCUACCACCAUUUACAGGAGGGUUUGUUCCAAACAAACUAGCACAGAACAAAGUUUACUCAUUCGAUUUAACCAAGGUUGAUGCUUUGUUUGAUGAGAUGCUACUGCAGAAGUCAAUAGAGACACCCUACAGGUUGCCCAAGCCAGAGGAACUCAAGGGCAGACAAUAUUGCAGGUGGCACAACUCUUGGAACCAUUCCACCAAUAGUUGUGUCAUUUUCAGGGAUGUCAUACAAGAAGGGAUAACAACAGGAAGGCUAAAACUGCCUGAGAAACUUCUGUCAGUGACAACAGACCCUUUUCCCUAACCUCAAGUCAACAUGGUCAACUUAAAUUGACCAAAAAAGAAGAGAGGCAAACUAACAGUAGAAGCUAGACCCAACAUAGACAGAAGAGUCACAAGAGAGGCUAAUCAGAGACAAAAGCUACAAUUUCAGCUGGGGUGGUUCUGUGCAGCAAGUACAGAUGCAAAAGUGAGUUGGAGAUAACUCUGGAUGGGCAAAGUCAGUCCACAUCUUGUGUUUUUGCCAUGAUUGGUAUAUCAUACUGACAGGGCCCAAUUUUGGCUCCACCUAAAGAUAUAGCUAGGCAGAAGGCCUAUCAAAAGCCUGCCCAACGCAAUAGAAAAAUUACGGAACAACCAAAGAAGGAGAUACCAGUUAAGAUGGCCAGAAAUGAUAAGCCUUUGGCAACCAUCAUAGAAGGCAAAUGGUACUCAGUUGGAAAAAGCAGCAGACCAACUUUGAAGCUAACCAGAACACAGAAGAGGAAAGUUCAGAGGCAAUACUACGCCUUCCUAAAAAAUAAGGACAACACACAGGUACUUCCAGAGGUCAGUUCUGCCAGAAAAGGGAAAAAUCUAGAAGCCUAUUCUCAGGCAGAACGAACAACAUAUCAACCAGAAAAGCCGACAAAUACAGAAUUCCCAAGUAAACCUUCUAUCUAUCCUGCCUCACCCUCAGUCAAUCAGAAAAGUUCAGGGCAGCAAAAGGACAAAAGAACACUUUGGAAGGAGAUGUAUUCUCCCUUGAAACUUUUGAGUGCAGAUUGGCAGAAGUGGGAGAUGCGCCAGAACAGCAAACACCUACUGCCAAAGUAGGCAGAACUGCCAUGAAAUUGACCACAAAACAGCUGUGCUAUUCCAAACCUACCAAGGAAAUGGCCAAUCAUCUCAGACCUCUGUUCAUAACAGCUGUAAGGGGCUUUUUCUUUUGGCAACUGUAAAUGGGCUGGGCUGCCGUAAAUUGAUGAAAUUGUCCCCUUUGUCUGAAUUCGAAAAUUAAGCCCCAAAAAUGCUUCAAAAGGGCAGUAGAGCCUUAGGAAGCAUCUUGGCUAUCUUCACCAACCAGAACAACAGCAACUUACAGAUGAUUUCUUGAUGCUUACAGAUAAAUUUUCUAGCUUGGCAUGAGAGGCUUGUGGCAUGAAAGCAAAAUCAGCAUGAGUUUAGCACCAAAGAGGAAAAUAUGGCUUUCUAGGGAGAAAGGGAAGUGUUAAGGUGAGGAAGAAGAGGUUUGCAAGAAAAUUUGGUUGAGAAGAGGUAAAGGAAGAACAAUGUUCUUUCGGCAGCUUGACAGAUUCUGAAAGUGGUCUGCCAGAAGAGGAAAAUAGAGAAGAAUGGUGAAUAGUGCACGAAAUUGCUGCGUUUUGCAGGCAAGAGAGGAAGCUUGCUCUCUGGAUGUGGGUUAUCUUUGGUUGCGUAGAAGAGGCCCCUUUUAUAGCCGUUGGAAGCCAUCUUUUUCCAAGAAACCCUAAUGGUUUUUAUCUAAUUUGGCCAAGCUUUUUCCUUCCUUUCUCCUCCCCUUUCUUGACUUAUCUUAUUCUAGCAAAAUCUUCUCUGUUUAUUUGCACACAAUCAGGAAUUUUGGGAGCUCAAGGCCCUCUUUCCCGCAGCUGUUCCAGUGGGAGACUUCCAUUCCCAUUCAUCUCCUUCCUUUAUUUCUUUCUUUUUCCAUGGCCAGGUCUGAUGGGGGAAGGAAUUGGGGUAUGUAUGCUGGUUCAAAGGGUGCUUCUAGCAGCUCGCAGGCUAAUAUUCAUUGGUCCCUUGAAUGUUUCUUGCUUGGAACUUGCUCCCCCCAUGUGCUGGAGCUUCCCAGCAGCUCUUCAGUCUUUCCUUCGUGACUUUAUUCUUCAGCCAAGUGCUGGAGCUUUGCAACUAUUCUAUUGUAAUUGUAUGGGCCAAGUUGAUUUAUUGAGUAAGUGGGCUUUGUUUAUCAAAUGUUUAGGCUUUUUGGUUGAGUCAAUAGGCUAUUUUGGUUGGGCUAUUUUUCUUUAGAGUGAUGGGCUAUUCUUUUCUCUCUUGUGCUUACCCACAUGUUUGGGCCUAUGAAAUGGGCUUGAGUCCCGAGGCUCCCAAGUAACCCAGGACUUCCAUUUCUCGGCCCAUUAAUGGGCCUCACGAUAAUUUAUUACCAUCCAUACCACAACCCACUCAAGCAACCCCGGGCAUCUUGCGUGGCUUGGGCCCACUUAAGCUUGUAGCGUGGCAUGUUGCUUAUUUGCUUGGCGUGGCAUGUGUGCAAAGCGUACAUGACGAACUUUCGCGUGCCCAAAUAGGGUUUCAUCUUGAUAAGGUAUCGCAUUGGGCCGAGAAUUUAUUUAGGCCAAGGCGUUGAUUUUUUGGGCCUCAACAACAGCAAACUUCGGGGGCGUUCCUAUCCCCAAAGUAAUGGUAGAUGGAGGUGCAGCCAUUAACCUUCUACCUCACAGAUUGCUGGUUAAAAUGGGAAGAACAGAGAAGGAUCUAAUUCCAACACGCCUAACAGUCACCAACUUCGUUGGGGGCAUCACCAAGACGCAUGGAAUACUAGAUGUAGAUGUCAUAGUGGGGACCAAGAAGCUUGUAACACCCCGACCCCGAAUUUAACCCUUAAUUAAUUAAUUAAUUAUUUAAGGGUAUUUUAGUCAUAUUUUUAACCGAAGAGAGUUUGGGGUAGUGACUAGUAUUUUUGGAAAGGUCGUACUGAGACGAGUUCAUAGACACGUAGUGGGCUCGAAUCGGAGUUGUAACGAGAGAGAUAUGGUCAAAAGAAGCCCAGUGGCACAAUCAUAAAUAUUUCGAAAUGGGAUUUUUUUAUAAAACUCAGAUUUCUCUCUCUCUCUCUCUCUCUCUCUCUCUCUCUCUCUCUCUCUCUCCCGCGCGACCUCUCUCUCUCUCCUCUCUCCCGUUCCGCUGCCGUCGCCUUCCAAGAGGCGCCGGCGCCGCCACAGGGCACCACCGGCCACGGGACCGGUGGCGUUCAAACCGCCGUCAUCCCUCCUUCCUUUCCCGACCCCUCCCCGCCAGCGGCACGGCUUGUGCUGGCCGGAAGAUGCGAAAAACCGACGGGAACCCACCGAAACUUCAACGCCGUCGAUCUCCCUCCUCCGGCCACCAAAUCCGACGAGCAAGGUAUGGUUUUUCACCUAUUUUUCAUGCUCUAGCUGCCGGUUGGGUAGGAUUAGAUCGAUUCUUAGCGUAGACAACUCGAUUUUCGAAUUGAAAAUCGGUCGAACUUCGACCGCCGUGAUCGGCCAUUUCCGGCCACUUUUUGGGGUAGGUCCAAGAACAAAAGUGGCUCCAAAUAGGGUGUUAUACCUAGGGUAGGAGUUUGGAGCCAUGUUUUUGAGAUUUUUUGGUGAAGCGUUAUCGCUUUGGGCACCCACGCGCUGUCGGCCCGUGCGGCGGCGCGUGGGCACUGUAGAAAAAGUAGCGAUGUGUUCCGAUGAGAUCCUUAGGUUGUCACGAGUGCGUAGGAUUUUGCGGAUCUCAAUUCAGACGUCGUUUGACUAUCGAACGGAUAAUCGCAUAUUAUGCGUUAUCCGGGUUCGAUAGGUUGGGACCGUUGGAUGGUCUCAAAUUUAAUAUAUGUUGAUCUAGGAAUUUCUAUGAUCGUGUAGGAAUUCACGGAUUGUGAAUCGGAGCCCCGGAUGUUCCGAUUAAUAAUUUAAAGUUUAUAUUUUAUAUUAACUGUCAGAUCGUGCGAUCGUGAGCAAUCCGACCGUCCGAUCUGAACCAAACUUGUAGGACGAGUUUCCUAUACCUUGUAAAACCCAUAGGAACUUUCGGAUCGGAAAUUGGAGGUCGUGGGCUCUGCAAGUCCGUUUGACCAGGGUUAGGGUAGUUUGAGCCUUGGUUGACCGUGAGUCUCCCGGAGUAAUCUCACCUUUCCAAGGGUGAUUAUGGAGUGCUAGACUAUUGUGGAGGGUUACACAAUAUUAUAAUUAAUUUAUAUAAUUAUAAUUAUAUAUGGUUGUACAAGGGUACAACAGAGUCUAGAGUGUCAGUUUGGAGUGCUAUACGCACUACUUUAGGUACCUCCCCGGAUGUUGGAUUUACUACAAGUACCACCAAGUGAAAGUGAGGUCCUACGUGGCGUAGGUUAUCCGGCGUGCGGACAGGCCCCAUACGUGGCGUUAGUUGUACCGGCGUAUGGGGAGAUUUGUGAUACUAUGUUCAGGUCUCGCGUGGCGUAGGUUAUCCGGCGUUGAGACAGACCCCAUACGUGGCAUUGGUUGAACCGGCGUAUGGGGAGCUAUGUGAUAUUGUGUUGAGGUCGCACGUGGCGUAGGUUAUCCGGCGUGUCGACAGACCCCAUACGUGGCAUUGGUUGUACCGGCGUAUGAGAAGAUUUGUGAUAUGAUGUUGAGGUCUCGCGUGGCGUAGGUUAUCCGGCGUUGGGACAAGCCCCAUACGUGGCGUUGGUUGUACCGGCGUAUGGGGAGAUAUUAUGAUAGUAUGGCAUGGUCGCACGUGGCGUAGGUUAUCCGGCGUGUUGACAGGCCCCAUACGUGGUGUUGGUUGUACCGGCGUAUGGGGAGAAUAUGUGAAAUACAGAGAAAUGAAAUAAGGCGUUGCGACCAUGCCAUACUUUGGAAAAUGUCCAAUUUAUAGGGGAGGCUCUGUCGAAAUUUCGGCAAGAAGUCUCGGUCUUUAGUAAUUGGGUCUGGCAUCGGAGUGAUGUCAGGAAUUCCAAAGGGUUCGUCUCGAGUUUUGAGAAAAUUCGGGGCGGGUCCUUUCAGUUAAUUGUCACACCCCGGGAUCGGCUCCGCCGUAGCACGAUAUUGUCCGCUUUGGGCCCUCAUCUCUGCCCGCACGGUUUUGUUUCUGGGAGCUCACGAGCAACUUCCCAGUGGGUCACCCAUCCUGGGAUUGCUCUAGCCCCCAACUCACUUAACUUCGGAGUUCCUACGACUCCGAAGCCAGUGAGCUCCCAAAAGGCCUCGUGCUAGAUGGAUGCGGGUGUGCACAUAUAAGGCACAUCACCCCCUCUCCGUUGGUUGAUGUGGGAUCUUACAAAGCUGAAGAUUGCCUUUUUUGUGGUAGACACCACUUCUACCACUUACAAUGCACUGCUUGGCAGAGAUUGGAUCCACCAGAGUCUAUGUGUUCCUUCCACUCUACACUAACCGCUGGCCCUCUGGCAUAAAGAGGGUUUUAUGGAAAUAGUGGAGGCCGACCCACAGCCAUUCUUGCCAUCUGCAUUAUGCUUUGAGGCCAGGUACUAUCAUGAUGACUUUAGCCCAUUUACUUUCUUUGGAAUCAUCCAGAAUGGUCGUCCCCAUGGUGUCACGGCCUAGAAACUCAUUGAAGAAGGCGUGGCUGGUUCUCUAGAGGACUGGAAUAGGCCUUUCAUCCUAAACCUCUAGAAUUCUGAUGUAUAGUUCACACCAGCAAGAGAGGGAUCGAGCUGCAACAAUUCAAUCUAUUACAAAUAGAUUGUUGGUAUAUUGGCAAGAGAAGAAGCUUUCUAUGCAUAGUCCAGCCAUUAAUAUGGUAGAAUUUAUGCAUGAGAACAUGGAAGAACAUGAAGGAAAUCUGCAGGAGGAAGAAUUGGAAUUUGCGCCAGUAGCACUGGAUGACUCUCUUCCAGAAGUAGAGGAUCCCUUGCAAGAAAUAAAUUUGGGGACAAAAGAGGACCCCAGACCCACUUUCAUCAGCACAUUACUGGAACAAUCAUUGAAGGAUGAAAUCAUUGCACUUCUGCAUGAUUUCAAAGACUGUUUCACAUGGCAUUAUCAUGAAAUGCCUAAACUGGAUAGAGGACUGGUGGAGCACAAGUUGCUAAUUAAAGAAGGAUACCUGCUAGUCAAGCAGCUAGAAGAAGGAUGUCUAUAGAGACAGAACUGAAGGUGAAAGAAGAGAUAGAAAGACUAGUAAAAGCAGGUUUUAUCAGGCCAGCCAUUUAUGCUGAUUGGUUGUCCAAUAUUGUACCAGUCCUUAAAAGGAAAACAGGGGCAGUCAGAAUACGUGUGGACUACAAAAAUCUAAAUUAAGCGUCUCCGAAAGACGAGUAUCCAAUGCCUAUAGCAAACAUGCUGGUAGACGAAGCUGCUCACAAUCAAAUGCUGUCAUUCAUGGAUGGCAAUGCAUGAUACAAUCAGAUAAUGGUGGUAGCAGAGUACAUCCACAAGACAGACUUCAUGUGUCCAGGGUAUAUAGGCGCUUUUGAAUACACUGUAAUGCCUUUUGGCUUAAGAAAUGCAAGAGCCACUUAUCAAAGAGCUAUGAAUUCUGUUUUCCAUGACAUGAUAGGUCAUUCUCUAGAGGUCUAUAUAGAUGAUGUGGUGAUCAAGUCUCCCGAAAAAGGAGACCAUGUAUCCAAUUUAAAGAAAGAAUUCCUAAGAAUGAGACGGCACAAGUUGAAAAUGAAUCCCAAGAAAUGCAUAUUUGGAGUUCAAGCUGGCAAUUUCCUAGGUGUCCUAGUCCAUCAAAGUGGAAUAGAGAUCGACAAAAACAAAGCAAAGUCUAUCAUGGAAGCCUUGCCACCUUAGAACAAGAAAGAAUUACAAAGCCUCUUAGGAAAGAUCAACUUUCUCGGAAGAUUCAUAUCCAAUUUUGCAGGAAAAAUUCAACCCUUCUCUUCCCUGUUGAGAUUAAAACAAGAAUAGGCAUUUGAAUGGGAGGAACAACACCAGCAGGCUUUUGAGGAAAUCAAGCACUAUCUCUCAAACCCACCAGUUUUGUCCCCACCCAGGCAGACCACUCAAGUUAUAUAUUUCUGCAUCAGAAGUAUCUAUUGGGAGUCCUUUAGUCCAAGAUAACAAGGAAGGGAAGGAACAUGCAGUCUAUUACCUGAGCAGAACUUUGAUAGAAGUGGAAGGGAAAUAUUCUGCAUUUGAAAGACUUUGUUUGGCUUUAUACUUUACUGCUAUAAAACUCAGACAUUACAUGCUACCUUUCACCACCUACAUCAUUGCCAAGACAGAUCUGAUCAAAUACAUGCUAACAAGGCCAAUGUUGAGAGGGAGAAUUGGUAAAUGGACUCUAGCCCUGUUAGAAUUUGCCUUCAGAUAUGUUCCUCAAAAGUCCAUCAACGGACAAGUUGUUGCAUAUUUUUCGGUAGAUCAUUGAGAAUAUGGAUUCCAUGGACAUAGCCAAUGCAUAUUUUUGGGCAGAUCACACUUGUCUCAAUAAUCCCAUUUAUUCAGUUCAUCUCACCCCUUGGAAGCUAUACUUUGAUGGAUCUAAAACAGACUCAGCCUCUGGGGCAGAGAUUGUUCUAGAAGAUCCACUUGGAAUCAAACAUUGUUAUUCAUUCCAAUUAGAUUUCUAGUGCACCAAUAACAAGGCAGAAUACGAAGCUUUAAUCAUAAUACUAGAAAUGCUGGUGGAACUAGGAAUCCAAUCUAUCGAAAUUCUGGCUGAUUUCAUGCUUGUACUAAAACAGAUUGCUGGAGAAUGCAAAUGUUUGAGCCCCUCUCUAGCCGUCUAUUUGGUGGCAGCCAGAAAUCUCUUGACAGAAUUCAGGGAAGCCACUUGGGAACAUAUUCCGAGGGAAGAAAACUUUGCAGCCAAUGAGAUGACCCAGAUAGCAACAGGGGUACAGAUGCCUGAAGACUGUGUACAGAGAAUCAUCAAGGUAGGGAAGAAAAGUCUGCCAUCAGUUCUGACCAGAGGGAUGGAGAUAGAUGUCAAUUCUGCCAUGAUGAGUGAGGAGGACUGGAGACUACCCCUAAUUAAUUAUCUGCAGUAUCCAGCCCUCCCAUUCGAGAAAAGGAUAAGAAUCAUGGCUUUAAAUUAUGUCAUGUGGAAUGAAGAGUUGGUCUGAAAAAGCAAAGAUGGGCUACUUUUGAGAUGCUUAGGAAAAGAAGAACACAUGAAAGUCAUGGGAGAAGUCUAUGAAGGAAUUUGUGGAGCACAUCAAGGUGGAAGAAAAAUGUGUUGGUUAAUCAGAAGGUAUGGUUACUUCUGGCCUACCACGAUGAAGGACUACAUUGAAUAUUCCAAAGGAUGUGAAGCUUGUCGAAGACAUGGUCCAAUCCAGCAGGUUCCCUUAGUUCCCAUGAAUCCAGCCAUCAAGCCAUGGUCAUUCAGAGGAUGGGAAAUGGACCUCAUUGGCAAGAUUUAUCCAGCCAGUAGCAAGCAACACUUUUAUCAUAGUGGCUACUGAUUAUUUCACCAAAUGGGGGGAAGCCAAGCCAGUCUAAUCCACCACAUCUUAAAAGAUCAUUACCUUCAUAAAAGAACAUAUUGUGUAAAGGUUUGGCAUACCAGAAUCAAUCACCACUGACAGGGGAAGUUCCUUCAUAUCCAGAGAAAUGCUAGACAUGGCAGAAGCAUUCAAGUUCAAACUACUUCAAUCCACCCCUUACUAUGCCCAGGCUAAUGGACAGGUAGAAUCAAGCAACAAGGUGAUUAUCAACAUUAUUAGAAAAAUGCUUGAGGAAAAUCCAAGGCAAUGGCAUGAAAAACUAUCAGAAACCUUGUAGGCCUAUAAAACUUCAAAAAGAGAAGCAACUGGAAUGACUCCAUAUGCUUUGACUUAUGGACAUGAUGCAAUUCUGCCAAUGGAAAUCGCAGUUCAGUCCAUCAGAAUUGCCCAGCAACACAAUUUGGUUCGGGAAGACUAUUUUUGCAGGCAAUGCUGCUAGAAUUGGAGGGAUUGGAUGCAAGCAAAAUUAAUAUCCUUAACAAACUCUUAGCAGGGAAGCAGGCUGUGGCAAAAGCCUAUAACAAGAGAGUUAGAAACAAGAGUUUUGAAGAAGGAAAAAUCAUCUGGAAAGUAGUUCUGCCCUUUGGAACACACAUAGCUGGUUAUGGAAAAUGGUCACACACAUGGGAAGGUCGUUUCAUAAUUAAGCAAGUCCUUGGAUUCGGGCCAUACAGAUUACAGGAUAAAGAUGGAGACAUCUAUGCAGCGCCAAUCAAUGGUAAAUGGUUGAAGAAGUUCUGUCCAACUAUGUGGGAUUCACAAGUAGUACAAACAGAUCCUGGAAUUGAGGGGGUAAAGGAUGAAACUGUUGUUUGAUUUUCCAUUCAGAUUUGUACAAAAGUUUUAGUGUGUAUUUCAUUUAUGCCCUUUUUUAUUCAUCUAAGUUAAAAGAAAAUGAAAAUGCAAAGUUCCACAAAAUAAUUAGGAUUUGUAUUUAAAUAUAGUCAUUUGCUAUGACUAAGUUUUAUUACAUUUUUUGGGAAUUUCAAAAUCCUAAUUUUCUAAGGGUCUCUUGCAAUCCAGUCUUUUUGGUGGAGAUCUCUUUCUAAAGGAGCACUCUCUGAUGAAUAGAAGCUUUUGCAAUCUCCAAUGCUGGCCUAGAAGCUGAGACCAUGUUCUGCACAAGGAAAGUGGCCUUAGUUUUGGUGCCUAGUCCAGCCCCAAGCCUGUUCUGCCUCUCCCUCAAUCUAGCCAGCUGCUUUUGAAGUUCUUCAAUUUGUUUCUCCAGCUUAUCAGCAGCAAUCUUGGCCUCCUUGUAAUCUGCGACAAAAAUGUGCAGUUCUGCCUUUUGUUUUUGGUAAUCAGCCAAGUUGGCUUCAUGAGUAGCUCUGUAGAACUUGGAGGCAUUGAAGGAGGGCGUGAGAUCUUCAUAGAAAUUCUGCAAAUUGAGCUCAUCUCUUGCCAUACCAAGGCUGAUCUCAAGUAUAGGCCUGGGAGCCAUGUUUUCUCCGUGUAGCAGGUCUAGAUCCUUCAUCAACUGAUCAACAGCCUCUUUGUUCUCAUCCAAAUCUAGCUUAUUUGACUGCCAGAUCUUCCCUCUAUCCACUGCCUUGGACUUAGCCUUGCCAAGAAUGGAUCCCAUUUUCUCGAGCUUGUCCAGCUGAGCAUCCAAGUCUAUAGCUUCAAACUCUGCCAAUUCUGGAUUAGCAAAGGAGGCCGUGGUGGAUAAACCAGGGAGAUAAUGGAUAUGCAUCUGCAAAAAGAGAAGAAUUUCAGUUAGUUCCAUGCUAGAUUGGAAUAAAAGGAAGACUAGGGCACCAUGAUACUUACAGCCACAAUAGGAGGCUUGAGAGGACUGAUCGCUACAGUAAAAACCCCAACAGUUCUCACUAGUAAAAAAAACCCCCUUGCGCGACCAAAUUUUGCGCGACGAAACUCAAAACUUCGUCGCUCAAAGUCUUGCGCGACCAAAUUUUGCGCGAUGAAAAACAAUUCGUAGCGCAAAGUCACUUCGCGCGACAAACUUUUACGCGACGACAAUACAUCGUCGCUCAAAGUCUUGCGUAACCAAAUUUUGCGCAACGAAAAAACAUUCAUCGCGCAAAGUAACUUUGCGCGACAACAAUACAUCGUCGCUCAAAGUGACUUUGCGCGACGAAACAAUGAACCUCGUCGCGCAAAGUCCUUAUAAAAAUAAAAAAUAUAUAUUUUAAAAUCUUUGCAUGACGUAAUCCAAACAUUUCGUCGCCUAAACUAAUUUAUUUUUGUUUUUUAUUUUGUAUGCAUAACACUUAAGAAAUUAAACAGUAUAUAUAUUUAUUAAGUAGCUUUAAAUUUAUUAUUUUAGAUCGGAUCGAAUUUUUGUUAGAAAAAUAUAUUAUUGUUGUUCAGAUUGGGUUUUUGUUAGAAAAUAUAUAUUUUAAAUUGACGAUCGAAUUAGUUCAUUGUAUUCAUAUAGGGUCAAGGAGUGUAGCUGUAAAAAAUCAUCAAAAUCGGAGUUAAAAUAACCGUUAAAUCGUGAUUUUUCAUUAUAAUCGUCGAAAAGUUUUGUCCCAUUACUUGAUCUCUGAAUGUUUAUUUUUUCCGAUUUUUGGCGUAUAUGAUCUCAAAGUAUAAACAAACAAGUUUGACGGUUGGAUCGUUGAAACUAGUUUUGGUGAAUGCAUAUGCCAUCAAAACAAUAUAUUCACUAACAAUUAAGAGUUUAUUUAUACGUUCGUUAAAUAUAACAUAAGAUUUUGUGGUAUCCACUAGUGUAAAUAUUUUAAUUGAAGAUCAAAUUCAGUCAUUGUAUUCAUAUAGGGUCAAGGAGUGUAGCUGUAAAAAAUCAUCAAAAUCGGAGUUAACAUAACCGUUAAAUCGUGAUUUUUCAUUAUAACCGUCGAAAAGUUUUGUCCCAUUACUUGAUCUAUGAAUGUUUAUUUUUUCCGAUUUUUGGCGUAUAUGAUCUCGAAGUAUAAACAAACAAGUUUGACGGUUGGAUCGUUGAAACUAGUUUUGGUGAAUGCAUAUGCCAUCAAAACAAUAUAUUCACUAACAAUUAAGAGGUUAUUUAUAUGUUCGUUAGAUAUAACAUAAGAUUUUGUGGUAUCCACUAGUGUAAAUAUUUUAAAUUGAAGAUCAAAUUCAGUCAUUGUAUUCAUAUAUGGUCAAGGAGUGUAGCUGUAAAAAAAAUCAUCAAAAUCGGAGUUAAAAUAACCGUUAAAUCGUAAUUUUUCAUUUAUAACCAUCGAAAAGUUUUGUCUCAUUACUAGAUCUCUGAAUGUUUGUUUUUUGCGAUUUUUGGGGUAUACGAUCUUGAAGUAUAUACAAAUAAGUCUGACGGUUGGAUCGUUGAAUGGUGUGUGUAUAUAUAUUUAUUUAUUAAGUAGCUUUAAAUUAUUUAUUUUGUACGUAUAACACUUCAGAAAUUGAAUAGUAUAUAUAUUUAUUAAGCAGCUUUAACCUUAUUUAUAUUUUAAAUUAUAAAAUAAAAUAAUUUUAUUUUUAUUAUUCAUAACAAUUAUUUUUAUAAAUAUUGUGUUACGAACUAAUUUUUCGUCUCUCAAAAGUUUGCGCAAUCAACAGUUUGUCGCGCAAACCUCUAAAAAUUUGGACGGGUACCAAAAAUGGGACGCGGGAUUUAAAAAAAAAAUAAAAAAAUUUUAGACUUUGCGCGACCAAUAUUUUUUGUCGCUCAAAACUUUGCGCGACCAAUAUAUAUUUUUCGUCUCGCAAAAAUUUGGGCGGGUACCAAAAAUCGGACGCGGGAAUUUUUUAGACUUUGCGCGACCAGUAUGUAUUUUUCGUCGCGCAAAAAUUUAAAAAUUUUGGCGGGUACCAAAAAUGGGACGCGGGGAUUUUUAUUUUUUUUAAAUAAUUUUUUUAGACUUUGCGCGACCAAUAUUCCUAAAUUCGUCGUGCAAAAAUUGAAAAAUUUUGGCGGGUACCAAAAAUGGGACGCGGGGAUUUUUAUUUUUUUAAAAUAAUUUUUUUAGACUUUGCGCGACCAAUAUGUUUCGUCGCGCAAAAGUUUGCGCAAUCAAUAAUCCAAUAUUUUUCGUCGCGCAAACAUUUGCGCAACCAACAAUAUUUUUCGUCGCGCAAAGUGAUACGGUUUUUAAAACCGAAAUAACUCAUCCACCAUUUUCUCAAUGCCUUUCUCUACUCUUACCUCUCCUUUCUCUUUCCCUCUCCCCAAAUCCCACCAUUUCUCUCAUUCACUCCUCUCCCUUAAUCUCUCAUCUCUCUCUUCACUAUCUCUCACUCUCUCUCACUCACUCUCUCAUCUCUCUAUCACUAUCUUCUCUAAUUCUCUCACACUCACUUCUCCCUCUCAUUCUCAUUCACUCUCAAUCUUGCCAAAAGGUAUAUUCUCUCCAAAUUUUAAAUUUUUUUCAUUAAUAUGUGUUUUUGGAGUUAAUUUUGAGUUUGUGUGGGUUUUGGGGUUGAGUAAAGGGGAGGGAUUGGAGUUUGGGUUGGAUUUGUGGUAUAACAAUUUUAGGGGAGAUUAUGCCGUCUUCUUUUUUUUGUGUGGUUAUUUGACCAUAUUUAUUUUUUUUUGGUAGGGAAUCAUCGAGACUUUGACGGCUAAAGUUGAGGAUUAGGAAGCUAUCAAAACAUAUCCUCCGCCACUACCACCACAAUACGCUUGUAUUAGGAUUUUAUUAUUGUACUUUGUUAAUUUAUGUGUACAUUUUGAAUAUUAUAUAUAUAUAUAUUUAUUGGAUAAUUUAAUCACUAUUUUUCAUAUGUAAUUUUAUUUUGAAUAUGUCAAUUUAAAUUAAAGUAAUUAAAAAAUCAUACAAUUAAAUUAAAUUUAAAAAGUAAAAAUUAAUAUCAAUUUAAAUUAAAGUAAUUUUAAAAAGAAAUCAUACAAUUAAAUUAAAUUUAAAAAGUAAAAAUUUGAAAAAAUUCAUAUAAAUAAAUUCAUAUUAAAGAAAUAAUAAAACAAAAAGUCAAAAACCUUGCGCGACAAAAUAUUUCGUAGCGCAAACUAUUAAAUUAGUUUCUUUUAAAUUAAAAAAAUUUAAAACAAAAAAUAUUUCGUCGCGCAAAUAUUUGCCCGACGUUAGUAUUCGUCGCGCAAAACUCAAAAAAUUUGGGCAGGUACCAAAAAUUGGACGCGGGAAUUUUUUAUUUUUUUAAAAUUUUUUUUAGACUUUGCUCGACCAAUGUUUUUCGUCGCGCAAAACUUUACGCGACCAAUAUAUUUCGUCGCGCAAACAUUUGCGUGACCAAUGUAUUUCGUCGCGCACAAAUUUGCGCUACCAAUAUUUUUCGUCGCGCAAAGCUUUUUCGUCGCGCAAAGUCGCUUUGCGCGACCAAUAUUUUUUCUUCGCGCAAAGUCACUUUGCGUGACCAAUGAAAAAACUUCGUCGCGCAAAGUCUUUCUUCACGAUCUUUGCGCGACGGUUUCUGCGUGACGAAGUUUCUGUCGCGCUGAAAUUUGUGCGACUACAAUGUAUUUUGCGCGACGAAAUUCUCUUCGUCGCGCAAAGUGUAAAAUGUAGUAGUGUCUAUCUUCUUCCACCUGAAGGGACAGAAGCAUUAGAAACGAGACAGAAUAGGAUUGUAGAAACCAGACAGAGUUAAGACAGUACAGAAGUUACCUCAGGUUCAGGGACAACAACAACGGAGUGUUCUACCUCCACCUUAUACUUUGGAACGGUAGCAUAAUAUUUUGCCUCCACAUCAUCAAGGAAAGCCAACUCUGAGCUUGUGGGUUCUGCCCUUUGAGCUUCCUGCUGCUUCUUGGCCCGCGCAAUACUUUUUGCUAUCACUUCAGUAGGUAUCUCCUCCUACAGAUGGACAUAAGUCAAAAUUAGAAAGAGUACAGAUGCAAGACAAUCAUGUUCCAUACAAAAAGAACAAAGUCUCACCUCUUCUUCAACUUCUUUGCCUUUUACUUUGUCACCUGUCCAGACAUUUGCUUCUUUUUCUUGCUCCACAGCCUCGAAAGCCUCUCUCAGCUCUUCAUAUGUCCCAGAAGUGGUAGUAGGGACUGCUGCAGAUUCUGUGGCUACAUAUUCUACCAUAGCUAUCUUCCUAAGUCUUUUUGACCUAGUAGGAGGGGGAGGAGGACUUUCAGCUAGAGAAGACAGAAGAUAAAGGAUUAUAACAAAAGAACAGCAUAGAAUAAAAUUAGAGAGUUCAAAUUCUCCAAGUUUACCUGAGGAUUCUGGCUGGACAGCACUAUCUUGAGCCUGGGCAGUUUCCUACCUUUUGUUCCUUCUAGCAGAAGGAGUUGCUUGGACAGUUGUUUGUUCUGCCAAGGUUUCUUGAUCAUCUCCUUCAUCCCUGGAAGGGAGUUCCAGGUCUCCAGCAGCUAUGACAGAAAACAGAAAGUUAGAAAGCAAUCUAGUAGAAAAAGGCAAAAGGAUAGAGCUUGAAAACUUACCAAGCACUUCCCCAGCCUUGACAUCUUGUCCUCUAAUGUUCCUUGUCAUAGAAGGAUCUACCACAAACAGACAGAAUAGGGUUACAAAAUUUCUCUCAGACCGAAUAUGAUAAAACAGGAUAGAAAAAGGCAGAGUUGAGAGUCUACCUUCAAUCACUUGUGCAUUGAUGUCCUUGAUCAUAUGCACCAUGAAUUGCUUGGCUUCUACCCCUGCAUAGACAGUCCAAGAGUCUUAGUCAUCAAAAAGCACUUUGGUGGCACAACUGGAAGUAGGCAAACCAUGGAACCUGGCUUUCCACCAAGCAUCGAACUCGACAGAACUGCAAGAAUUAGGCUCCUAGGAUGGAUAGAGAGCUUCCACACUGUUGUUAAUCUUGUUCACCGAGCAACUAUAGUUCUUAUGCACCUUCAGAUCAUCUAAAUCUCUCCAGGAAGUCGCCCGAUUUCAACUUCUGUAGGACUUGAGUGGGUUCAGCUGAGGGCAACCAAGCUGCUUGGCAUAAAAGUUGGGGUCAUACACUUCUACCCCCAAGUGAUAGUUGGGAGGCUUCCCACAGAUCCCGGGGUAGUGUCACACUCAGGAAUUUCUUCCUAAACUAAGUUAUGGCUUCUUCUUCUUCUGGUUCCUUCUCAAAAAGCCUAUGCAGUGCCUAAAAAAUAUUAGAUACUCUUCGAUGGAAUGCUUGGGCACUUUUGCUGACAUCAGAGGGAAAGCCAGAACUUGAUCUUCAGGUAGAGCUACAUCAGGAAACCUCAGUUCUGGGAAGUACACUUGCAGCCAGAUCUGGAUCAUCUAGAAUGCACUAGGAGCAGAGAGAUUCAAGGGAUUCUCUAGGGUGAAAGUGUGCAGGUUCUUGUACAAAUGAGCCAAAACUGUAGGUCCAAGCCCCACAUCCAUGUGAUUGUGCAGAGCUUCUGCCAGAUGCUUGUAUUUAAGUAGAAUUGCCAAUGAAUGAUUUGGAAAAAUGAACCUGUUCAGCAAGUAUAAAAGGAACAACAUGUGCUGUUGAUGCUUAUCCUUCUCUGUGCUAAAUAUCUUCAGGUAAUUAGAAAAUUAGCAGUUCUGUUGAUUGUGGCUGGAGAGAUAGUGAAGGGCUUUGCGAAUCUUUCCUAGUUCUUCCUUCUGUGAUAAUCACCAACAGCAACAACAGGCCUUCCAUAGGGCCUGAAUCCAAAGAUUUGAGCCAUGUCCAGCAGGGUCGGAGUAAUUGGGCCCAUACGAAAGUCAAAAGUGUUGCUAGCAGAAUUCCAGAAACACAGAGCAGCAGCCAGAAGUUUCUUGUCUCUAUUCAUAGACUGCUUGGACAGAAGGGUUGCAUCAUCGAUUCCAGCCUUCUUCCAGUGAGCUCCAUAUCUUGGAAGGAGCCUGUCAAUCCAAUCUGCCCACUUCAUCUUGCUGUUCCUCACUUCACUGGAGGGAAAUGAGUGACUCAAAUUCUUACUAACCCAGGUAUGAGAAGCCAGGGCAGAAGAGCUCUGAAAGCACCGAGGAGCUUCAGCGUCAUCCCUGAACAGAAGUGCCAUUUCCUCAAGAACAUGGCCAAACCAGUGAGGGCCCAGAACUAAGGUAUUUUCAGACAGAUGGAUGACAUUUUCAUCAAGAUUCUUCUGGGCAAACGGAUGGAGCUUGCUUCGAACUUCUAUUGCAUGAUUAUCGACGCCAUCUCCAGUGAGAUAAGCAGGAGAUCGCGAAGAAGAAGAACCCUUGGCACGAGUGUUUGGAGAAGACAUUUUUUAUUUCAAACAAACAGGGAAGGGUUGAAGAAAAAAGCCAAAGAAUAGAGGGAUUUGUAAGAGGAGAUGAAAACUGAGACAGAAUUAGGUUUGCAAGUGAACAGUAUUGGAGUUUAGAAAUUUUUAUAAACUAAGGAAGAAGAUCGUGGGGAGAGUGGAACAAGGUUCUAAAUUAGAAUAAAUUAGCCGUUAGAAAUUGACCACUUACCCACGAAGUCUAGUUGAAUAGGCAGACUUGGGCUAGUUACAAUGGAAGGAAAUGGCGCGCAUCAUUAAUGGCCAAAUCGUUAAGUCUGAAACGUUUCAAAAAUGAUUCAGACUUAGGGGGCAUUGUUUGGGCCUAAAUUUUGCGAGCCCAGCCUAUUUAUUGCAGCCCACAAACAUGAGCACAUUUUGGGCCUGAUGUUUAUUUAAUUGUUUCGAGAUCUUAUCAUAUUGUCAAACUAUCCAUUUAUUUUCUUGUACUGUCUAAGUUCACGAGAUCUUAUCGUAUUGUCUUACUAUCCAUUUAUCAUGUUGAUUUUUUGUUUAAUUGUUUCGUCCAAAUUCACAAUCUAUAACAAUAUAAUAGGAUAAUAUAAGUGGAGUCUUUCUUGAUGGGCAUGUCCUUAUUUUCGAAAAAGUAUGCACAUCUUUUCGAAAAGCAGUGGGGAUAGAAUGCAUAAAGAGGAUCAUGAUUCUCAUAUAUAGGCUUGCAAGGAUAAUACACAUAUGAUUUUUCAGUUAAAAUUUAACUAAAAGUAUUUAAAAGAUAUUUUAGGAGCUCUCUAUAAAAUUUUAACUCCAAUCAUACUCUCUAGUUUAGGGAGUCAUAGAAGCUGUAACUAUUUUUGAAUUGGUCAGUCUCUAUAAAAUAAAAAAAUAGUUUGCAUUAAUUAAAGAUUUAAAAUACUCAAAAAUAAAAUUAAGCAGCAUUAAAUUUUAAGGAGCCACUAUAGGAGUUCUUUCUCUCUUCUCAGAUUUAGGAGUUCCUAGAAGUCUCCCUAUUUUAAAAGGUGGAUAGGGAGCAUGGCUAGAGUUGUAUUUUUUAAAUUUCUCUUUAAAAAAUUUCUGAGAAUAUAAUUAGUGAGUCCGUUGUGAAUGCUAUAAUAUAAUAAAGGAAAAGAAAUCAAACUACUUAUCAUAAUAGACGAUUUGGCAAGCUCUUUUGCAAAAGCAAAUUUGAAAACGAUCUGGUGGUAUCAUUAAUUGCGGAUGUCUGUUUCCAUGAGUCAAGAAGUAUUGGAUUGACUCGUGGUGCCCAUCACUUCAAUUGUUAAAACUCCAUUCUGAUUGACUCCAAGUAUUACGCGCCAACAUAGAUUUUAUUAUUAUUUUGUCCUGUGUUUUAUGUGUUAAUUUUGUAGUUGAUUCAACCACACACAUUUCUUUUUCAAUAAACUAAAAUCAUUUUAUGGCUGCUGCAGUCACUUGAGAGAGAAGUAAGCAUUUCUUUAGAUGAAUGAAUGUAAUCACUUGAGAGAGACUAGUGGUUAGAUUAAAUGAACGAUGAACUAUUUGCAAUGCCAAAUCUCAAUAUACAUUAAAAGACUAAUAAUUCUACAAGUUAACAUAACAAUGGGAUUUAGUCGAGUAGAAAAUGGUAUUAACUUACAAACCAUAGUGUGUGUGAGAAAUUUCCUUCACCUUUAUAGUUUAUACCAUCGCUUGUAUUAAAAAAAUAAAAUAACAAAAGUUAAUUUUCUUUUCUUUUUUGGAACAACUUGUUAAGGUUUGUUCAUGCUUUGCGUAUUGAGUUGGAGUACAAUGGCAAAGCCACUCCUAGGCCUAGAGUGGCCUUGGCGCCCCACCAAAUUUUUAUAUCUCCUUUAUUAUAUUAUAUAUAACAUAUAAAAUUUGUAAUAAACCACUUAUAAUUUAAGUUAAAGUUUCCUCUAAAAUAAAUUAGACAUGACUAAAUUAUAAAUAUUUAUAUCUAAACAAGUAAUUAUUGAAUACUCAGUAUUUAAUAUACUUGUAUUUUCUACUUCAGCCCCCCGAACUUUACAAUUCUAGCUCCGCCCUUGUUGGAGUACCUUGUUGCCCAUCUCAAACGUCAUGCCAUUUCGAAAAGUUGUCGAGCACCAUGCCUUGUUUGGGGGUGGUCAAAAUUCACCCAAUUUGCCAAGGAAGAAUUCCUAGCAACGGGAUUCCUAUUGGCUGAAAGAAUUCCUAUCGACAAAAUUCCUAGCUGAGAAAUUCUAGUAGCCACGAUGCUUUCUCAAAAAAGUGGCCAAUGUGUUUUCUUUAAAGGCCAUGGUGCCUUCUCAAAAAUUUGGUUAGGCGUAUCCUUUCAAGUUGGCCGAACACUUCCUUUUGCAAAAGUGGCCUGGCACUUCUCAAAAAGGUGGGCCUGGCACUCUUUAAAUACCUUGGUCGACCACUCCUCUUGCAAAAAGCUAGGCCGGGGUGGAUUUUCUCCUUGCGCACCCAGGCGCCCUCCUCGCAACACUUGGGCAAGCAAAUUUGGGCCGAGGGAGUUCAAGUUCGAUGGGAGGUAUUUCUGCCAAGGGAGUUAAAGUUCAGCGCGAGGUAUUUCCACUGGGCGAGUUGACGUUCGGUGGGAGGUAUGUCUGCUGAGUUCUCAAUAUUUGAAUAUUUGGAGAACUCAAAUAUAGUCCACCGAGGAAUAAUCAUUUUCUCAAUAUAAUUUUUGGCGACUUUUAUUCCUUAUACAUCAAAUAAGAAAACUUGAUUUUAUGGGAGUUUAGUAUGAAGAAUAUAUUGACUUAAUGAGCCAUUUUAGCUAAAUUUUAUUUUGCACUAAAACCGAAAUUUCAUAUUUUGAUUUGGUGGGAAUUUGAUUUUCUAGUAUUUUUCUUUGAAUCCAAAUGGGGGGUACUUCCUUAUUUACAUUGUAAACUUAAGUAAAUGUCUUUGUCCUUUUACUUUCAUGUAUUACUUUCAUUUAUUUUUAUACUACUCCAUUUACUUAAAUGUUGAAAAUGGAAAUAAGGUAAUCUAUACACUAGUUGAGCAAAAAGGCAAUUUGAAGCACCUAGUAUUGUUUUUCCGGCAAGAAGGGGUGCAGCUGCACCUCUUUGCUCCUUAAUAGGGGUUUGGGCCUAAAUUCUGCGAGCCCAGCUUAUUUAUUGUAGCCCACAAACAUGAGCACAGCUUGGGCUUGAUGUUUAAAGGAAGCUGAAAAGCAGCCCAAAAUAGAGAAAGCCCAGACUAAUUUCUCGAAAUCUUGUGAGCCCAACCCAGAAUUUGUCAAGCCCAUGAUAAAUGAACAGUCUUGGGCUUGAAAAAAUAAAAAGCAACUCAGUCAACAAUAUAGGCCCACGUCUUUUUCAAAAAUGGCAGAGGUUUUUUUUAUUAUAAAAAAGGUCAAUUAAAUGGCAAUUCAUCACCAAGCAGGUCAAAAACCUCUGAGAAAUUGGAUUAAAGCUAAGCUUCUGAAAAAUUUCGCCACUUGAUCUCAAAAGCAAAUCAGCAGGUUUUUCCCUUCCUAAAAAAUAUAUUUCCAGAAAAAGCCCCAUGUGACUACUUGACUUUGAAAAAUCAAAAAUCUCAACUAUCACAGAGGAGCUGACAGAGAGUUAAUGAAAGCAAGUAUAAAAGGAAGGCGUCCCUGAAUCUUUGCAGACAAAAGAUCAAAAUCCCUUUCUAUAUACAGAAGAGCAGGUAUCAUUUCCAAAGGAUAAGCAGACUACAUUUUCUAAAAAGAUAAGUAGGGAGCAUGGAGUUGAUUAUCAGGAAAACACUACUACAAAAAGUGAAAAAGACGACCAGAAAACAACGACGGUCUAAGUGAAAACAGUCGUGGUUUAUAAAAAGACGACGGUUCUAAAAACACCGUCGUGUAAUACAACCUUAGACAACUAAAAAAUGGAGUUUCAAAUGGCUGUUCAAAAACAACGACGUACAUAAUUAAACAACCGACGUCUAUUUGAAACAGAUUUCCGCAGUGUAAAAUCAAUGCCAACAAAGAACGGCAGAAGUUAUGAAUCGACCGACGUAGAAAGUAAAGACGACGAUUUCAAUAAAAACUGCCGUUUUUACUCAUAAAAUAAGACGACGAGGUUUUCGUAUAAGACGCCGUAUAAUUACAAACAAAUCCACGGCUUUAAAAUAUAAAAUAUCGCCGUAUUAAAUUAAUUUACAACGACGGAAAAUAUAAAUAUAUCGACGUCAUUCUCGUAUAGUUCUACUACGUUAUCUUUAAAUCGUACAAUAAAAUUUAUCGUCGUAUUUAUUCAUUUUAUACGUCGUACCUUUAAUUUUAACGGUCGUCUUAAUAAGAAUUUUUGUUAACAAUUUUUUUCUUUGAUUUUCUUAUCCUACGUCGGUAGAUCUACUUAAUGACAAGAAUUGAAAUAACCACGACGGUUUAUAUAGAACACCGCCGACAUAAUCAGUUUUGUCUGAGAUCCCAAGGGUUACGAAAUCUUACCAGAUGGAACUCUGUUCCACAUCAUAAUCUUAACAGAUGACACAGAUUUGCAAAUAUUGCGUCGUGUUAGUUUACAAAUUCUAGAACAUUAAUUUCCCUCAUUUUAAAUUUCCUCGGGAAAGAAAAAUCUAUUUAUCACGCUUUGGAAUUGAAAACUAAAACUGAAAGAAUACGGGAAAAAAAACUCCAUUUAUAAUUUAAAAUUAAAAUCCACGUCGGUUGUAGUACACUUAACGACGUUUAACAAAAUAAUCUACGUCGGUAAUUAUAAAUCUACCGCCAUCGUAACUUAAUAUAGACGACGAGAAAAGACGACGGUAGAACAGAAAACCGCCGUUGUUUCAGUUUCUUUAACAUAUCUUUCUGCAGGACUUGUGUAGUUCAAAGCAUUGACAAUAUCUUCAUCAUAUCUCCCAGAAACUACUGAUUCAAUUGCUCAUGCUUUAGAGGCCAUCUGAAGCCAUUUCUAUUCUUUAUCGCAUUCUUGAAACCCAUCUUCUUCUUCUGAAGCUCUACGGAUAAAGGAAGAGGCUAUCACAAUAAAUCCGACGGAUCUUCUUAGGCAAGAAAAUCAAGCAGAGGAUCAGGCACAUCUGAUCUUCAGAUUUCCCUGAGAAGCGAACUUUCCUUCGACAGCGAGUGGAGGCCAGGCUUGCAUCUCUUUUGAUGGAAAGCAAGGAGUAUUCAGAAGCACUAAGUGUCCUAUCAGGCUUGAUCAAGGAAGUGAGAAGGCUAGUUGACAAGCUUCUUCUUGUGGACAUAUAUUUGAUGCGAGUAAGCUCAAUUUCUCUUUGAGAAAACAUCCAAAUUAUUAUCUUUGAGACAUGAGAGACUGAGAGAGGAAGAACUUGGAACCUUAAAUGUAAACCGAAAAUGAAUGAAAGCGACAAAUUUAUAGAAUAAAUUUUUAAAACCAACGGCGGUCCUUACAAAAAAACCGCCGUUUAAAUUGUAAAAUCAACGUCGGUAUGAUCGACGUAUAUUACAGAAAUCCACGUCGGUAAAUUAAUAAAAACGACGUGUUAAAUAAUAUACCAUGACGCGAGUUAUUACUUAUGUACUUUAAUUUUUGAGUUUACUACGACGGUACCUACAAACUACUGUCGUAUUUAUUUACCACGUCCGAAGUUAAAUGUACCGUCGUAUUUUGUAAUUUAUACGUCGUAGUUAUAUGUAACCGCCAUAUUAUUUUUUUGAAAUGGUUUUAUAUGUAAGCAACUUUUCGUCUACUUGACUUACACAUUUGUUGUUUUUAUAUUCUUAUUUUAUUUAAAUCUGUCAUCCAAAAAAGAAACUUUACAUAUUGCAGAAUAUUAAUUUCCUUCGUUUUAAAUUUCCUCCGGAAAAAAAACUCUAUUUAUAACGCACUGUAAUUGAAAAAUAAACUGAAAGGUCACGGGAAAAAAAAUUCUAUUCAUAAUUUAAAAAUUAAAAUCCACGUCGGUUAUAUUAAACCUAACGACGUUAAAUGAAAUGAUUCCACGUCGAAUGAAAAAUAUUGCGUCGUUUUAGUUAAAAACGACGUAGUUAAAUGUAACCGCCGUAUUAUUUUUUUGAAAUGGUUUUAUAUGUAAGCAACUUUUCGACUUACACAUGCACUGUUUCCAAACCCGCUUAAAAAUUUCAAUCUCCCAGAGAAACCUUUUCGUCUUUUUUCCUUGUCAGAGCAUUGUCAGAGUUUCUCAUCGUCUUCCUCUCGUCUUCUUCGUCGUCUCUGAACUUAAACAUCGAUCAUCUUCCUCUUGCUUUCAUUGCACGCAAAAGGUAAGCUUUCAUUUUCACUAUUUUGGUUACUGUUUUGCAUGCUCAUACGUUUUUUGUUUGAAAAAUCUUUUUACCUUUUUUCUGGCCAAAAUCAUUUUACUUCUUUCCAAGUUUGAUAAAAUAUACAGACAAAGAGAGAAAGUUUCCAACUUUGAAGACAACUACAUCAACUAAAUAAGACGACGGUAGACCACGACGGUUCGUCAGUUGUUCUAGCGUCGUCUGAAAAUUGACAAAGUUGUUUUUAAAAUAAUAGUCUUUUUUUAUAUGCUUGUUUAAUUGCAGGUUUGAUUUCGCUGAACAAUGGUUUUUGUUUUUCCCUUAUUUGAUAAAAUAUAAAGAAAAAGAAACUAGGGUUGGUAUCUAAUAUAGACGACAAAAUAUCUUAUUGUUUUACGUCGUGUGAAUGUUAAUACCACGACGGUGUAUUACUAUUGACGUCGUAUGAACAUAAAUACCACGACGUUAUAUAAAUAAUAGUUUACCACGACGGUGUAUUACUAUUGACGUCGUGUGAACAUAUAUACCACGACGUUAUAUAAAUAAUGGUUUUAAACAUUUAUUACGUCUGAGAUUAUUUCAUUGCGUCGUCUAAAAUCAUAUCAUACGUCGUAUUUUUUUAAUACCGUCGUUUGUGUUCUUAAUGUUUUCCUGAAAUAUUUUCACUUGCAGUUUUGUCUGUUAAAAUGGUUUCUCAACAACAAACUAAGGAUUCUGGCUCCAAGAAGCUUGGAAUGGUAGCUCCUCAAGAUAAGUCUUCGAAGGAGAUGAAGUCUUCGAAGAAGAUGAAGUUUGCUUCAUCAUCUGCUGAGACAGAACAAACCAGCCAGACAACAAUCUCAGAUGAUUCAAAGACUGGUCGAGGUAUGAGCACAAUGCCUCGUGUUGUGAAGAGAAAGCUUCAGAAACUGAGGCCAAUUGUUGAGUACAAUAAAAGGGGGAAAGGUGUUGGCCAAGCACAUAUUGAGAUGCAGUCGUAUAUUGGUGUGUUGGCACGCUCCAGGAUCCCACUUGUGGACAAGAAAUGGUCCCAAAUCCCCAAGGAUAUAAAGGAGCAGAUUUGGGAAGCAGUUGACAUGGCUUUUGUCGUAGGCCAAGGGGGCAAGACCUCUGUUUUAGCUUCUGCUUCCAAGAAAUGGAAGGAUUUCAAGUCUACACUAACGAGGCAUUAUAUCCUUCCAUACACCAAUGACAGGGAGAAAUUAAGCCAACCCCCUGAAACAUAUAAAUUCAUAGAGAAAGCACAAUGGGAUGCCUUUGUAGCUUCAAGGCUAUCCAAAGAUUUUGAGUCUGUGCAUUCUCAACAUGCACAGAUUAGGGAGAAACUCGAGUACAAUCAUCGAUUGUCUCGAAAAGGAUAUGCUGGAUUGGAGGAUCAAUUGGAGGAAACCAUGCCUGGGGUAGAAAUUGAUCGAUCUACCUUAUGGAAGAGAGCUAGACAGGACAAACAUGGUAACAUCCCUGAUCCAAAGGUGGCAGAGAAAGCAAAAUUAAUUGUAAGCCUACUAUCACUCUGUUUUAAAUUUUUAUUAAACUGUGAAUUAUUCUUAUUACGUCGUAUGUUAUAUUUUUCGUCGUGUGAAUGAUAUUACCACGUCGAAAAGUUUUUAAAAACGUCGUUAAAGGUCUAAAUAGGAAUCACUACUAUGUUUUCUGUAAUUACAGCAUAAGACGUCGGUGGUUCAUUUUCGCGUCGUGUGAAUGAUAUUACCACGUCGAAAAUUUUUUAAAAACGUCGUUAACGGUCUAAAUAGGAAUCACUACUCUGUUAUCUUUAAUUAUAGCAUAAGACGUCGGUUGUUUAUUCAUUUCGUCGUUUUAAAUAAAUAACCACGUCGGUAUAACUACCGUCGUGAUAAGUUAUAAUAACGUCGGUUUAUACGUUAUUGCGUCGUGUGAAAUUAUAUAAUACGUCGUUUGUACAUAAAUAACCGUCGUGUGUUUUUUUGUUUAUCUUUUUUUAGGAUGAAUUGCAGAAACAAGUCUCGGAAGGCAAAGUCAGAGUAGAUGGCAGCAAUGAUGUGCUGACCAUGGCUUUGGGCCCCGAGCAUCCAGGCAGACUGAGGGGAGUUGGUGCUGGUGUUUCCCCAAGGCAAUAUUUCAAUUUGCCCAAACCACAGAGGGUGAGCUUUGACGACCGUUUGAAGGACAGUUUAAGAGUUCUCCUUCAAGAAGAGACUAAAAAGAUGGAGGCUAAGGCAAGGGAAGAGGCCUUAAGGAUGGAGGCUAGGACAAAACAAUUGGUAGAGGCUGAGAGGGAGCAUUUCCUGAGUCAGCUUUCCCAAUUAAUUCCCAAUUUUGAUCCAAGCAUGCUUAAACCAAGAAUUAGCCAAAGCCACAAAAAUCCAAUGUCUGACAAAGCUAGCUGCUCUGGAGGUGAUGUGAGAUCCCUACAUUUGGAGGAUGAUACUGCCAAAAUGGGGAAACAUCAGCCAGAUGAAGAGAAGGAAGAAGAAAAAAGAGAUGAAGAGAAGGAAGAAGAAAAGGAGAAAGAAGAUGAAGAAAAGCAUGACGACAAGGUAUGUUCACAUAACUUUGCCUUUUUUAUUUGUUUUUCAAAAUUUCAGACGUCGAUAUUUUUAUUUAAUCCGUCGUUUGUUUAAAACUUAGACGGCGGAAUUUUUUUAAGACGUAAUAAAAUAUUUAAACGACGGUUUUUGCACCGUCGUUUAAAUGGUUUCAGACGACGCUUUAUUCAUAAAACCGUCGUCUUUAUUGAAUUACCACGACAGUUUUUUCACCGUCGUUUAAAUACUUUUAAGACGACGUUUUAUUACUUAAACCGUCGUCUUUAUUGAAUUACCACGUCAUUUUUUUUAUUUCUUUAAACAAGUUAUUGAAGUUGGUGCUUAUUCAAAAAUGGAGGCGCCAUCUUCUUUAAAAACCCUUUGUCGUUUUGUGGAAACGACACUCCUGCCUGAGGAUAAGACAGUCCAAUUUACAAUUGAUAAGGAGGUGUUUGGUGGUGAGCGCGAUACCUUCCUCCUGCCUGAAGAUAUUACACAAUUUGCAGGCAUGGAAGAAAUUGGAGCUACUGUAUUGGCUGUAUAUAUGAGGUUUGUACUUCUAAAAUAAUAACUCGUUGGUUUAUAUAUUGCGUCGUCUUAACUAACUAACCACGUCGUCUUAACUAACAACCGUCGUGAUAAAUAUAUUAUAACGUCCUCAUCUAUUUCAGUACGUCGUGUGAAAUAUUAUAAUACGUCGUUUUUUUAUACAUAACCGUCGUGUUUUGUGUGCUGACUUGUUUAUAUUAUUUUAUUUGUUUAGGUACUUACACGAUGUUUUGAAAAAAGCCAAUAUGUGCAGUAUGGUUGGCUUUAUCGACCCUGCUACAGUUAGUGCCAACUCUGGCACAAUAACUGAAAGAUCACGACUCGUAGCAGCUCGACUUCAGAAGACAGACGGUGAACAGAUUUUCAUGAUGCCUUACAAUCCAGGGUUAGUCUCCUUAGGAUUUUGUUUUUAUGAUUUUCAAUAAAUGACAGCUUAUAAACUAACCAUGUCGGUGUUUUAUUUUAUUUAGUCGUUUGAAACUACUAACCACGUCGGUAUUUAUUUAUCGUCGUGAUAAAUAUAUAAUGUCGUCGUUAGCUACUUUACUUCGUCGUGUGAAAUACUAUAAUACGUCGUUUUUGUAAAUAACCGUCGUUUUUAUAUUAAUUUUGUGCAGCCGUCAUUGGAUUUUGCUGAUUGUAAGAGCAAAGAGAGAAACCGUCUAUUUUCUGGAUCCUCUGCCAGGAAAUCGUGUGGUCGAUGAAGAGGCCAAAAACAUCGUGAACAGUGCUUUAAAAAUAUAUAAUACCCACAUAGCCCGAGCAGGACGUAAAAAUGUAAUUUGGAAAACUCUCUCAGGCACACCAAAGCAACCCAGCAAUGUCGAAUGCGGGUAUUAUGUAAUGCGCUUCAUGAGGGACAUCAUCAUGGAUCCUUCCUUGGGGUUUGAGAAUAAGGUAAGAAGAAAUUACCUUCAUACAUUUCACGUCGUUUUUUGUAUUAUCAACGACGGUCGUGUAAAAUUAACGUCGUUGAAUGGAUAUACUACGUCGGUUAUGAAAAAUAUCGUCGUCUGUGAUUGAAUUUCUUUUUAUUUAUAAACCCUAAUAGUCAUUGUUUAUGCAGUAUGCCAAGGGAAACCAGGAAGCUUCAUACCCCCAAGAAGCCAUUGAUGAAGUCCGGAAUGAAUGGGCAGAGUUUGUUUUCCAAAUUAUUAAACAGGGCAAUUAUUGAACACUUGAUAUUUAUGUAUAAUGUACCAAUUUUCUCUAUAAUAUGUAAUGUAAAAAUUUGUUGAGGUUUUCUUAAAUUAAAAAAAAAACAAACAUACAAAUUGCUUAACCGACGUGUAAUACUUUUCCAACGACCUAAUAAAGUCAAUAACCGUCGUAUUUUGUUGUUGCGUGUUUUAAACAAAUACGACAUAAAAAAAUAGUUAGACGACGUUCUUUGAACAAUUGAGUCGUUAAUGGUUUACAAUAUCUUCAAUUUCUUAAGGGUUCAGGGUAUAAUCGACGACGUUUAUGUAACGACUGCGGUUAAGUCGUAAAAUAUAUAUUUUACGUCGUAUAGUUAAAUAGCCGCCAUGGUUUCUCAUUUUAACGACGUCAUUUUAACGACUUAGUAGUCUAUUACAAUUUACAACGUCUACAAUUUAUUUAACACCGACGUGGUUUGUUGUAUGGUAAGAAUAUUUUAUUAUUUUUAUAUCAAAAUAUUCAAAAUAAAUAUAAAAUAAAUCAGAAAAUUGAAAAGUCAACUCCUAUGAAGUCAUUGAUAUAUUUUCUUCCACAUAAACCUUGAAAAAAUUCAUUUUGAAUAACAAAAAUUUAAAAUGACCAUCCAAAACAAAAUUGUUUUGAUGAGUCAUAAAAUCACUUCUAGUUUUAUGGUUUAGGGUUUAGAGUCUAGGGUUUAGAGAUUAGGGUUGUUAUUUAUUGGGGUUUAUUUUUAAAGUAUAAUUUUUGGGUAGUCUAGGGUAUAUGUUAGGCUUUAAAACCAUAAAACCUUUUAUAAACUUAAUUUUUUAAAUUGUAUAAUUUAAUUUUAUGGGUUUAGUGUAUUAAUUUUUAACGACGGUGGUUGGGUCGUGGAAUACAUAUUUUACGUCGUACAGUAAAACAUACGACAUGGUUUACGCUUUAAACGACGUCAUUUUAAUAUGUAAGUCGGUUUAUAUAAUUUACAACGUUUUUAAUUUCUUAACACCGACGUGGUUUCUCAUUUUAACGACGUCAUUUUAACGACUUAGUAGUCUAUUACAAUUUACAACGUCUACAAUUUAUUUAACACCGACGUGGUUUGUUGUAUGGUAAGAAUAUUUUAUUAUUUUUAUAUCAAAAUAUUCAAAAUAAAUAUAAAAUAAAUCAGAAAAUUGAAAAGUCAACUCCUAUGAAGUCAUUGAUAUAUUUUCUUCCACAUAAACCUUGAAAAAAUUCAUUUUGAAUAACAAAAAUUUAAAAUGACCAUCCAAAAUAAAAUUGUUUUGAUGAGUCAUAAAAUCACUUCUAGUUUUAUGGUUUAGGGUUUAGAGUCUAGGGUUUAGAGAUUAGGGUUGUUAUUUAUUGGGGUUUAUUUUUAAAGUAUAAUUUUUGGGUAGUCUAUGUUAUAUGUUAGGCUUUAAAACCAUAAAACCUUUUAUAAACUUAAUUUUUUAAAUUGUAUAAUUUAAUUUUAUGGGUUUAGUGUAUUAAUUUUUAACGACGGUGGUUGGGUCGUGGAAUACAUAUUUUACGUCGUACAGUAAAACAUACGACAUGGUUUACGCUUUAAACGACGUUAUUUUAAUAUGUAAGUCGGUUUAUAUAAUUUACAACGUCUUUAAUUUCUUAACACCGACGUGGUUUUUCAGUCGUCGUUAUAUAAAAAAUUCAAAAUAAAUUUAAAAUUAAUCCGAAAAAUGAACGGCCUUACGUUCUUAAUCCGAAAAAUGAAGUUUCCGUCGUGGAAUAUUAAAUUUACGUCGGUACUUGUAGAACUUUCACCUUGGUUUUUCUUUCGACGUUUUAUAACGCGCGCGCUCUAAAAAUUUUCGCGCGACCUAAAUUUUUUUAGAUUUGGCUCUUAUUCUUAUACUUUGAUCCCUGAAACCUAAAAUUUCAGAUUUCACGCGACAUAACAUUUCGCUCUCUCACUUCUGCUCUAAUUAAAAGUUGCACUCUCCAAUAAAGGUGUACUUUUGCUGGAAAUCAACACAAAAAGACACAUCACCAACUUCCAAAUGAUUUCCAGCAAAAGGACAGGUUGUUUUGUUAAAGGGUUUUAGGUAUAUGCUUUGCGAUCUGUUAAUAAUGUGCUUAUAGGUAUGGGUUCAUGGAUUUUCUGUUUAAUGGGUUCAUGGAUUACAUUAUCUGUUAUGUUGAAUUGGGAAUGGAUUUAAUUUUGUCGUAUCUUUUAAUCACCCUAAUUUUGUCGUAUCUUUUAAUCACCCUAUGUUAUGUUGAAUUGGGAAUGGAUUUAUUGUUUUCAUGCUUGGUUUCAUAUAUAUGUUGUGUUCUUAAUGGGUUUUGUGUUCUUGAAAAUAAACUGAGACACGACGAAUUUUAAGGCGUACGACGACGAUUACACGACGGUGUUUUUAAACUACCGUCGUUGUAUUACUUAUACACGACGGUUUUUUCAUAAACCGUCGUUUGUAUUACGUAUAAUAGACGACGUCUGUUGAAAAUCCGUCGUCUAUAUAUGCCAAAUACGUCUGUUUUUGAUUAAAACCCGUCGUCUCUGUUGUUUAUUACUUGCGAUUAGAUCAUUGUAUAAUCUGCUAUAGUGAUGGUCAUUGCCUGUAUUUUCACUUUAUUAUAGAUAAUAGGUUAUAGUGUCGGAGAUGGAUAAGUCAUGGAUGCACUCGGAUAGAAGAUCGAAGGCAUAUGAGUUUGGGGUGGAAGCAUUUUUGAACUUUGCUGUAGAAAAUCUUCUAACUACAACACAUAUCCGUUGUCCAUGUGUUAAAUGUGUUAAUUUGAAGUUGUUUGGGGUUGGAAUUAUAAGGGAUCACUUAUACUUUAAUGGCUACGCUUCAAGGUAUAUGUUGUUGAAUAACGUAUUUCUCUUUUAAUUUUCUUCUUAUUUAUAUGUUAGGAUGAAUUAAGAUAUGAUUAAUUUGCAGGUUCAAAGUGAACUUGAGGAAGACAAUCAUGGCGUAUCAGAAAAUUUAAGGUGGCUAGCAGCUGGUCCAAACAUGUCAGUGCCAUUAUAUAGGAGCUAUCUUAUUAAAGGUAUUAAAUUCAAUAUCAAGGCACAAGAUGAUGUGCGGACAACUCAAAAUAGUGGAGUUUAUUUACUUGCACAUACCAUGCAAGUUGCUAGUGCCAAGGAUAAAAACCCAAUUCUCUCAAAUAUGGGUUUCUAUGGUGUCAUUCAAGAAAUUUGGGACCUUGACUACCAAAAGUUUACAAUCCCAGUCUUUAGGUGUGAUUGGAUAGAUAGUUCUGGUCUUGUAGUCGACGAACUUGGAUUUACCCUUGUAGAUUUGAGUAAAAUUGGACAUAGGAAUGACCAAUUUGUUUUGGCUUCUCAAGUCAAACAAAUAUUUUUUGUUGACGACCCGAUGCAUCGUGGUUGGUCGGUAGUGUUAUCAAUGCCUAGUAGAGAAUAUAAUGAUGUUAUUGGUGAUGAAGUAUUAGGUGAUGUGAUAAUUGAGUGUGAGCCAUUUACUAGAGGGAUGCCAAAUGUUGACACAUUUGAUGAACUGGUAGGUGAGUUAGGCGGUCAAAAUAUUCGAGAUGGGUGUGAAGAUAUAUGGAUUGAAUGAUGCUUAUGUAAUUGGCAGUGUAUGACAUUAAUUUUGUAAUAUAUUGUAAUGUGAUUUCUUCACUUUCUACGUUCAAAUAAAACACGACGUUAUUGUGAAUCAGUUAUUCAGCAUAUUUACCGACGUCUUAAAGCAACGUAACAAUGAAGAACCACGACGCUAUUGUGAAGCAAUUAUUCAGGAUAUCACGUCGGUGAAGGAUAAAGAACCGCCAUGUAAUUCAAAAUAACACGACUCCAAUCCCAUAAUACCGACGUCUAAAAAACGAGAUAUGUAAUCUGAACGUUAAAAAAUACGACGUCAUCAUACAUUUUCCACGUCGCAAGUUCUUUUAUAAACGAAGAGGAACGAAAUUAAUUCCGACGGAAAUUCAUUAUAACCGCCGUCUAAUAACAAUUAAACGACGUUAUUUGUAAUACGGCUCCCAUCAUAAUCUACGCCGUCUAUAUGUUCUGUAAUACGGCUCUCAUUUAUUUGGAACCGACGUUGUUUAGACGUUCAACGUCGUCUAUAUUAUUAAGUGCGUCGUGAGUAAUGAAUACAUAUAAAUACAACGUCGACUAUAUAAAUGUAUACGUCGUAAAUAAUGACACUGACAACUAUUUCCACGUCAUCUUUUUUAGAAAAAUCGAAGUGGAAAAUUUAUUUCACGACGGUUUUUUGUAAAUAAGAGACGUUGUAGAACUUUAGCAGACUAAACACGUCUGUUUUUAUUGUUUUCCGACGUUGUUGUAUUUAACAACGUCUAAUAUUUAUGGUCGUUGUUUGUUUCUGAAAAUAGGACGUAUAAAUUUUUUAAUACGACUCUCAUAUAUUUGUAACUGACGUUGUUUAGUUUUUCAACGUCUACUAUAGAAACACAUACGUCGUAAAUAAUGACACUGACAACUAUUUCCACGUCAUCUUUUAUCGAAAAAUCGAAGUGGAAAAUUAAUUGUACGACGGUUGUGUUUAUAUGUGCGACGUAAUAGGUAUCAAUAACGUCGUCUUCUAAUGUAUUUAAAGACGUCAUAUUUUUUAUUGUCGUGAAAAUUAUAUUUAACGUCGGCGUAUUUUUAUUGUCGUCGUUGUAUGUCUAUCUUGCGGCUUUGUUCUCUUAAUAUGUGUCAUAUUUUCCCUUUUUAACGACGGUGUUUUUAGAGAAUUGGUCGUCUAUUAUCAUCCUCGAUUGCUUUUUUUAGAUCUUUUUGCAGUACAAAGACGUCGUUUUGUAUUUUUUGAUGACGUUGUAUUGUUUAACAACGACGGUUAUUUAGCGUCGUGGUUUAUGAGGGAAAAGAUGACGGUGGAUUCCACGACCAUUGAAAAACCAAAUACACGACGGUGAUUUACCGUCGUCUUUUUGCUUUUUUGUAGUAGUGUGGGCCUCAAGAUAUAACUUAAUUUAAACUCUUAUCAAAACCUGAUAUAAGAUUAAAAAGGGAUUAGGUUUUCUUUCUGGAAAAACAGGGAAGUGAUCACCAUAAGAACUGACUGUUGAUGGCUUUUCUGCCAGAAUAGAUAACUUCCCCUUUCUUGGCAUUUAAAAUAAAAGAUAUUUCUUUUGGAAAAUCUGCCGCCCAUUAUUAAAAGAAUAGAAACCCCACUCCAACAUUGUUUCUAUAAAUAUGAGAGAAGGUGAACAGAUUAAGGACAACCAAAAAAUCAAUCAAAACAAAAACUCUCAAGAUCACAAUUGACAAACUCAAAAUGAUCACUUGAUCUCAAAAGCCUUUAAACAUUGAAUUGACCAAAGCUCAUUGAGCCACAAGAAACAAGUCAGCUAUAAUUCAAAAUCUCUGAUUUCAGUUCAGUUCAGAGAAAUAGUUAUACAAAGGGAGAUUUCUCUUGUUACAAAUUUGGUUCAUCAUAAGCCAAAUCAAGCAGAGUCCGGGUUUUUACAAAUGUGAAACCUUAACAAAUAUAUGGAGAGUCCUGAUCAAGUAAAACAGGUACCACAGUGCAGUUCCAGCUCAGCAAACAUCAACUCCAGUCACUUCUGCCCCUUUCAGACUAAAGAGGCUCUAAUUCUUCCAGUUCAAAAAGCCUUCUAGGGCUUGAAAUAGAUUAAAGCUCUGCCAAACUCGAACGUCGGUAUUGAUUUACAACGGAAACUUAACGGUUGAAGUUGUUGAUGGUCCAAUCCAGCACAGACAUACCCAAUCCAGUCUAGAUCAAAAGUAGCUAUCUAGACAAAAAUUGAAGUCCAACGCUCUUUGGUCUAUUUUAGAGUUGGUCUUUCAUUUUUGAGCUUUGUAAAAGGCAAUUCUGCCUGAAAACAGUUCACUUUCUUAUCAUUUAUUCUGGCUAGAACUACCAGCUUUGUACUGUGAAAAAUUGUGAAGUCCUCCCCAGUCUGAGGCAAGAAAAGAACUUACUUGGGAGAUAUUCCUCACCCAAAUUCACAAUUUCUUGUUUAGAAAUUAAUAACUUGGGGCGCAAGUUAUCUAUUUUUAAGAAGUCUGCUAGGGUUUUUAUUGCUAGCAAUGGCACGCUGAUACACAAAAGAAAGUUGACUUGUUGACCACAAAUGGUUUUCAAGCCAAUGGGAAACUUUACCCUACCAUCACAGGAACAAAUCUAAAACGGGUGAACAAUAGGUCCGCCACUACCGAGGAAGUGAAAGAACUUAGGCCAAGAGGAGGUUCCUUCCUUGGCCGAUCAAUUGUUUGAUCAGAAGUUAGAAGCGCAACACAUCCAUCAACUCACAUUCCAUUCAAGCUCAAAUUCGGGGCUUGGUGGUGGCACGCCCCGCAUUCUAAAGAAGAAGGACGAAAAGUUCCUUCCGUCGGCCGCCUCGGCCGAAAAGAGGGAAACAUAAUUUGGCACGCCCGGUGGGACAUACUCUAUGAGAGACCGAAAGGAAUGAGAACAUUCAUAUCAGCCGUUGAACUACAAUGGCUAUGAUUCUUAUGGCUCCAAUAGCCAAUCCAUGGGCCAAUACGAUGGUCAAUAUAAUUUUACCCAUCAAGAUGGGCCUAACAACCAAUAUGGCUCAAGUAGUCAAUUUGGGGGCCAAUAUGGUGGGCACAACUAUGUUGGAGGAUGUGGUGACCAAUAUGGUGGGCACAACUAUAUUGGCGGUCAUGAUCCUAUGAACCAAAAUGGUUCGAAUGAUCAAAAUAGAUUUGGUGGCCAAACCAAUCAAGGUGGCUAUAGCAGCCAAUACGAUUCUACAUAUCAAUAUGGCUCUGGUAGUCAAUUCAAUGGCCAACAUGGGGGAAACAACAAUCAUGGCCAAAAUGAUAUGAUAUAUCAAAAUUAUGCGAAUGGCCAACAUGGUUGUAAUGGCCAGUACAAUCAAGUGGGCGGAGGACAAUGUACUUACCCAUAUGGCCAACCUAGUUAUAAUCAACCUAGUUAUGGCUUCCACCAAGCUAAUCACAUUUUUGGCUAUAACGACUAAAAUAAUAUUAACAUAGGGGAAAUGCCAUAUGUUGACCGCAUGGAUAAAGAACAUCAAAAUUUCAUAAAGGAAAUAUCUGAAGUGAAAGAUGUAUUUAUGGAGAUGGCGGAUGGGUUUUGUGCUUCCAACGAACUUCUGAUCCAAGGUUUGCGUGAAAUCGCCUCGCGACUCGUGGUCGAAGAACACUCUCAAUCCUAACCUUGAUUCUCAAUCACAAGAGGAAAAUCCUCAUAUGAUUGCAAUUCGGCCACCCCUUCAACCUACUCCUCUAGAGGAAAAUGAAGUUGGUAGGGAAUAUGAGAGUGAGAAAGAGGUGGGCGAGACGACCUUAAAAUCGAAUACUCAAGUUAACCUUCCUAUUGAGAACCUGACAUUGGUUGACGAUAAAACUCAAAAAGUGGGUAAUGUUGAAGAUAAAAAUAUCGUCCAACCCAAGGCCACUAUCCUAGGAUGUAAUAGCUUACCACCUAGUGAAGGAGGAGGUCGAAGAAUGACCCAAGGUGGAAUCAUGAUAGACAUGAUUGUAGGAGAAAAACUCGACAUGGAGAGAGCACAAUUGCAAGUGGUCAAGUUCAUUGAACCCUAGCCAAAUGCCAAGAUUGGCCGACCAAAUGGACUUGGGGGGCAUGAAAGGUUGGCCAAAGUGAUGGCCACUUAGUUUAUUUUAAUUAAAUAAAUAAAUAAAAAAGAGGGCUCAAGAUUGAGUUUCGUCGGUGGAAGAUGAAUGACGCCUUUAUUUCGGCCAUGGAGGUGGAAGUUUGUGCUUUUUGGGAGAAAGAUGACUUGGGGCCAUGUCUAUCACCCAAGUAAUCCACCGGAGGGAUUCACAUCACUUCGAUCAUAAUCAGAUGGUUGGUUCAGUCCUCAUGUAUACUAAGCAACAAAAUGUUUCGACUGCUCAACAAAGCCAAAAUGGCCUCUGCUGAACCACGACCGUUGACCAAAAUGAUUUCGACAAAAUGGCCUCGGCCGAACAGCAUUCGUCGACCAAAAUGAUUUGGGCCGAGACCCGGGCGUCGGUCUCGACCAUGUGGUGGUUGAAGAUGUUACGAAAGUCGCUGGAGGACUAUUGUUCAGGCCAAAUCCUGCCACUUCAUUGAAAAUCCAACAACUCAUCUGUGCAAUGGAGAUGUCGAACAACCUCAACCAUCAACGAAUGCAAGAGGUGACUCAAACCAUUCCUCAAACCAUGGCCACUCGAUCAACGAGAGCUUUGCUCAUUGCUAGGCCAACAAAAUGGCCAAAAUAGGAACCAAGUGGUGCCUAAUGGAGUGCCAGCAGCGGGGCCUCAGGCAAAGGGCCAACCAAAUGUCAUUGGCGUGAAUCUGCCCCAACCUAAACCACCAGCUGGGAGCAACCUAGCCCCACUGCUUAAUCUUCCGUCAAUGGUUAACAACCCAUAUGCGACAGCCAAUUAAUUCCAAGGAUUCACACCAUAUAAUCAAUUCCGCCCACAAGUUCACCAAGAGGCUGGAGCCAAUUUUGCUAGGCCUUUGUUUCCCUCUUUUAUGCCGGGUAGGCUGAUUGAAGGAGUUUUUGGUCCUUCUUCUUUUGAGUGCGGGGCGUGCCACCACCAAGUCUUGAAUUUGGGGUUGAAUGGAAUGUGAGUAGAUGGAUUGAAACAAAGUAACUAGUACAUCUUCUUCCAACUUAUCUAGCUUGGAAACAUCUACCGUCUUUGCACAUAUAGCAUUGAAGAAGAAGCACAAUCGAGUUAUUGCAUAUCUUGCAGGCUUCUCCAAAACAUAACGAAUUGCCACAGGGAGCAAUUGUUGCAUCAAGGUAUGACACUCAUGAGAUUUAAGCCCAAGAAGUCUUGAAUCUUUUAAAGAUACAAGAUUUUUUAUAUUUGAACAAUAACCUUCAGGGCCCUUCAUACCAUAGAAAGAAUUGCAAACCGCUCUCUUCUUUGCUCUUGACAAAUUCCAAGGCCCUGGAGGCAAGUGAGUACGUCUUUGUCCAUACUCGGGUUGAAAAUCAGUUUUGACCCCAUGUUCAAUAAAUCUAACCGAGCAGCAAUCUCAUCUUUAUUUUUUCCAGCAAUGUACCAAUGAUACUAUCACAAACAUUCUUCCAAUAUGCAUAACAUCUAGGUCAUGCCUCACAGGAAGGUAUUUCCAACACUUGAGAUCAAAGAAUUUUGAUUUCUUCUUCCAACAAACUCUGUCACCAUCAUUCUCACUAACACUUCCCCCAUGUUUCGAGCCUCAUAUGUAAUUAAUAUCUUCAACCAUAUGUAGCACUUCUUCUCCGGUUAAUGGCUCGGGAAGCGUGCCAUAUUCAGGUUUCCCAUUAAAAGCUGCACAUUGCCUCUGAUAUGGAUGAUUGAUUGGUAACCAUUUUAUAUGCCUAAUGAAACAAAUUUUGUGGCCAUUUUUCAACAUGUAACUAGGUGUAUCAUCACCGCAUAUUGGACAAGCUUUAUAUCCUUUAACGACACAACCAGAUAAGUUCCCAUAGGCAGAAAAAUCAUUAACUGUCCACAGUAAUACAUCUAUGAGUGUAAAGUAUUCUCCUAUGUGUGCAUCAUACACUCCUCUAAUCCCAUCCCACAGAGAUUUUAAAUAAUAUCAACAUCAUGAACUUCCGUCUCAUGCAUAGCCAUGAUGGGAGAUUAUAUGUAACUAAGAUAACUGGCCAACAACUGUAUCUGCUACUUAAAGAAUUGUGGGGAUUGAAUCCAUCAAAUGAGAGAGCAAAUCUCAAGUUUCUCGGUUCUUCACCAAACUUGGCCAUUUAUCAUCAACAAGUUUCCAAGAUGGGGAAUCCGCUGGAUGAGACAUAUAACUGUCAACUAAUUUUCUAGCAGCAUGCCAAGUCAAACUCUUAGCUGUCUUAUGUGAUUGAAACAUCCUUUUAAACCUUGAAAUGGGAGGAAAAUACCACACCACCUUCGCUGGCACACCCUUUUUCAAGAUUGAAUCUUUGCCUUCCUUCCACCUUGAGAUACCACCAGUAGGACAAUUAGUUGAAUCUUUUUCUUAUACAAGAUGCAGUGAUUGGGACAUGCGUGGAUUUUCUCAUAACUCAUCCCUAAAGCAGACAAUGUCAUUUUUUCUUCCUACAUAGAGGAAGGUAGUGUAUUUCCUUUUGGAAGAAAAUCUCCUUGAAGUAUCAAUAAUUCUAUAAAACAAACAUUAAUCAUCCCAUUUUUUGCUUUCAAAUUAUAUAACUUCACCAAAGCCGCGACAGCAUCGUGUACUUACUACAACCAGGGUACAAAGGUUGAUCUCCAUCCCCAAUCACAUUGGCAAACACAUAAGGAUCAAAUCCAAUAUCGCCUAAAUCAUUAUCAUCCAUCCCUACUUCUUCAGAAACAAAACUGAACCUACUUUGCUCAUCUUCUUCCACAUUUCUACUAGCAUUAGUCGUCCAUUCCCAAGGUUCUCUGUGCCAUGUCCAAAUCUUAUAGCUUUGGUCAAUUCCAUUAAAGUAUAAGUGGUCCCUUAUAAUUCCAACCCCAAACAAUCAAAUAUUCCCACAUUUAACGCAUGGACAAUGAAUAUGAGUUGUAUUUCCAACAGAAAAAUUCAAAAAUCCUUCCAACCCUAACUCAUAUGCCUUCAAUCUUCUAUCUGCGUGCAUCCAUGGCUUAUCCAUCUGACACACUAUAAAAUCAUAUAUAUAAUAAAGUGAAAAAACCAUCAAUGAAACACUACUUUAUUCAAACAGCAAAUAAUAAAUUGAAAAAAAAAAUAAAAAGGAAUGAGAUGACAAUUUUUACAAAAGAAUCGUCGUGUAACAGAGAGUGUUGCUAAACGACAACAUAUCUAGUUACCGACGUCUUUAAGCUACCCAAACCCAGAUAUUUGUAUUGCUUUUUGAAGAACCAGGUUCUGGGUUCUGGUAGCCUAAAGACGACGGUAAAUGGAGAAACAGUCAUCUUUAGGUUACCAAAUGCAAACAACAACUCAGACAAUGGUAGUAAAUGAAAAACCGACGUAUCCUAAAAAUUUAGACGACGGUUUGUUCCACCAGCCGUCGUCGUGGUUUACAAAAAAUAGAAGUCUAAAUCUCCCAUCCCCAUUCCUUUUCCAAGAACCCUUAACAGAAUGCAAAAGCCAAAACACAAAAGAACCCAUAUAUAGCUCCCAAUUAAGAAACCAAAGCUACCAAAACAUAUAUUAAGAAACCAAAGCCACCAAAAUGAACGAAAACAUUCAUGGAUUUUACAAACUAAGAGAACAUUUAGAAAGAGCUGAGAGAAUAUACUUACAUGGAUAUUGAGAGAGAGUUGAGAGAAUAUAACAAAUGCUUGAGAGAGAGCUUAGAGAAUAUACCCAAUGCUUUGAGAGAGAGCGAAAACUUUAAGACCAAUUUAUGUUGAAGAGAGAGAAGGAAAUAUUUUAGGGUUAAAGGGAAAUUCUGAAAAUUUUAGAUCGUGGUCAAAAAUUUCAAAGGACCGUGUUUUUCAAAGACGACGGUAAACACAACCCAGUCGUCGUUUAAUUGUACAUUUACGACGACGGUUAAUGUAGACUGCCGCCGUUGUAAAUCAUUUUUACAUUGCCUCUAUAAAAACCAAUGGCUAAAAUAUUAAAUAAUUAGACUUGGUUUGCGUUUCCUAGGAUUCGAAAGCGCAUAAUUGACCAAAAGAGCGAGAGAAAAUCGGAGUCGUUUCAAUAAAACCUAAACCCUAAACCCUAAACCCUAAAUUUUACAAUAAUUAUAAAAAAAAUAAAAAUACACAAGUAUGAGAAAAAUGAUUUUACAAUAAUUUUACAAUAAUGCCUUCUAUAUUAGUAGGCUAAAAUCUGGAUUAAAUAAUUUUGAAUUUUAUGACCACCAAUGGAUCACAUAAACCUUAGGGUUAUGUUAUGGAAAGUAUAAGGACUAUUGUGCUUUGUCUCUAAAUAUUUUUGACUUUUGUUAUCACUUGUACUUUUGAAAUCUAAAAUUAAAUUUUUUAGGCCUUUAGGGGGGAGGUAUUGUCUCAAUGAGUUCAUAGAAUUUGCCGGUUUAUUUUUUGGAUUUUUAAAAAAUAUAUUAUGAAUAUUAGUAAUUAAAUACAAUAAGGUUUAGGGUUUAGGGUAAAUCAUUUUUAAACUUACGUUUUUUAAAGGUUUAGGGGAGAGACAAUCUUUCAAUGAGUGCAUGGUAGUUGUUAGUUUAUUUUUUAGAAUUUGUUUAGAAUUUAUUAUGAAUAUUAAGGAUUAAAUAAAAUAUAAAAGUCAUAUAAAAAUGAAAUGACAAAUGUACAUAACCGACGUUGCAACCAUUUACACCGUCGUCAAACAACACAUGACGUCGUCUUAGACGAUAUUAGACGUCGAAAUUCAGCCACCACCAUGGUUCGUAUUUACAAUGUUAGCUUUUUCUGAAUAAUCGACGUAGGUGGCAUUUACAACGUCGAUUCUUUUGUAGAUGCCGACGUUAUUUAUGUGUACAACGUCACAUUUGGACCAGAAAGUACUGCUGUAUGCAGUUAAGACGUCGUUCUUGUUUUAUUAAUGGACAUAGUAUAUCUAUACAAAAAAAAUUCGUAGAUUUCAGUUUUAUAUAUAAACCGUCGUGUUUCUCUCUAUUACAUGUCGUUUUUAAGAAUUGCCGUUGAUGUUUUAUUUCCUUCUAAAAUAAGACGGCGAUUGUUUAUACAUAGUGUGCUGCUAAAUAAACCCUAAAAUUAACUGAGUACACCCUAUGAUCUAAAUACACCCUAAUAUUUUAAUUAAAAUAUAAAAUUAACUAAGUACGCCCAUUGAACUAACAAAAAUAUCCCUGGUAUAGCCUAAUACUUGUAGUAUUAUUUUAUAGUUGAUUUUCAGCUUGAUUUUUUUAAUAGUGUUUAUAAAUCUUUGACUUUUCAUACAGAUUUAUGCUUCUACUAAAACUGUUGACACUUUUUUUGCAAUUCCAAAUUCUUGCAAUCACCAUCUCUUUCGUUAAUAGUGAUUUUUUAUGCAUGUUUCAGUUAUAUACUACUAUGCUACUGUGAAAUUUCUUUGUUCUCAACUUUCCCAACCUCUCUAGAUGGACUAUUCGUAGUUGGAAACCAAUAACUUGUAUGUUGUACGUGAAUUUACUGGUAUUAAAAACAAGUGAAAACUGAUACAACUAGAAUCUACUGUCAUGGGGAAGCUGGGAUCUCCUCCCUUCGAUAAAGAACCAGUCUUUGUGCUCAUCAAUAUCUCUCAUUUAUGCACACAGAGACACUAAAAAACUCCAUUGAAGUUUUUCUAUAAAUUUACUGGCAUUUCUUUUUUCUUGUUACAAUUAUCACUAUUGAUUGUUAUAGUUAAAUUAAAAUUAGUGUUGAUACUCAUCUUGAAAUUUCAGGCAUAUCAUCUCUGGUUUGCUCUCCACCUCUUAUUGUUUGUUACCUCUAAAUACAGGAAAAAUAUUUGAGAAAGCUCUCCGGAUAAGAAUGCUAAUACACAUUUUGUUGGGAUUCAAGAUCUUAUCAUUUUGGGAGGCACUGAUAAAUAGUCUGUCCUUAACAAAGUUAAGCUUUUGAAUAGAGAAAAGGUUUUAUUUGCCUUGUGACUUCCUUAUUAAUGUCACCAAUAUGAUGCUUCACAAAACUACUUAAUAAAUAUAGGGUCAUUAUCAUAAGGGUCUGCUACACCAGCUUCAUAUCUAAAUUGACGUAUACGAUCCUAAUAUGGCGUAAGCCAAUCUGAUGCAGUUAUGGUUGCACAUCUUAACCAACGCUCAUCAACUUGUGGCAUACGGUGUUGACCUUCCAAAUAAACCUGUAAAAUAAAAAAUAUAAAAAUAAAUCAAGCUAUGUCAAAAGAAUAGUAAACAAACAUAUAUAUGCACAAAUCUCUUAAUUAUUUUAUCUUAAUCCAGUGGUUGUCAUUUUUCGGUACACAUGUUUUAGCCUAAACCAAAAAAAAAAAAAAAUGAAAGUUACUACCUCUUUUGAUGACUUCCUCGAAAUGUAUGAAGCAUCCAUUCCAAAAUUUCAAAACUAACCCAACUUGCAAAUCUGCAUAAUUUCCAAAGUACAAAAGAGGCUUUGAAACUCCUUAUGAUAGGAAUCCAAAUGCAUAAAUAAAUAAAUAAAUAAGCAAUUCAAAUAGAGCAUUACUUUACAGUUGACAACUCUGAAUGUCAACAGCUCCGAAUGUCACGGUACCUGAACUUCCUACACAGUUGGAAGAGGCUUUGUCAACGGAACUGCGUGCAAGACAGCAAUGUAUUGUAGAAGUCACAGAGAUGAUUCAUGUUAGUAUUAUCUUUGCUAAUGAUCCUAUUAAUGUUGCUUUUAUUUUGAUAUAUGCUACAUAAAACUGGAAUAAUAUCUCUGCAAUGUACUAAAAAGAGGCCAAUUCAUUUGUGUCUUUCCAAAAUUAUUUUUUAAUGGCUUGUUCUAAGCCCCACAUUGAGGUGGACGUGCACGAAUAACAAGACUUUUUCCCCAAAAGCUAGUGCUCUAAGGUGUACUUUUGGUAUCCACUAUGAACAUAGAAAGAGAGAGACUAAAGGAUUGAUUUUGAGAAAUAUUAAUCUUUUUAUUGUUUGCUAGUAAUGAGUUAAGAUUCUCCUACCUCGAAGCGGUGACUUUGUUUUGCGGGCCAAAGUCUACAGCCAGAAAUCAACUUCAGCCUCUUUCUUUUGCUGUCCGCAGAUCAUAAAGAUGGGAAUCAAGUAAUCUCUUGAUUAGGAUUGAAUAUGGUUAGUAGGGUGUACUUAUUUAAAUUAUAUUUGUUUCACAAUUCCAUAUAUCCUUUUUGGUCAUUUUAUAUUAGGGUAAAUCAGCAAUUCAAUAUAUACUUUUGUAGUAGGGUGUACUCAGUUAAUUUAGGGUUUGUUUAGCAGCACUCUUAUACAUAUGAGACGUGUAAAUUAGAAUGAGACGUCAGUCUUUGGGAAUUAAAUUAAGUUUUUAUGAUUUAUUGUCAUUUUAGUUCAUGUAAAGACAUAAAUACCCUAAACAAACAAAAAAUUUCAAACAAAAUUUGAUUUUUUUGAUGAUUGUUAAAUUAAUUACCAAAAAUAUAUUUAUAUACAUUGUCAAUAAGUUAAAAUAGACCUAAACAUUGUUAAAAUAAAUUACAUAAUUUAUUAUUCUAUAAUUACUUAACGAAUUCAGCCCAUUCCAGCCUGACUUCGUCAAUAUGUUCUUGUACUUACUGAACUUGUUUCUUUUUCUUGUCAAACUGCAAAUAAAGAACAAAAACUGACGUGUUAUAAAGAUUAAAAUGACAUUUUUUAAAGAAAAAGUCGUGGUAGCAAAAUAAAGAAAUUAUAUCUUAAAUUUUUCCUUUAACCUUCUUCUCAAAUGCUAGGCUUGGAUCAUGAAUUAUAUCUCUCAUGAAACGCAUCGACACAUCUCCGGACGUAGGCCAAACGAGCUACACUCAUCGACACGUCUCCGGACGUAGGCCAAACGGGCCACACUCAUCUACACAUCUCCGGACGUAGGCUAAACGGGCCACACUCAUCGACACGUCUCCGGAAGUAGGCCAAUCGAGCCACACUCAUCGACACGUCUCCAGAUAUAGGCCAAACGGGCCACACAUAUCGACACGUCUCCGGACGUAGGCCAAACGGGCCACUCUCAUCGACACAUCUCCGAAAGUAGGCCAAUUGGGCCACACUCAUUGACACAUCUCCGGACGUAGGCCAAACGGGCCACACUCAUCGACACGUCUCCGGACAUAGGCCAAACGGGCCACUCUCAUCGACACGUCUCUGGACAUAGGCUAAAUGGGCCACACACAUUGACACGUCUCCCGACGUAGGCCAAAUGGGUCACUCAUCGACACGUCUCCGAACAUAAUCUAAAGGGGUCACACUCAUCGACACGUCUCCAAACGUAGGCUAAACAGGCCACUCUUAUCGACACGUCUCCGGAUGUAGGCCAAACGGACCACUCUCAUCGACAUGUCUCCGGACGUAGGUCAAAUGGCCCACACACAUCGAUACGUCUCCGGACGUAGGCCAAACAGGCCACACACAUCGACACAUCUCCGGACGUAGGCCAAACAGGCCACACACAUCGACACAUCUCCGGACGUAGGCCAAACGGGCCACUCUCAUUGAGACGUCUCCGGACAUAGGCCAAACGGGCCACACACAUCGACAUGUCUUUGGACAUAGGCCAAACGGGUCAGUCAUCGACACAUCUCCAGACGUAGGCCAAACGAGCCACUCUCAUCGACACGUCUCCAGAUGUAGGCCAAACAGGUCACUCUCAUUGAUACAUCUCUGGACGCAUGCCAUACGAGCCACACACAUCGACACGUCUCGGGAGAUAGGCCAAAAUUGGUCACCCAUCGACACGUCUCCCGACGUAGACCAAAUGGGUCACACUCAUCGACACGUCAACGGACGUAGGCCAGACAUGCCACAACCUAGAAACAUUCAAGCAGUUCACAAGACACUAUCACUAUGCAAAUUGAAAUUAGAAAAAGGAACUGAAAUUUCCAUAGCAAGGUUACCAACCGAUCGAGUUCAACAAGAAGAUGGUCAAACAAGACCAAUUAUUUUAAACAAGAAAGCAGACUACAAAAGCUGAAAAGAAAUAAAGAAGUCUUCAUCUACUGUGAGACAUUGGCAGGAAACCCCUGAUAUACAGCCUCUUCAGCAUUCGCCUCUUCAGCCACGCCUUCAGCAACUCCACCUGCCUGCUCCGCGACAUUUGCCUACUCCCACUACCAACCGUCGCCUGUCACGACGACAACUAGCCGGGCUUCCCCCAGCAAAAAAGAAGAAAAGACAAAGAAAAAGAAAUAUAGGUGCUCGACUUACCUUGGAAUGCACGGCGACUCCUCUCUUCGACAAGCAGUACAAAUUCUCCAAGAUGUCUCUCAAGCUAGAAAGUAGAGAAGUUAAGUUUGCGAUGUGAAGAAGAGUGAAGAGAAGCCUAGCAUUUACACAGGUUGGGCAUUCUAGGUCAAGAAGGAAUCGCAAGCCCAUUCCUACUGGGAACCCAACUCCAAGAAUAAGUCAAAAGCCCAUUCAGGAACCCAAUUUGCAAAAGGAGCCCAAGUCACAGAAGGAAGCCCAGUUACAGCUGGACAGCCCAACAGAUAAUUCACCUCUCCUACAUGCCACCACGCGCCAUGCAGAAGGCUGGGGGCCAUUUGUGGGAACUGAAUUAAAUCAGAACUCUAGGUCAAAUAAUUCAUUCCAUUUGGGGAUUAUUUGACCUAAUUAGGAAUUAUUCAACCUAAUUGGGAGUUACUCAACUUAAUUGGGGAUUACCCAAUUAAAUUGAAUGUUACCUAAUUAGGUCGAGAAUUGAUGUGAUUCCUACCACAAUUUCUAAUUAAUUGGGAGUUAGCUGAAUUAAUUGGGAGGUUAUUUGAUUCAGAUUGGGUGUAUUUGACUUAAUUAGGAAUUUGAUUAAAUCAAGUCCCUAAAUCACCAACCUCGUCGAUGCCCCCUAUAAAUACUUGGCUACGCACAAGAUUGAGGUACGUCAGAAUUACUACUAAAACUCUAUAGAAAUCUUCCCCUCACAAACCCUAGCCACCUCCUCUCUCUCUCUCUCUCUCUCUCUCUCUCUCUUUUACAUAAGGCUCCAGCCGCCCGAUUUACACCAUAAACACAUCUUUAUACCCUAUUAGCUAUUGUUUUAUAUACGAUUCAAUUGAACUAAUUUAGGCAUCGGAGGGCCUUUGGCCAACACCCCCCGGGUGUGGUCCUCUUAUUUGUUCUAUUUUGCAGGGAGAAAGAGGCAGCGAAGAAGAAAGGGGAAUCUUUCCAAUCGAAUAUUCUUGUGGGGAAAUUUGCUCCCACAUAUAUCAUACCCAUUUCGGCACUUUUGUGGCUUUAUACUUAUUCUGUUUCAUUAAUAAAUACUAUCGCUUUUUCUCAAAAAUAAAAAAUCGUUACAUUAGCAAUUUGACCAACAACAAAAAAAAAAGAAAAAAAAAGAGAAGAAGAAACAAUUGGGGCUCUAUAGUUUAAGUGCUUUUUCAAUAUUAGCAAGGUCUGUAUUGUAAAGGAUACACCAUUGUUAAAAGAAAACCAAUCUCUUACAUGAAUACACACUUGUAAAAGAAUGGUUUUAUACUCUGGCAAAAAAAAAAAAGUUUUAUACCUAGGUAAUUACUUUGUGGUUUACGAAAAGAAUAGAAGAAUAGACAGUAAAUAUUUCUUGGCCGUAUCCUUGGAAGUAUGUGGGUGCAUCGAGAGAAUGUUGGGAGUAAUGGGUUGGGUGUGUUUAGUAGUUUCUUGAGUGAAUUAUUGUUUUGUAUGAUAAGAAAAAAAUUGAUGAAUAAAGUUAAAACCACAUGGACAUAAUUGAAAAACAAAAACAAAAACAAAAAUUAAAGCUACAGGAUCAAAAUGGCCAUUUUAUAAUUAAAUGAGGAACUCUAGGCAUCAAGAAUUUUAUAUAUAAUUAAAUGGGGCACCAACCUGCAGAUUUCCAAUGAGAUAUAUAAAUAGCAGCAAGCCAGUUAUAGAAAUAAAAACCACAAAGAGGUUUUCCCAAGUGCUAGUACUGGGUUGAGGUUAGAUCCAAGAGAACUGCAAAAAUAAAUGGAGUAGUAUAAGAUGCAAGUAUGAAGUUACAAAUUCAAUUUGCUGAAAUAAAAAACUAUCGCCAACAUGGUCUGGCCCAAUGAAAAAGGGUCUUGACUUAUAGACUAGUGGUCUCAGGUUCGAAGCCCUAUGGCACUUGUUAUUGUGUGUGUGUGUGUGUGUGUGUGCAUGUGUACAUGAAACCCUAGUUUAGACUAUUGCUUGUACUAAAGAAAAUGUAGCACGGUCCAGUUCUCACCCCAAAUUGGAAUCGAAAUUGAUAUUAUUCAUCCGGUUCGGUUUUGUUUGGUUGACGAAAAAAUUAUCUGUUCUGAUGUGGUCCAGUUUUCUCAUAAGUCAGUUCCGUUUCCGAUUUUGGAGCAUAAUCUUUUGUUUUGAAUUUUGAAUUUUUUUUUUUUACAAAACACGACUAAAAUAUAUAUAUAUUUUUUUUUUUAAUUAAAAAUUCACAAAUGGCCCAAUUUUAUGCAAAGAGAUGUGAUUGAGACUAGAAAGGAGAGAUGAUUUGGAGUUUAGCUUGGGAAAAAAUUAGUUAUGGUCUUAGAAAUUUAGCAUUGGGCUUAAAGUUUUUAUUAAAAAAUACACAACCAGUCUUAUUUGUUCUAGUUGAAUUUUUUCACUAUAAGAACUGGAAUCGAAAUCGUCUUGUUUUUUGUCAAUUCAGUCCAAUUUUUUGUCAAUGCAGUUUUCUUUUCGUGCCCAAUUUGGCUCAAUUUUUCCGGUUUGAAUGCCCACCCUAGUUCAAAGCAUUAUUGGGAAUUCUUGAAAUCUCGAAACUGAAGCCCAUGAUCUGGAUUCUUUUUAGUUUUUCCGCUCCUGCAACAAUCCAAUGUGAUUUAAAAUUUGUAAAUUUUCUAAAACUUUUUAGGACUUAUUCAUUAUUGUAAACUUUAGUAUGUGGGCUGUAAGAUUGAUUUAUUUGUUGUGUACAUUUGUUAAUUUAGAAUAUGCAAUUUGCGUAUUAGUCCUCAAGAUUUGAGAUUAUAAAACUGUAAGAAUAUGCAUUUUGUGAUUUUCUUUUGGUUUCCCUUGACAAUUUUGUAAUAGGACAACCAUUGUAUUUUCCCAAGCUCUAGUUUUAGAUUAAGAAUUACUUCUCUAGAUGUUCUUAUCUGGCUACAAUCUGAUGGAUAAUCAAUGUGUUUGACAAAGGAUUUCUUGAGCUUGCUUGUGUUCCUUUGUAAGAAUCUUCUUUGCUUAGUGGAUUACCUGGUCGGUUGAUGGCACCCCGCUUUUCCUAGUGGUAGGUUUUUGGGUGAACAAUUUUUGUGUUCUUGAUAUGUUAUUUGUUGUUUACUUGAUUAUGAUGCUUUCACAUACUUUCACCAUAGUUGUUGCUAGCAUAGGGGAUGACUAGAUUGAUGGGUUCUUCUGAGUGCCUAGGUUGUCACUAGUAAUCUUCUAGGCUUGUAGGUACAGAUUAUAGUAUGCUCUCUGUGUGUGUUCUUAGUUAUGGAUUUCAUGACUAGUUGUUGAUGACUACAUAAUCAUCUUUGGUCAAGUUUUAAAGUGUGUGAAUAUUGUUGUGUCUGUCUGAAUAGCUUUUAAAUUUACCCGUACUAAUUUCAAUAACCCUUUUGUCAAGCGAUAUUAUAAAUUAACUCUAAAUUAAUCUAAUUUAAAGAGAAGGAAAUUCCAACUUAAAAUGUAAGGAGUAGACACACUGUCUUGAAAAACUGAACUAACCCAUGUCUGUCCAAUACGUGAGAGUUAACUAUAAGCAGUGAGCGAGACUCUUACAAUAAUGAGUAAAAAGAAUUGCAAUGAUCAAGGUGUUGAAAAUUAAUUGGAAAAAUAAGGUAAAGGGCCCUAAAAAUAUAAAAAGAACUUACAUGUAAUGAGGAUGCCACAGUGGCAGAAUUCUAAACGUAUCACACAUUGACAUAUCAAGUUAAAAUACAUGGUUAUAGGUGAUGAGCUUGAAAUAAAGCCAUGAGGGUAUCCCCAAUAUUUUUAUUUUUUUUUGAAAAAACGAGAGUUAUAUGCCGAGAAAUAAAUGCAAAAAAAAAAGGAAGUGAUUAAAAAAUCUCAACCAGUUAGGUGUCAAGUGACAAUAAUUAAUGUGUCGUGCCACGUAUGUGUUAAGACCACAUCACAUAUAAGUUGUAACAAAGAAAGAAAAAGCAAAAGAUAAGGAAACGAGAGUUGAAUAAACAAGACUGAGAAAAUGACAACCACUUUGACAAAAAUUUAAAGUUGCAUAUUGUAGGGGUCUUUUGGUCCCAGUAGCCUGACGAAUGGGCUUGGGCUACUGUAAGAGAAAGACAAACAAAAUUCUCCUGUGCCUGAGUUCAAGAACAAGGCUCCAAAUUUUGAAAAGUUUCUGAAACCAUAGAAAACACUUCGGGUUCCUUCACCAAUAACCAGAUGAACGUAACAGAUUAAAUGGCUUGGCUUGAAAAGCCUGCGACAUGGGAGCUAAGCCUUCACGAAUUUAGCCAUAGAGAGAAAGAACAUGAAUUUCUAAAUAAAAUUAAGGCUUAAAGUAAGGAGGGAGAAAAGCUUUGGGAAGAUUUUUGACUAAGGAUGAAAGGGAAAGAUCAGAAUAUAGAAGAGGGUUUCUUGAAUGAAUUUCCAGUUGAUCGACAAAAGCUUGGUUAUGCUCUGGAUGAUUAAAUCUUUACUGAGUAGAAGAGGCCUCCUUUUAUAGGCACUUCAGCCUUCUAUUUAUCAAACCUCCCUCCCUCUUUUUCUUGACUUUCUUCCAUUUGAUCCUAUCCGAUGAAAACUUCCUCAGCCUGAACCCAUAAGCCUGAAGUUUUUGGGGUUCCAAGCCUCUCACGUAGCUGGACCUCUUCAUGUGGCCUCUGGCUUUCCUAUUAAAGCUAGAAGAAGAACGAAACAAGGGUAGGAACUUUAAUCCAAUGGGUUUACCAUAUGUCUUGUGAAUUUCCUUUGGUCUUUGCAAUGGCUCUCAUUUGACUUGGUUCUACAGCUAGAUACAAUGCUAGAUUUUUUAUAAGGCACUGGGCUGGGCCUCCCCCUAAGGCAUUGGGUCUCUGGCUACUUAUUUCCAACAAUCAACUAAGUCUUUUGUGGUUUCGUCAAGCUGCUGGAAGUGGCUUUUGACGAGGCGCUGGGUAGGGGCUUUCCUAAGUGUUGCAGAUCUUUAUAUAUUCUCCUAAGGCAUUGGGCCACCUUCUCUCUCUCCAUGGCUUGCACAUGUGCUUAGGCCCAAGAAAGGGGCUUGAGUUUUGGGUGCCCCCAAGUAUCCCAAAACUUCCAUCCCUUGAACCCUCAAUAGGCUUCGUGAGGGCUCAUAUCCAUCCAUACCACAACCUUCUCAGCAAGCCCCAGAUUUUUUGUUUUACGUGACUUGGGCCCACGUGAGCUCGUAGCGUGGCUUGGAGUUAGGAUGGCAGUCUUUUGGCUUGGCAUUGCGUGUUUAUUUGACAUAUUCAUGCUUGAAUUGUAUUGUGCUAUAAUUGGCUAUGAUCGGACUAAAUUGCACCUAACAGGUUAGUGCGUGUGGGCACACAAGGUCGGCGUGUUUUACGAGCUUGUUUUGACCCUUCUGCGUGGGGGGGUUUGCGUGUUUACUUGGUGUAGGGCAUGGGCCACAACUGGUACGGGCGCGUUUGACAACGUUUCACCUACCCUAGUCGAGCUUCUUUCUCAGCCAAACAUCAUGUUGGGAUAGUAUUAAGCUUGGACCCAGCUUUGGAUUUUUUGGGCCUCAACACAUAUCAUCUUGACAUAUCGAAGAAAAAGCGCAGUAAAAUAAUAGUUAAAGAAAAAAAAAGUUUUGAAUAACUGAAUAAAUUAAAUAAUUUGCUCAUGUCUUUCUUUGGGUAUCAAAAGAAUAAAGUUUAACAUAAACUCAAACGAACACUCUUUUUUUAGAAAAAAAAAAGAUUAAAAAAAAAAAGAGACCUCAGGAACCUAGCUUCAUUCCCCACUCCCUUUGGGGUGGUGCCCUCCUUCCCCAUCCCUCUCCUCCCUGUCUCUCCCCUCUUUUUUCGGGUUGUUUACUAGUUUUUUGGCUAGAUUUUCUGCUUGGUUCCAUUUGUUAUUUUAUUGACAGCUCUUGUGGUCUUGUUAUUCUUGGAACCUUUGGUGACGACGAAGUAGCAAUGCACUAGUGGUUUUGUUGGCGGUUUUGGAGACAGGUAGAUGAGAGACUUUUACCAAUAGUUGUGUGUUUACGGGGAAAUAUGGUUUCUCCAAUUAAAUUGAUGAUUGCAGAGGAAGAAAAGUUCCAACGAAAAACAUUGUCCCUAUCCCAUACAAAGACUGCAAUCAGUACCAUAAAGGAGAAAUUCAGUGAGCAACAGCUACGAAGGUUUGAAGAGAGUUGUUUUGGUCAUCCCCUAUUGAUUGAGGACCUAAAGUGGACUUCGCCAAUUGUCCACGACUUGUUGCUGAGGAAGGCUGAUCCGUAGACAGUUUUCCAAGUGAACGGGAUCAAAUUCACGGCGCAGCAAUUUUGCGUCGUCACAGGUUUAAGGUUUGGAAACCUUUCCUUCAUUCUGAUUGCCACUAAUGAGAACUGCUCAUUGAAAAGAAGUACUUUGGCAACGAUAAAACUGUCAACCUUUUGGAAUCAGAAAAAGCCUUCCUCGACUGUGCUGAUGCGGAUGAUGUAUUGAAGCUCAGAUUUGUAUACUUUGCUGUGUUUGCGCUGUUGGGCAGUGAAAACAUGUCCACAUUGACAUGCGAUAUUUGAAGUUGGCGGAGGACCUUGAAGAGUUUGGGAAGUAUCCAUGGGGUGUUGUGUGUUAUGCCAAGACGAAUGCGUCACUUCUGAGGGCACUUUGUACAGAUUACCAGCGAGGGAAAGUGCCCAAAAAAACUGCGAAAACAAAAAAAUCUGAAAAGAAAGCAAAGACAACGGCAACUGGCAGACUAAGAGAGUACCACCUCAAAGGUUUUGCCUAUGCACUUCAGGUGAGCAAAUUUCCAUUCAUGUUUAAGUUACAUUUCAUUUGUUUACAGUGACUGACGUUUUCUUCCUCAACUGGCAUAUUUGGCUGCACUACAUUUGGUGGUGCAUGAAGAUAAUGCCUACAUCCCUCGUUUACUACAUUGGAGGAGCAAUACUUCGGCGCGUUUUUAUGAGCUAAUGAGCCAAGUAUUCGAGAACCGUGAGGUUAGUUCAGUUUUUAAUGAUAAUGUUAGGCAUAUGAAAAUAGAAUAAGUUUACUGAUAUGUAUAUUGUCUUUGUAAAUUGCAGGUUGAUGUGCAACUUCUCCGGCCAACUGUAAUUGACAAGCAGCAGCCUUAUUGGACUUGGGGUGACAGUGUUGACGACGCUGAAGAAAUUCUUGAGUUGUUUGGCUAUGACGCUGAACAAAAAACCAGCACUUCUGCCUCUGUAAAAGAAAAAGAUGAUGACAUUGACGAAACUGCUACCCUUCCGUCGUCUUCUAAGGCAAGCAUUACCUUUUUUCCAAUAUAUACGUCAUAAUACAAUAGGAAAAUAACUGUUGUAUUGUUUCGAUGUAUUUUGGAAAUAUUGUAACACUUGCAUUAUAACUGAAUGCAGGGUAAACUCGCGUCCACUGAGUUACGCACUUUGAAGCGUGACUUUCAAAGGACAAAGGAUGAAUUGGCCAAAAUAUCCAGUUCAAAUCGAGCGCUGCGCAACAGAGUGCAUGAGUUAGAAGAAAUGGUACGGAAGGAGUCAUUGAAACUUGAAAGAACUCUAGCCCUAGGGUUUGCGAUUUCGGAGUAUCCGGACCUCCGAUUCACAAUCCGUCAAAUCCUAAACGAUCCUGAAAAUGUCUAGAUUAACAUAUAUGAAAAUGAUUACGAUCCAACGGCUCAACAGUAUUGAACCUAAAAAUCGCACAAUAUGUAAAAAUCCGUUCGAGGCUCAAACGGUAUCCAAAUUGAGAUCCACGAAUUCCUACACACUUGUGACAACACGAGGAUCAUUCUAGGACUGAAAGUGAGCUCCACUAAGCUGCCUACACGCCGCCACAUGCUCCGGCAGCUCGUGGGUGGCUUUAUAAAUUUCUGGCGGUCGGAAAAUCUCCAAACCGCUGGCCAAAACUCAUGUCCUAGGUAAACCACCCUAUUUGGAACCACUUUUGUUCUUGGAAUUACCCUAAAAUCUGGCCAUAAGUGGCCGAAAUUUCAAGCUCAAAAUCGGUGGAACUUUGGAUCAUGAUUUGAUCUAUCUAGGCUAAAAAUCGUUCCACUCCUACCCAACCAGCAGCUAAGUCAUGAAAAAUAGGUAAAGAUUCAUACCUUACUCGACUGAUUUGGCGGCCGGAGGAGAGAGCUCGAAAACUUGGAAAUUUUCUCAAAACCGGCUGGGUUUUGGACGUUUUUCGGCGGAAAUCGUGACGGUCGAGCGGCGGGGAAGGUCGGGCUUGGCGGCGGAGUUGACGUCGGUGCAAUUGAGUAAUGUCUGGUGGGUCGGGGUGAGGUGUAGCGGUGGCUGGGUGGUUAUGGAGGUUCAGCUGGGGAAAGGAACACGGGAAUGAGCUACAAGGAGAGAGAAGAGAGACUGAGGGAGAAGAGAGAGAAUGGGGUUUUAAAAUUCUGAUUUUUUAAAUUACCAUUUUGCCCCUCAGAGUAUUUUAACCGAAAUUUCUUCGUUAGAGCUCCGAUUCGAGCCCACUUCGUGUCUACGGACUCGUUUCGUCGUGCUCUACGCAACGGUGUGUGUGGAAUUGUCAAAUUCCUUCUCGGUCAAAAAGUCAACUUUUUUUUAAUAAAUUAUUCCAAGGGCAAAAUUGUCUUUUUCUCAUAAUAAGUUACUAAUUAAAUAUUAAUUAAGGUUUGGGUUAUUACAUAUUAUAUAUGUCAACUUUCAGCACCUGGACAUGGCAACCUUUCUCAUCCGAAAAAGGCAACUCUCUCAUGUGUUGGUAUUUGGAACUCACUGGACAACGGUAGAUUCUUGCUGGCAGGUAAACAUGUUACCAUGUUACAUUCACUGCUUUAUUUGCUUUCGGUUGUCAUUCUGUAAUAUGCCUUCAUUUCAAUGGCUGCAGCAAUUUCUAGAGCUGGUGAAAGGGACUGCCAAGAAACAUGGAUCGAAGAAGGCAGCUGCUUCAAACACCAUUGACCUUCCACCUAGCAAGCUGAACAAUAUACAUCACUAUGUGCACGGUACGUGGCAACACAGGUAUGGCCAAGCUUGGACAAAAGUCGGGAAGGUCUAUUUUCCAUAUAAUCUGAAAGGGUCCCACUAGGUUGCAAUCGAAAUUGAUUUCCUCAGAUAUACUGCAACUGUGUAUGACUCCUACGUUGCUUUUACCAAAACUUCGAAGCUGGUUACACUUCUACACCCUAUUAGCGAUACGCUGGCACGAGUGCUGUACAAUAUGCACUUUUAUAAAGAUUCUGAGGUUGAAGAGGUUAAGCAAAAAGGGGCUGAAGAUGUCGAGGUUUACGUCAUUCUCAGUUUGCAGCAUUGCAGAUGUGCCACAACAAUGAGAUGGGUAAGCUUUGUGAAUUUAGUGCAGUUUAUCCAAAUUUUGCAUAACUGUAGUUCUAAUUUUCCAACUUAUUGGCUUGAUAGUACAUCUUGCGGAAUCAUGACCGUAAAAUUCAUCGAGCAUCUCAAUGCUGGGAUUUUGUUGGAUAAUGUUGACCCUUUGAAGAUCAAAUAUUACCGACUGAAGCUUGCAAUAGAGGGUUUAAGGGGGGAGGCAUAUUUAUGAGGUAAAUGUCUUAUUAUCUGUGAAUUGAGUUCAGUCCGGACUUAUGACCUGAGAAUUAACUGUGCUCAUUAAUUAUGUCAGGAACUCCUUCAUAUGAACAUGCCGACGUAGAUGUUUUGGUGGAGGUUGUUUAUAUGGUAAUCCUACUGUAUAUUGUGGGGUGUAAUAUUGUACAGUCUAGAAGCAAUGGCUAAUUGCCUUACAUGGCAUACACACUGUUUCAAUUUUGAAGGUUAACUAUUUUGUACACCUCCAUUUAUAAAUAUAGUUGCUCGUUAUGGAGGCUUGCCUUACAUGGUAUAACAGUUUGCAAUUUCUGAUCAUUUUUGUAGCCAUUGUUCACAUUGUGUCUCUGUGGUUUUGUUUGCAAUUUAUGUAAUAUAGGUAUAUUUCAUUUCCUACAUUGGGAAUCUGUUAGUGGACUUAGUGAAGCAUACAGCUUUCUUAAGAUUUCUGAAUUUAGUUUUGCCUUAGUUCCUUUUAAAUAAUUUCUGCAGCCAUUCUACACAAAGUACUUAGCAUUAUGUUGUUAUUGGAAUUUGGAACCUCAUACUGUUUAGAAAGGGUUAAGUUAUACUUUACCCACAUGACCAUUUCAUACUGCUGGGGAGUUCCUGCAAAACGCAGAUGGUGCCUAAAACACUAGUUGGAGAUCAUAUCUUCUCUAUAUGCUGAACAUGCAUUAGGAAAUACCAAAGUUGGCCUCGACUUGGAGGAAGGCCGUUGCAAAGAUGUGUCAACUCUUAAUAUUUCCAACCUCCACAUAACUAAGAAAGCUGCUCUUUGUCUUGUACCAGUUCAUGCUUAUAUGUUAAAGUUCACAAUACAGUGAAUGUUGUUACAGCUGUGAUGUUUGAUGCAAUUUUGAUUCUGAACUUUUUAUUAAUUUUGGAUCUAGAAUUUGUUGUUAGAGGAAGCUUUUAUUACUAAUCCCAUUUUUGGUGGUUUUCAUAGCCAAUUAGUUCUUGUUGCGUACAUUAAUGGUUCAUCUUAUUAGUAUCAUUUCUGUUGAUUUUCUGUAUCAAACUGUGACUUACUGGCAUGGGUGUUUUGAGGAUUGUGGUGCAUUUUGAAGUCCAUUGGCCGGCUAAUAGGGCUAUGAGGUUAUGCAUAUAUGAUGUAUACAAUUUAGUUCAUGAUUUGGUGGGUCUAACAACUACAUCUUUGUGCUGAAAGCCUUUAUUCAGCAUGGGACCCAGUCAUUCAGUUAUUUUCUUUAUUAUAUUUCAUUUGUGUAAAUAGUGAAGCUACAUAUCCACUACGAAAGGUUUGUUAUCUUUCUUUUUUAGUAAAUGGUUGGUUUCUAGAGGAUAACAGAGUGACAAUGCCAACCUUUUUAUUUUUUAUUUGUUUGACAAAUAGUAUUGAUGGUUUGCAUUUAGGAUUUUUACGAAUUAUAGCAUUCGGGAAUAAGUGAGGAUUUCUUUGGAUAACUCAUAAAUAAUAACUUGAAAACAUCUCGACUUCAAACAUUUUGGGUAUUUUAUGAACUUUAGAUCCUUUUUGUUUGAUUAAUGUAUUGAAAUCAAUAUGUUUAAGUUGGUCAGGAAGUUGUUUCGUUUGAGAUAUAGGUAUCAAUCUUCUUUCUUGGGCUGUUUGUUGCAGGUUCUUUCCUCUCAAGUAUGCUGUAGAUGCUGCCUGCACUGUUGAAGUAACCAAAUUUGGUAUGACCUACAUCUUUGAAUCCCUGAUUGCAUCUUUGAGGCCAAAGCAUAACAAAUGCUAAACUACAUACAGUAUAAAAAUAUAUAUAUUUUAAAAGUCCAGGCUUUAUGAAUUAGUUGACUGUUCUAUUUAUUUAUUUAAUUAAUUUUAUACUUUUAUACUUUUUGUGAAGUCUUUUUCUCUAUUUUUGUAAAAGUUCCCCUAACUUGGCACAAGUGCAUGUAUGCACGUGUGUACUCAGAACACAAACUCCUUUAUAACUGAAAAGAACGGUCGCAAAUGUUUGUUUUUAACUUGGAAAAAGAAAAUAAAAUUGAAAGUUACUUUUGGGAAAUGUUGAACUUUUAUAAUGAAUAGGCUUUAGUGCAGAAGGCUUGAUAGUAAAUAGAAAAUCUAUAUGCUGGGGGUUUUCUGGCUAGCUAAAAAUGUGUGACAAAUGAUAAAUCUAUCUGAUUGCAGUGUAUUUAAUGUUUAAUACCUUCAUUACAAAAAAGGUUAUUGACAGUGCUUUGACUAUCUUGCAGAUUAUAAUGGAAAAACCAGCAGGUGGCCCUAGUAAGAGAGAUCAGCUUGCAGGGAUGGAUGAGGACUAAUUUUGUGUGUAUGACCAUUGACUAUCUUUGCUUGUAUUGCUCUAUGUUAGGGAUCUUUUGUUCCAUUUUAGUAACAAUUUUGUUUAGGUUUAAUACUUUUGUAUAUUAAUUCUUUUCAUCCGAUCCGGACGGAAAUGUUCCAUUUGGUUAGCGGAAACAAUAUCCCUACCCCUCGGCUAGGCCAAUUACAAGCUGAACCAUCCCAUUGUUUGACGUGAUUGAGUUCUAGUUUUGGGAGGUCCCUCACCGUGGAAUAUUUUGUUCUUUGUCAUGUUUUACAUGGAAUAAUUGUUCUGACGACUGAGGCUACAUAACAGUUGGUACCAAAAUAAGAGAGCAGGGGGUUAUGCCUUUUGUGUUAGCCUAUGGAAACCAAGAUGAAAUGGAAAACGACCAUAUCUGGCAUAAUUGAUGUAUAAUACAUCAAACCUCUUCCAUUACAUCCAUAACCUAACCAACUUUAACCUGCCAACUGUAGAUGAACAAACCUCCUAUUACAUUUGAAAAAUAACAAAUAAAUCACCAUUCCAAACAUGAAAACAGAGACCCAAAACCGUGGGUUUUUCAUCUUCUCUUUUCCAGCGUUUCUUGCUUGUUCCAAGCGGUUUAUUUUCCUAAGCAAGCCUGGAAUUAUGUGCUUCUAUCUGUCACACAUCUUUGGGUCAACCCAUUCCCAAAAUGUACAUCCACUCGUCUGCAUAAACGGAAACAAUAUUUUCAAACAAAGAGGCGCAGCAUCACAAUUGGAAUCCAUCAAAAUCUCAAAUGUCAGCUCAAACUUACAGAGAAAUACAUUUACCCUUGCACAUACUUGAAACCUCCUUCCAAGAUGAGAAACCGUCCACGAUGUAUGCGUUUUGACAACGUUCCCACAGUAGCACAGCCGUGAACAUAUUGAACUCGCGUCUUCCAUUUCCCAUCGAGAUCUUGAAGUCGACUCUUGAGCGUGCAAGCGAGACCUCACUAACUCAGCCGCACCGCUAUGGAGGCCCCUCCUACUCAUCUCCUUGUUUUGUCUGUAUGAAUUGUUGUUCAAGUUGUGUGAUAUUUAGGGUGCUCAAGAGGGUCAUCUUAUAUUCAAUAGGUUUCACUUGCAUGUGCACAAUUUGGAGGGAAAACCGUGUGAGCGCACAAACAUGAAACCUAGAGUUAAUGGGGUGGUUUUUAUCAAAAUUAUCAAUCUUUACAAGUGUACAAAUUUGAACUCUGUGGAAGGUAAUUACGUUAUACUUUGGAACUGAAAUGAAUGCAUCCAAAUUACAUCAACUGCAGUUUUCAAACUUCCAGCAUACAACAAAAAAGAAGGGCACCUCAAAUGUACAGAAUACAAAGGACACCUCAAACUGGCAUAAUACAAAAUAACAAAACAGCCCAGCUCAAACUUACAUAAUACAAAAUUAAAAAAGAGGUCACCUCAAACUUAUAUAAUACAAUCUUAACAAAGACGGCACCUCAAGCUUACCUAAUACAUAUCUACAAAAGAGGCCCCCUCAAACUUACAUAAUACAAAUUAAAUAAAUAAACAGUGCACCUCAUAUGUGGAUAAUAUAAAAAGAGGGCACGUCAUUCUUUCGACUGUACACAUUUUGUCCACAAUAGUUGACAUGGUAAUAUUAGAAGUCAUACCUUCUGUCUAUGGACACAUUUUGAGUUGCAUACCCUUCAAAUGCGGCAAUCGCAACCCAUUAAAUUCAUAACCCAUCCCACAGUGAUGUCCCAUUUUCCUUCUACAUCCACAAUUUUUGCAAACUUCCUAAAUAGUUCGAAACCGGAUUCCAGUUGUUUUUGCUUUAGCUGAGCCAUUUCCUCAGAUUCCUUGAACACAAUAACUGCUGUGGCAGGGGCAUUUUCAAUUUUAGCUCGCACAACCUUUAUAUGUAGGAGAUGCAUCCGGGCGUGAUAACGCUCCCGAAUUGUGUGAUUUUUUAUGACACCCUACCUAGCUUGGCCCUCCUUAAUUUUUAAAACUAUGUCUGCAUGGAGAUUUUUCCAGAACAUGGUAUUGGCUCGACAUUGCUGCAGUCCAUGGACCCAGUCUUCAGUGUCUUGUGUUGCUGAUUUGGCAGGUGUUUCAGUGUCCCCUCCUUCAGUAAUGGCAAGGGUUGGGUUUGGUGUGGGGUUUGGGUCCAUGGGCAUUAGGUAUUUACUGCGGGUCAGUGUGGCCAUUAGUUUGCCCAAACUAGAAGUAAUUGUGAUGUGGGUGAAAUUGCUGCACAAGCAGGGGGGUUUGACGGAGUAAAUGUGAUGGAAAUGUUGGGUGGAUGCAGUUGGGUUACAAUUAAAUAGUGGGAGGUAAUAAUGACCAGGAGUAAAUGAUAGUGAGCAAGUGGCGGGAGUUAUUGGCGGGAGUUGUUGGGUCCAAUUUUUUGUGGGAGUUAUAGGGCAACACGUUUGACUUGGGGUUUGUGUAAUUGGGUAUAUCAGUAUUCUUUACCAUUGGUUGGUGUUUGUUGUAUAAGACCCUUGUUCUAUUUGCAAUUUAUUCCUUUUGUCCUCUUUCACAAAUUUCCCUCCUGUAGCAAAAGUACAAAAUGUCCCAAAUUUAUGAGUACGGUAAUUUGACAAUGCACCAAUGCAGACGUUUACAAAAAUGGACCAUGAAAUUAUUUGUGUUUCCAAUUCCUUUUUGCUGUCUUCCAAAUUCCUUUAAAUGAGUUCCAUUUUUUAAUAUAUGGGUAAAUUCCUAAUUGUCAUUUUUGAUAUUUGCAAAUCUGUUUAGGUGUUUUCCGCCCACUUUACUUUUUCUUUGCCUUGAAAUUUUGGUCGGGACUGUAUAUGCCUGUUUUGGUGUUAUUCAUUUUUAUCAUAUGGACUUUCCCAUUCUCGUCAUUUGUAGGGAAUACUUAAUAAUUUAUAAACAUUUCUAUAGAUUUCGUAAAUUAAGAAUUAGGGAACUUGCUAAUUAAGAAUUAGGGAAUUAGAUUUCGUAAUUUUUCAGGACCUUGAAUAUUAAUAUAGUAUACAGUUUCUUAUUAAGGUUUUGUUUAAUUUGUGUAUUCACAGUUGUUCAGGUGUGUGUAUUUGUACGGCCAAUUAUUCCAACGUUGGCAUACCUUUAUUCGUAUUUGGUCCGGCUGUAAUGGGCAUAUUACAAUGCUCUCACUGACGGAGAGGAGUAAUGGGUGCAGACUGACCUGUAAUGUACUAUUUGAAAUAAAUAUAAAACAGACAACUCUUCUCUCAGGUUAGUGUCUAACUUACUCAUUCAAUUCCAUAUAAAACAAAGUACUUCGUAUAUAUUAGAGAGCAAACCUAUACAAAAGCUCAACCUUUUGUUGGUUAUGAAAUAAAAACUACAGACUGAACCUAACGUGAACUGUUUUGCAGGGUGCAUGUGUGCAUUUUCCCCAUCCAUAGUUGAAGAUGUCAGACGUAAUCCCUCCAAAUGACCAUGUCAGUUACCCGAGAGACCAGCCAUAGCAUGUCCCUUUCCCUCCACCUGGGACUCCAAAUAACUAUCCCACGUCAUCUGGAAGUGAGGCUGACAACAAUGAUCUGCUAGACAAAAUAGCUGAAAUGAAGCAUCACCUCCAAUAUUUGUGUACGGCUACGAAUUGGUGGGAAACGAAAUGUGAUAUUCAUGGCCAGGUGAUGGGAAACUUGACGAACAAUGUUCUCCACAAAUUCACUGAAUCUGAAGAAUUUAACCAUGAAAUGGUUGAAUGUUUUAACAAUAGGUUCGAGAUGUUCCGAGAUUAUGCUUCCGUCGUCUCACCAGACUACAAUUGGAGUGAAAUGGAUGUUGCUGGUGUCUGGGAGGUGCUGAAUAGGUGUGGCCAGGGAAUGGUUGAUCAUAGCCUUGUGCAUGCAGCGAGGAAGAAGACAAAGGACGUGGAUCUAUUGAUGGACUUGUAAACAUUUGGAUUUUGGUAGGGUUUGUGUAGCUGGGUCAGGGUAAGUACGGGUUCGAAACAUUUUGUGGACACGGAAUGGCUUUUGUAUGAAUGUGGUGCCUUGUUUACGCCUUCCUCUUAUUCUCACCGUUGAGUGGCAAAUUAGUAAGUUUGUAUAAAUUUGAAGUGUUGUGAAGUGGAUGUGUGCUUAUUGUACGUUUAUUGCCCUCAUAUUGAAAGCGUUAAGUAUUUAUAUUGUGGUUAUAUUGUAGCUUUAUUGCCACAUGUUGGAAUCAUAAUGUACUUAUAUUGUGGUUUUAUUGUUGCUUUAUUGAUUGGCACCAUGUCGUAAUUAUGGAGAGUUUCGGAAAGAUCGGUGGUUCUGAAGCACAGAAAUAUCCAUGGAAAUAUCAUAAAUAUAUCGAUUCCAAUAACAAUUGGAUGCAAACCACAAACACUAUAAAUAAAUGCAAAUUUGUACUAAGAACAAAAAUAAAGUUAUGAAAGGAACAAUUAAAUAGGAAAUAAAUAAAAUGAUUAUCAACAUUUAAGUAAUGAAGCAACAAUUUGAAGGGAAAGUUAGUAAUUUCAGUACUUAUAAUGAACCUUCUAAUUAAAUAAGCAAUAACAUGAAAUGGAUUAAAUAGGGAAGAAAUUCAUGACAUUAAGUAAUGAAUUAUUUGAGCAACAAUUUAGAACACUAAGUAAUUAAUUUUUAUUUUGCAAAACAGGUUGGAAGACUUAUAAAUACCAGAGUCCAUAGGCACUAAUCACAAACUGAUGACUGCCGUUGUGGUUAAGUAGCUCAGAACCUGGAAGAGGGGAAGGGUUUCAUCCUCUGUGUGUGUGACUUGAAGUGAAUAAUUUUUUUUUUUUAAAGUUCAUAUUGCGAUAGUAUCAUAUGAUAGAUAAUAUCGCGAUCUAUUGACCAUAUGUAGUCAAACACAUAGGACAUUUCACCUUGUAUUUGCCCCACAUCGGGCCCAUGCAUCGGCCGAAUUUGUAAUCAGAAAAGGUAUAGUCGGAGUAUCACGGUAACUGUGUAAUAAAGGAAUUCUAAGAACUUUAAUGUUUCGGAUCCAUUUUGAAUUACAUUACAGGCCCUUUAAUUUCGCACUCACAAUUUACAUUUCAAUGGCAAUACCAGUACAAUAACAGUACAAUAUAAUUGCAAUCUGGAAGCAAUAAAGCAUGUUGUUUAGCAAUGCAACCCAAAUUAUGCAAAUUUAAAAGAAUUCUCAUUCAACAUAACACGAAACCCACCACAAAUAAAAGUAAAAUUUACAUGACCUCCCAAAGCAACACAAAUGAUAUUGUCUAAGAUACAUUGUGCAAUGGAAUAUUGUUUUUACAGGUGCUUUUAUUGUGGCCUGCGGAACCACACCUUGAGCACUUUCUUGUAAUGGCGCCCUCUCCUUGCGAGGGAAUUCUUAUCUUCUUUCGUCAGCCUGGCAUAACCCUUGUCAUGGGAGGCAGCACAACUCGACUUCGAACAUCUUCAGGAAUAUCCCACAUUCCGUGAGGCUGUACCGGUUAGAUGCUAUCUGAAUAAGCAUUCAUCCAUGUUUUCUGAGUGUAAUACCGAGAAGCCUUCGAGUAUACAUUUACUUUCAAGAAGUGGCAAACUACAACUACAUGGUUGCAAGGUAGCUGCUCAAGCUGAAACUUUCUACAACUACAACUAUUGUUCGUCAAAUCUAUGAGGCCGUCCACACCACCGUCCAAAUCAUUAAACUGUGCGUUAUUUAGUUUAACGACAUUCAUCCUUGCAGCAUCCUCCAACCUAUUCCUCAACUUCUUCUCUCCAAAAUUAGGGCACAAUGUUGUUAUGCAAUUCAAACCCAACUCACGACGUUUGGUAAACCAUUUCAUAAGGAGAUUAAUAAUUUCCCCUAUCAAAUGAACUAAUGGCAGCAUCCUUGCAAACCUAAGGACUGAGUUGAUUGACUUCGCAAUAUUUGUUGUCGUUACAUUGUAGCGGUGUCCAUCCAUGUCAGCUCUAGACCACUUAUGUAACCCUGCCUCUUCAAGAUAUUGAGCAACAUGUUCCUUUCGCUUGAUCUUGCUAAAAUGACAAUCAAAUUCAGCAAUGGAAUAAGAUUUCGCAGCCUGCUAAAGUGCAUAAGUAUUUUAUCAUGCUUUUUCAACUUGCAAGUGCGUUUCAUGUUCCCCUUCAUAUGAUAAAAGCAUAUGCCAUGUUGCGCAGUUGGAAAAACUUUGUUCCACACAUUCUCUAUGCUAACAUUGCGAUCAAAAAUAAUAACAAGAUUGGGACACUCACCAAUGGCUUCAUGAAGUUUAGUGAAAAACCAAUGCCAUGAUACAUCCAUCUCCAAAUCCCUGAUCCCAAAAGCAAGAGUACAUAUAUUUCGAUUACCAUCGAAUGCAUUUGCUACAAACAUAACACCCUUGUACUUGGAUUUUAAAUGAGUGGCAUCCACAGCUAUCAUUGGGCGCAUGGAAGAACGAAACCCUCUAAUACAUGCACCAACCACCAUCAAUACACAAAGUGAUUGUUCUCAUCAGUUUGGAUGUGUGUUUUUGUGCCGGGAUUCAUACGCUCCAAUUCAUAGCAAUAAGCUGGAAGGAUAUAAGAUGCCUCCUCCGCUGAUCCUCUAAUGGACAAUAGAGCUAACUCCCUUGCUUUCCAAGCUUUUAAAUAAUGGAUGGUGAAACCAAAGUUGUGUUUCACAUCUCUCAUAAUGUCACUUGGUGUGCAUAUUGUCCGAGAAUCCUUAAACUUCCUUUUAAAUGAAGUGGCUACAAGUGCUGCGGUUGCUUGACGAUGCUUGUCACUUACAAAUCUCAAAUCACAUUCAUAGACAGUUGUACACCUCACAAUCAUGAAGCUGCAUUCUCCAAUUCUCGAUGCUCGGACCCGCCAUGGGCAUGGAUGUUGACAACAAACCACAAGCAACCUCUUAGAGCAAGUCCAGCAACUAAGGCUGGACUCGGGCUGGGGGGGGGGUUUGGGAGAAAAAUGGGUUUCUAGCAACAAAAGGCAACCCGGGCAAGAAGUGGGGGCCAUGAGACUGGGCUGGCCCUAGGUGGAGUUUGGCCUGAGCAAGAGCCCGAGGGCUGUGACGUCAUGGUUGACGCCAGGCUGGCGUCAGCCCUUCAAAUUUUUUUUACCGUUUGCGCGUGCAUUGCACACUCCAACGUUAAAAAAAAAAAUUUGAAAUGACGCGCUACAGUAGCCGCCAACGGCUACCUUACACGUGUCGGCGUAUUGGCUCUCCGAUUCAAUUUUUUCCUUCAAUCCAACAGCAACCAAUUUUUCUGCAAUAAAAAAAUGAAAAAAAAAUACACAAAAAUUACUGAUUUUUUUUGGUAUAAAUACCAACCAAUACUCUUCACUUUUAACACCAAAUCCUCUUACAUUUUCUUCUCCUUCUACUAUUAUUCACUUUCUACUCAAUAUUUUUUUCACUUUCAAGUUGUAUUUUUCUCUAUCAUAUUAUGGGUUCUUCUAGUGAAAAUGGAGUGGCAUGGAGUAUGAUGGAAGAUGUUAGCUUGUGUGAGGCUUGGGUCCAAGUUAGUCAUUGUCCCAUAACGGACAAUGAGAUUAAAUUUUCUCAUAUGUGGAAAAAAUUCCUCAGGCAUUUUGUGAAAGGGCAAUUAGUUCGACACGUACAAAAAUGGCAUUAUCUAGGAGGUGGAAAAUUCUUAAUAAAGAGUUGGCAAAAUGAAGAAAUGUCUUGGCAAAAGCGAUGGAUAACCAUAGAAGCGGGGAAAACCUUAGCAAUGAGGUAAAGUAUUUGUCAUUUUCGUUCUAUUAAUUUCUAUGUCAUAUUAAUUUUUAUUUAAAUGUUUCUUGCAAUUUAUAUAUUUUGUUAACAUUUAUUGUAUUUUUUUUAUGAGUGCUGCUAAACGAACCCUAAAAUUAACUGAGUACACCCUACUGCAAAAGUAUAUAUUAAAUUACUAAUUUACCCUAAUAUAAAAUGACUAAAAAGGAUAUAUGGAAUUGUGAAACAAAUAUAAUUUUAAUAAGUACACCCUACUAACUGUAUUCAACCCUAAUCAAGAGAUUACUUGGUUCCCAUCUUUGUGAUCCGCGAGUUAGAAUGGCUCGGAGCAAAUAUAAUCUUAGGCUGUUGUUCAAUAAAUGACUGAGCUUGUCGUGAAAAGAGAAGUUAAAGCACAACCUGCUAAGCAGAAAAAGACUUGGGCUCAAAUCUGCUUCUUCUCGCGGUCCAAAAGGAAGCGCAGCGAUGGAGAUUAUGUGAAGGCCUGAUUAAUCAUUGAAUUCCGACAAGAGACACGAUAAUUUCAAUCGAGUAAGUUGUCAAAACAAUAUUAUGGUGAAUUGACUUAUAUACUGUAAAAAUAGAAUUUAGGCAUAUUACUUUUGCCUAGUUCACUAACAACGUGAAUGAAAAACUCUUUGACCCUACUGUGGUGGCACCAUCUUCAUCCCCCUUUUAGGACUUGGUUUUUUUGGCUUGUGAGCAUGUAUGAUUAAAAAUAUCUUAACUAGUACUACUAGGGCCAAUUUGAUGAAGUUUGCAGCGACUUUCUUUUGCCACUCAUGCCUAUUUAUGUAUUUGGAUUCCUAUCAUAAGGAGUUUCAAAGCCUUUUUUUUUGUACUUUUGAAAUUUUGGAAUGGAUGCUUCAUACAUUUCGAGGAAGUCAUCAAAAGAGGUAUUAACUUUGAUUUUUUUUUUUGUUUUUGUUUUUUUUUUUUUGGUUUAGGGUAAAGCAAUUGUACCGAAAAAUGACAAAUAUGAGGGUUUUUUUUAACAGCAUCCAGAAGAUGUAUCUAAGCAAGACACCGACAUCAAUAAAAAAUGUGUUUUAGACUAUAGAAAUGAAUUUAUCACAAACGAGGUAAAUUAAUGAAUAUUUAUAUAUUUAUUUUAUAAUUGCAUACAUUAAUUUAAUUAUUAGUGAUUUUACAGAUAUUUGUUAGUCGUGAUGCAUUAAUAAGAUGGACUCGUGAACAAGGGAAAAGGAAUGGCUUUGUGAUUAUCAUUAAAAGGUCUGAUAUUGGAGGAGCUGGUAAAUUCAAGACCGGUCGAAUUCUAUUUUGUUGUGAGAGGGGUGGCCAAUUUAGGGGAAAAAAAAGUUGUGGAAUCAGAUAGCAAGACAAUACAUAAGCUUGAUCAAAGUUCAAACCCUCCAAAGAAAAAAAGUGUGAAGUCUGCUGGCACGAAGAAGUGUGGUUGCUCCUUUUCAUUGAAGGGUGUGAACUGUGGUCCUGGAGAUGCAUAGCAACUUGAGUUCUGUGGAGUUCAUAACCAUCCUGCAGCACUAAAUAUGGAAGGGUAUUCAUAUGCAGGGAGAUUAACUGUGGAAGAGAAUUUACUAGUGGUUGACAUGUCUAAGAGUUUGGCUAGGCCAAAGGAUAUAUUAUAUACUCUUAAACGUAGAGAUAGGUUGAAUUUGACCACAAUGAAGACAAUCUACAAUGCCAGACAAAAAAAUAGGGUGAUUGAGAAAGUAGGUAUGUCAAAGAUGCAGGUAUUACUAUGAAAGUUGUUUGCCCAUGAGUAUGUAGAGUGGCAUAGAAGCUAUGGUAACGCUAAUAUUGUAAGUGAUUUGUUUUAUGCUCACCCUACAAGUAUUAAGCUACUGCGCGCAUUUCCUCAUAUUUUGAUCAUGGAUUGCACAUAUAAGACAAACAGGUUUCGCUAUCCACUUUUGGAGAUUGAGGGGGUGACGUCUACACAUCUUACAUUCUCAAUUGCAUUUGUUUAUCUUAGUGCUGAGAAAGAAGACAACUACAGAUGGGCAUUGGCUCGAUUAAGGAGUGUUAUGGGUGAUAAUUCGAUUCCUAGUGUUAUUGUCACAGAUAGAGAGUUAGCUCUCAUGAAUGCACUCCAUGAAGUCUUUCCAGGUGUUUGACAUUUAUUAUGUACAUGGCAUUUCAAUAAGGGAGUCUUAGGAAAGUGCAAAAAUGUAUUUGAAGACAAAGCUAGUUCAAACAAAUUUUUAAUUUCAUGGAAUAUGCUUGUUUCAUCAAAUACAGAAGCCGAGUAUGAAAGACAUCAAUUGGCCUUGCAGACCAACUUCAAAGAUCACAAUUCUAUCAUCAACUAUGUGAAGGAGACAUGGUUGAUUCCUUAUAAAGAAAGAUUCGUUGCUGCUUGGACAAACACAUGUAUGCAUUUUGGGAAUACAACAUCAAAUAGGUAUUUAUUAUUGAUUUUCAGUUAAUAUUUAUAUAGCAUACAUUAUAUAUUACUUCACAUGAAACAUGUUGCUACAAUAUACAGGGCGGAGACUGCACAUGCAAAGCUGAAGAAAUAACUUGGUAAUAGCAUGUGUACAUUUGGAACAUCAUGGGAUAAAAUUCAUCCUUUAAUAGAAUUGCAACACACUGAAAUAAAAGCAUCAUUUGAGAGGAGUCUGUCAUUUGUGCAACAUGACUGCAGGAAAGAAGACUUCAAGGAGUUGAUUGGUUUUGUAUCUAUUUCUGUGUUGGAUAAUAUUAUGGUUGAGCUAAAGCAGUUAGAUUAUAUUGAGGUUGAUCCAAUAUCAUGUGGUUGCAUAAUAAAACACACACGGAUUACCAUGUGCACAUGAGAUGCAAGAGUUCAAACAGACUCAUAGGCCCAUUCCACUUGAUUGUAUUCAUCCUCGUUGGAGGAAGCUAGAUUUUUUGGAGCCCCGACCUAUUGCUACACCGAACAAUCCUCCAGAAAAUGCACAGUUAGAAUUAUUUGUGAAGUGGUUUCAAAGUUGUAGUUCUGAGACAAAGAGACAUGUUAGUAUGAAGUUACAAGAGAUCAUGAAUCCCGCAUCUACCACGCUUACACAACCCCAGCUGAAGAUUAAAACAAAAGGUCGUCCAAAAGUUGACACAUCUACUCGACGUUUGCCUUCUGCUUUUGAGGUUGUCUUAUUUGGUCAAGAUAGUGCACACUCGAUUGACAAAGUUGUUACAAGACCGCCACGUAAGAAGCCAAAGACCAUACCCCAAAAGCUUUCAGUAUUCAAUAGUCAGACACAACCAUUGCCAUAUGUGAAUCCAAAGAAGCAGCCUUUGAAGCUACCUGUAAGUAGUUACAAUAUUACAUUUGUAUACUGUCGUUUAUAUUAUAAUUUGGGUGUAAUUGUAAUAUGCAGGCCUAUAGGCCUAAACCCAUUGUAGAUGACUCUUGCUUAACACCAGAGUUUAACAAGUGGUUUCCUAAACAUAUGUUGAUACAUAUUAGAGGGGCACAAGAUGUUAAGAGUGAUGGUAAUUGUGGUUUUAGAGCCAUUGGAUCAUUGAUGGGAUUUGGUGACAAUGCUUGGUGCAAAGUACGCAGAGACUUGUUGAAGGAGUUGAGGAAGGAAUCUGUCAUAUACGAGUUAAUAUUAAAUGGUAAGGAACGGGUACAACAUAUGAGUAUAUAUUGGACUAUUUUGAGGACUUCCCAUUUCAAGAUAGGUGGAUGACUAUACCAGAUAUGGGACACCUCAUUGCAUCUUGUUAUAAUGUAAUCCUCAUGACUUGGUCAGUGCAUCAGUCACUUACAUUUUUUCCAGAUGAGACUGCUCCAUUGGAUUUUAUCUAUCACCGUGAGAUUUCGAUUGGAUUUGUUAACCACAAUCACUGGAUUAAGGUAAAACAAAUAAGAUGUUUAUGCAUAUAUAUAUAUAUAUGUUUGUUUACUAUUCUUUUCACAUAACUUGAUUUAUUUUUUUAUUUUUUAUUUUACAGGUUUAUUUGGAAGGUCAACACCCUAUGCCACCAGUUGAUGAGUGUUGGUUGAGAUGUGCAAUCAUAACUGCAUCAGAUUGGCUUACGCCAUAUCAGGAUCGUAUAGGUCAAUUUAGAUAUGAAGCUAGUGUAACAGACCCUUAUGAUAAUGACCCUAUAUUUAUUGAGUAGUUUUGUGAAGCAUCAUAUUGGUGACAUUAAUAAGGAAGUCACAAGGCAAAUAAAACCUUUUCUCUAUUCAAAAGCUUAACUUUGUUAAGUAAGGACAGACUAUUUAUCAGUGCUUCCCAAAAUGAUACGAUCUUGAAUUCCAACAAAAUGUGUAUUAGCAUUCUUAUCCGGAGAGCUUUCUCAAAUAUUUUUCCUGUAUUUAGAGGUAACAAACAAUAAAAGUUGGAGAGCAAACCAGAGAUGAUAUGCCUGAAAUUUCAAGAUGAGUAUCAACACUAAUUUUAAUUUAACUAUAAUAAUCAGCAGUGAUAAUUGUAACAAGAAAAAAGAAAUGCCAGUAAAUUUAUAGAAAAACUUCAAUGGAGUUUUUCUGUGUCUCUGUGUUUACUCUGAAUUUAUGUUAAAGAUAAGAACUUGGAAGUCUUUGCACUUCAGCUAAACUAAACAUUCAGAGAAAGAGAGAGAGAGAGAGAGAGAGAGAGAGAAACCUAUUUUUGAACUGCUGGAUAUGCUUGAAAAACAACACACAAAGACCUUUUUAGCAAAGGAGAUAAGCACAGAAGAAGCUCAUGAUAACCUCAAAACUACCAAAAAUGUAAUUUUGGUUGAGAAAGCAAUUUACUUUGAAAUAAAAUUAAAAAAAUACAUACGGCAGGCAGAGAAAGGCUGUGUUUGGUUGUGGAGCUGUCUCUUUUCGAAAUGAUUUUGAUCCACUAUUUCCUUUUAUGUUGGACUACGGAGGGACCUCCAUGGAAGAUCUUAGGCGAUGUGGCAUUUUCUGAGAAUUGCAGGUUGUCUCCACCAUGGAAGAUCGCUAAGAGGUCCUCGAUCCCAGCUUCCAACUACGAAUAGUCCAUCUAGAGAGGUUGGGAAAGUUGGAACAAAUAAAUUUCACAGUAGCAUAGUAGUAUAUAACUGAAACAUGCAUAAAAAAUCACUAUUAAUGAAAGAGGUGGUGAUUGCAAGAACUUGGAAUUGCAGAAAAAGUGUCAACAGUUUUAGUAAAAGCAUAAAUUCAUAUGAAAAGUCAAAGAUUUAUCAACACUAUUAAAAAAAGAGUGCUUCUAAACAAACCCAAUUAAUUUUAGGGUUCGUUUAGCAGCACUCUAAAAAAAUCAAGCUCAAAAUCAACUAUAAAAUAAUGCUACAAGUAUUAGGGUGUAUCAGGGGUAUUUUUGGUAGUUCUAUAGGGUGUACUUAGUUAAUUUUACAUUUUAAUUAAAAUAUUAGGGUGUACUUAAAUCAUAGGGUGUACUCAAUUAAUUUUAGAGUUCAUUUAGCAGCACUCUAUAUUUUUGAGAGGCCAUCAUUCAAUAUGAAAGUGUGUGGAAUUAAAAUUCAUAUCGGGUCAACAUAGUGACUUGACAUAAAGUUUGGAUAUAAUGGAGGCUUAAAUUAUGUAUAGAAAAAAGCUAAAAACAAAUCAUGCUUUCCAUAUUCAAUGUACACAUAGAAAACCUACUUAGAUCUGUAUCAAAUAAUUUUUUUUAGCCUACUCCUAUAAAAUUUCCUGGAUCCGCCAUUGUUUAUUACCCAACCUGCAAUUUCCUAUCCUCCAACACUAAACCACGUCGACUUCUUAUGAUGUCGUCUUACUCCAGCACUUGUUACCCAACCUCCAAUUUCCUAUCUUCCAUCACUAAGUCAUAGACUUGCUGAGUUGCAGUUUUCUUCCACCACUUAAAAACAACUACCAACCUGCCAGUAUUCCAAUCACUGGUCCAACUUCAACCGUCCUCAUUUAAAGCUUUAGACCAACGACUGCUCCUCCUGUGUCUAUAAAAAAAAGGCUUUAGCCAGGAACCGGGAGACCAAGGAAGACAUUGGCAAGCUUACCCUCCGUUGGAAAUCACUCAAAAACAAGCUUUAGCCUUCUCAACUCAAAUACAUCCUCCGCUUUCCAGAAACCACUGCCGUAAACACAUAAAGGUGGAGUUUCGUAUUUUCGUGAAAAAUAAUAUUAUGUUGAAAAAUGAUUAUGGGUAUUUUAUCAAGUGAUUUUGGAUUGAGACUAUUGGAUGAAGAAUGAUUAUGGAUAUUUUCUGCAGAAUCUGUAGAAAACCAGCCAUGAGCCCAAUUUUGGAGCUUGAUUUCUCUUUCUUUAUAGCUCCGUUUUGAGUUUGGUUUAUUGGAUUAGAAACUAGAAUUAAUAGGCUUUCCAACCAUUAUAAUUUAGUUAAUUUCUGCUGAUAUUUGGUCAGUCAAAAUGAAAUGCAAAACUCUAGAACAAAAAAAAUACAUAAUUUUUUAGAAGAUGAUGAACAGUAACCGCAGCCAAGCCCACUUGCAUCUCCUGCAAGUGCCGGCGCGUGGCGACUAUUUCGACAGCCUGUAAUGCCAUAUUUUUUGUCCAUUCAACUUGAUUUCUCGAUCCCAAUCCAAUGAUAUAUGUCUUGAGUCAAUCUGAGGCUGUGCGUCAAGGCGGAUUUUGUUUGAAACGUCGGUUGAUAUGGGGCACACGUGACCCAAAUGGUGACUUUUGGAAAACGGGUGUCCUUAGCCUUGUUUCGGUGUCGACAGAGUGUAGGACACAGUUUUAGAUUAUUUUGAAUGAGAUUUGACCGCUUUGGACCCCGGGUUGGUCCCAGGGGCAUUUUCGUUAUUUUCACUCAGAAUCUUUGAAAUGCGUAAGGUUGAGGUGUUAAGUUGAGGUUUACUGGUCUUAGGUGAAAUAGAGCAAAGACUGCUCAAUAAUAAUUUGGAUUUGAAUUUGUUCAGGAAUUGGAUCAAAAAUGUAGAUUCGAGAAAUCCUCGGAGAACUUCCGAAGAGUAAAUUGGUACUUUAGCCAGCUGGAUAUGAAGUAGGGAAUUUCAUAAUUUCCUGAUGAUUGGCUAUGUCACUUUUAAUCUUGGUGCUUAUAUAUAGUAAUAUUAUUGUUGUUUUGUUUCGUGAAUAUUAUUUGAUGUUCGAUGAAAUAAUAUUUGGUGCCAUGUGAAUAUUAUUAUUGAUGUUGCUCCGUGGAUAUUAUUUGAUGUUGGAUGAAUAUUAUUAUUCAUGUGAUUAUACUUGAAAUAUUAUCAUUAUUCUGUAGAGAUAAAUGAUGUUUGAGUGUCAUUACAUAUGCAUCAUAAAUAUGGUUGUAUUUUGGAUUUGUGUUUGGGUCGAGGUAUAUCUAAGGGGUGGGAGAAGGCCUUAGAUAUAUCUAAGUUAAAAUGUGGAAUAUAUUCAAGUAAUGGGAGUAGGGCAUGAAUAUAGUUAGGUGAUAAGAGUAGGGCCUUUAGUGAAAAGUGAAAGUUAAGAAAUGUGUAAAUAAAACAUGGGGUUAAGGGACGGAUGAGCACUAUUUCAUAUUUAAGGGUAUUCGGAGCCACACCGUCCCGAAUUCCCCCUUGGAAUCCAUGACGAACCCUUUUCCUAUCCGACACCAGGCAUGUGUUAGCCCAAACUACUAAAAUACCUUUUUGCCCUAAUUCAAAAACAACUUUAGGGCUUCACUUUUACCGAAAAAUCGAUAGAGCCUCCGUUCAAACUGGCUCAAAACCCAAAAAACUACCUGCACAUCAAACAAAAUUAUUUCCCAAGCUUUCAGCACGCACAAGGUAUAGACCAGAUGCCAAUUAGCAAAAACAUCUUGACCUAACUGAACAUAACAAACAAAUCAUAAACUUGCAGUUGCACCUAGGUUAGCCUAAGUUACCUACAUACCCUUAUUGAGGGAUCAAGCCACAUGUAGUUCUUUGUACCAAAAAUCACAAUUCAGAUAAGUUAAUAUUGUUCAAGGUAAAACCAACAAUUAAAUUCUAGAAUCAUUCUUUAAUUUGUUUUCAUCUAGCUAUAUAACCAAAUAUCAUGCCCUAAAAUUAUGUACAUAACUAUUCAAUCAAUUUAUCAUUGAACAUCCAAACACUUACAUAACCAAAAAUUUUACCUGAAAGUCAUACCUGCAACCGUCCACGUAGUGUAUAUAUCCUGCUAUCACCCACCAAAGGGUAUAUGAGAAAUAUCAUUAAAUCCAAAGGCAAUCGGGGAAGGGGGAAACUAGCCAACCACCUGUGUAGACAAGUCGGGCAGGUGACUGGGGAUCCUAGCCAACCCUAUGUAGAUAAUAUGAGCACAGUGGCGAAGAAUAUCCUGUUAACUAUAUAAACACAUCAGUAUUGUACUGUUCCCUACAUAGGUGUAUUCCAAAUAUAAUCCAUCAAUUCCAUAGAUAAUCUGUCAAUUCCAAGUACUACACAUGUGGAAUGGUCCACUCCACAUGUGUGACACAUCCUAGCAUAACUCAGGGACAUGUGGCCAACUUUAGAACGCAAAUAAUGCGUCAAUUCUCCUAACAAGACUCAGGAAGAUAUACUCAACCUGAUGACGCAAAUAAACCGUCAAUUCCCCUAGCAUGACUUAGGGACAAAUGGUCAACCUGAGAAUGCAAUCCUAGCAGAAAUCAGGGAGCUAUACUUAACCUGAGAAUGAAAAUCUUAGCAGAACUGAUGCAGCAAGUUUAGCAAAUACAUAAAUGGACCAUUGGGAUCACGUUCAUGCAUGAGGAAAGUCUUAAUAACCUACAUUAAAUAAGUGUCUCUUCAUAUGUGUGAAUUAUCUAGGUUCACGAAUAAAAUUAUGGAGAGUCUUUUCAUCUUUGUGAGUUAUAGGGAGAUUUAAUGUGAAGGUAUCAUUAGGAGGGAAGUUGGGAUAGGAAAGGUUUAAGAGAGUUAUAAGGACUCUCAUCAUAAUUGUCUAAUCUUAUCUUAUCUCAUCUUAGGGGAGUUAUGAGGAGUUAUCUCAUCUUGAUUGAGAGGUUCCCAUAAAUAAUGCAUGAAAUUGUAAGAAAGGGUGAGUUGAUGUUUGAUUAUUGAAUAAAGAUUGAGAUUUUUCUCUCAUCUCUUUACUCUUUUCCUGGGUAUUCUCAUAAUUAACAUAUUAGAGUUUUAGUUUCGGGUAUUCGUAGAAUCAACAGAGUUAAGUUUGCUUGAAAUUAUCUUUUGUUCUUGUUCUGCUGCAUCGAGAACUCAGGGAGAUAUACUCAAUCUGAGAACGCAAAUCCUAGCACCACAUGGUUCGGGCGUCUCCGAUACUCAUGGGGCAAUGUCAUACGCGCGUAGACAAGUUUGAAAGCAACUGAAGUGUCCAAAGAUAAUCCGAAGGCAACUAUAUGUCCGAAGACCUUUUGAAGGCAACCAUAUGUCCAAAGACAUUCUGAAGGCAACUGUAUGUUCGAAGACAUCAAUAUUUUCGAAGGCAACAAUAUUUCUGAAGGCAAUCAGGAAGUUCAAAGACAUCAAUAUUUCUGAAGGCAACCAGGAAGUUCGAAGACAUCAAUAUCUCCGAAGGCAACCAGGAUGUCCGAAGAUAUCAACAUUUCCGAAGGCAACAAUAUUUCCAAUUUCAACGAUUUAACAUAUAUAUAAAAAUAAACAUAAAUAUAUCACCAAACAUUUAAAAUCAACUCAACCCAAAUCCGCACAAUAAAACAUAAAUAUAUCAUAAUGGGAAAGUAAAGGCGAUAGAAUAAUAGUUCCAUAAACAAUUAAUAAAACUCUUGUAGCAAAAUACCAUUUUAAAAUCAAACAACCAAGGCACAAACACCUCCUAACCAAUUGGUCCCGAUCAGGCCUGCGAGGCCUACCAUCUAGGUCAAUUAGGCCUGCAGGGCCAUGACCUCCGAUUUCAAUCAAAAGUUCCUAUAUGUCCAACAAAGUCUACUAAACAAGUUCUGAAAGUUUGGCCUUGAUCGAGCAGUCGGAUAUAAGCCAAUCGCACGAUUGGACGAUGAUUGGUUCGCCUAACCCUGGAAUCAUUGACUCGGAGUAUCCAGGACUUUGAUUCUCGAUAUGUAAGUACCUACACAAUCUAGAGGUAUAGGGAACAACAUAAUUGAAAUUGGAACCGAUCGAACUGUUCGAACCUAUCAAACUUGGAUAUAGCAUAAUAGGUGCAAUAUUUGUUUGAUAGUCAAACCGUAACCAAAUUCAAAUCCGAGCAUACCGUCAUGCUCGUGAAAAUGAGGGAAUGAUUCUAGGUAAAAAAUAAAUCAUCGACACAAGGCCCAUGCACCGCCGUCGACAUUGGGGCCUUGAGAACAUUCUAGCGAUGGAAAAUCCUCAAAACUCCCUACAAUACCAAUACCAAUACAUUCAAAUUAACAAGGGAAACCACUUUUGUUCUCGGACCAUGGCCAAAAAGUGACCGGAGGUAGAUGAAAUCACAGCCAAACCAUCGGCCCUUUAUGGGUAUUUUGAUUGACUUCCGAAACUCCAAAAUCGAUCCAAUCCACUUACAUAACAGAUAGAGCAUGAAGAGUAGAUGAAGUUUCAUACCUCGAUCAACGAAAACGAUGGCCGGAGUCGCUAGAAACAGCGUCGGAAGCUUAGAAAAUUGUCGACACUUGUAGUGGUUCCACCCGCAAUUCCUUCAGUUUUUGAGCUGGAAAAAUUGGUGGGUUAGAUAGAGGAUGUCGAUACAACACUUUUGGGACCAAUUUCACCUAAAACGAUCGCCGGAUGGUGACGCAAUCGUCGGGCAACGUCUAGCAUCGCGUGGAUUGGGAGAGAGAGAGAGAGAGAGCUGCCAGCUUUUAAAAUUUUGACUUUGCAAAAAUUACAGUUGUGUCACUGCACUUUCGUAGAUCAAAACUUCUUUGUUUUAACUCCGAAAUGAACAUGCCACCUAUCUAUGAACUCGUAUCAUCGAGCUCUACACAACAGUGCUGCUCAAUUCCACAAAUUUCUUUAUGAACAAAAAAUGACUAAAGUGCCAGUACACCUUGGGGCAAAAAUGUAAUUUCACAAUAAAUAAUCAAUUGAACAAUGAUUUUUGGGACGAGGUGUUACAACAGUGCUAAAACGCAUGAUAUGGGACAUGCAAGCUUGUUACCCUAAGGUAUGAAUUAGUGGGAUUAGAAGGGAGUGAGCUCAUGGCAUCACCGCAUAUGCAAAUUUAUUUAUCUUGUAUGGUUGCAUAAUUUAUGUAUCUUGUGUUGUUUGAUGCAUGACACUUUGAUUAAUUGUGAUAGCUGACCUUGAGGGGUUUGACGGUACUCUACUAGGCAUUAGAAUGCUCAUACCUUAAUAGAUUGUGCAGGAUUCAAUAUAAAAAAAAAAAAAGGCGAAAUUUGUGGAAGCGGGUUUCAACCAAGCUACUAGGCUUUUGUUGUUGAAUUGUGUAAUUAAUAUUUGUAAGUAGUCAACCGUUUUAUAAAUAUCUUAGUGUGUAUUUAACUACGAGCUACUACGACUCUAAUUCUGUGUUAUUAAGUAAAUUUGUAUUAUUUGUGGCUCUAUUUCUCAUCAUAUAAUGGUUGUAGGAUUUUAGUUUUAACUAUGGUAUGACUCACACCCUGAUUUGGGAAUUCCUUAUUUUCGAAUCGGGUCGAGACAUUUUCCCUCGUAAGCUAUCUUCUUCUUUUUCUAUAACAGAAACCAAAAACCAUUCCAAGCCCUGAAAUAUCCUUUAUCCAAUACCCCAUUUCAACUCAAGCAGACGAUCUCUUGCUUUACUCAUGGAGACUUAACUCACAUACCACAAGCCACUCAAGCCAAGCCCAAACUUUUGAUUCACUAAAUCAUUAUCUUCUUGGUGAGAAAAACCAGAGUAUUCCUUAAGAAUUUGCGUUCUUUUGAAGUAUCUUAGGGUCUAGUUCUUUUUGUUUACAGCAGCCCAAGUCCAUCUAGAGCUGCUAGAACAAGAAGGCCCCUACACUGUCUAAUACGACUAAUCCUCUAGGUGUUGUAAUCAUAGGCUGUGGUUCGGACUCUAUUUGUCUCCAAGCAAUGGAAACGUCGGAUAAUAUAUUUGGACUGAUCUUUGAGGAGUUGUAAAUUUGAAGAGGAAGAGAAAAAUCGAGAUUGUGAAGGGGGGUUAAUAAAGAAGAAAUUUUGAGAAGAAGAGUGGUAAUGAUGAUGAUGAGAUAAGAAGAAGUGGAGAGGAGAGCAUAAGAAUGGUUUAGGGUUUGGUUUAGUAUGUUUUUUCUCAAACUUUUAAUAAUUAAAAAAAGGUAAUUAAAAAACAAAGAAGAAAAUUAUUAAAAAUUUGAAGAAAAAAAAAACUUUUCAGAUUUUACUAUAUAAGUAUUCUUUAUCUUUCCUCAUAUAUUCACACAAUUUUUUUUAUUUAUGUGGAUUAAAUUGAUUGACCAAUAAUCAAUAUUCUUGUCUUGGGUUUUAUUGUGUACCACGAAGUUCUAAAAAGGCCCCAUUCAUCACCGUCACCAUUUAGAAUUCUUCCUACUUCGUAUCUUGAUCAGUGUAUUUGAGGUGUUACAAAUGAUCUUAAAUCACCAUCAUUAUUGUUAUUUAUUAUUUAUUUAUGAACUGGUCAGGCUGGACCUAAAUAGGCUCAAACGGGCCGACCCAAGAGUCGGCCCAAGAUUUCAAUCCCUUGGCUCUGAUAAGUGCAUUAUCUCCUAUAUUUUUAUACCUCUUAUAUUUGGUUUUUGUAGGGAAAGUUAAUUAAAAAGAGCAUUAUUACCUUACUUUCCUUAUUUUCAGCUAUUAUGCGCUCUUGGAAGGAUUUCGACUGAACAUCGACUUUUCGAAUGAAUUUUAGUGCGAGGCCAAUUAGAGAUGACAGCUAAGAUAUUGAAGAUCAUUGUGUCAAAGUUUCAUAAUUUUCUACCAAGCCAAAUGCUCCAAACUUGCAAGUCAAGACAGCCUAAGUUAAAAUCCCGUCAGAACUACACUGCUGUGGAAGAUUGAAGAUUUGAAGACCUUUAUGAUAUUUCCUAGUGGCUUGUAUAUAUGCUUGAAAAUCUUAGAGAUCAAGUUAUGUUUCUCAUAUUUUUUUUCAGAAUUUUCUAGGAAGUGAAAUGACUCCAAAACGUGCGUGCAAGUUGGCUGACGUGUUUCCAAGUCAAAGAAUGAUUCUUUCCUAGUUUGUUUCCUUAAUAGUUUGGGAUUUUGAUUUGCUUUAGGAUAUUUUUUCAAUACCUUUUUAGAGUAGGGUUUAGUUAUUUUACACUAUAUGAGGUCAUCCUAAGCUCUCUCUAAAGAUCAUCUUUUCUACCAUAGACUUUUCACCAUAUUUCACUACACCCACAAAUAUAUUAGAGAGAACGCCAAGAGUUGUUGCCGAGUGCUUUUGGAGCUUACAAAGGUGUUGCUGUGGAGAAUCCAGAGAUCAAAUUCAUCUGUCAAAUCGAUUUUAUGACACCAGUUCUCUUGUUUAUCUUUUCUUUUGUCAUGAACUAAUUUCUCUUUCUAGGGCUACGAUGUAGCCUAACCAUGAAUACUUAAUUUUUAUAGUUAUAUUAAUUUAUGAUUAUUAUUCCAUGUUGAGCAUUUGUUACUAUUCUUAAUGCUUGGAAUAUCUAGCCAAUAUUUAAUUAAUUUGAUGAUCCAAGCGGAGACCGAGAGGAGAUGUUUGGUGUUUGCUUGUCGUAAAAAAUACCAUGUCUUGAAUGAGUGCCCGAGAGGGACUAACAUGACUCAUGCAGUUUGCUUGCAGGUUCUCAUAGAACUUAAUGGGUUCUUGAUUUUCUAAAUCCGUUGCUCGAGAGAGAAUGGGUUGUUAAUUAAGAAUACUCUUGGCUGAGCCCGAGAGGGGAUAUCGAAUGAAUUAGGAGAAACCAACUGUCAACAUGGAUAGUAAUUAGAGUUAAUUGGCUAUAAGAAUUAAGUGAAAUUGGUUAAUGUGAAAUCGGAUGCCCUACUAUCUCAUUAACUUGAUUUUCCAUUAUUAAUUGAAUUGCUAUUUUUCAUAAUUGUUUUAGUUUACUUAAAUCAAUCAAUCUUCUUAAUCAACUAUUCAAAUAAACUUUUGAAUUAAUCAUAAUUGGUAAUUAAUAGGAAAUUAUAGUCUUUGUGGGAACAACACUUUACUUAUCUCUAUAUUACUUGUGUGGAUUGUGCGCUUGCAAUAAUUUCACAACAAACCCAAGCCCUACCUAAUCUUAAAGCGGGUCGGACUGAUUAAGCCUAAACAUCAGGCCUGGCCGAGCUUUGUCCCAUCAGGCCUCGGGCUACCUACUUCCCGUAGUUGCUAGAGAUUCACUAUAAAAGUGGAAAAGAAAGCAGUUACAAGCACUCAAGUGUUUUCUUCACACUUACUCGUAAUUAGGCUCAUAGCUGCACUCAUGCCACACCCUCUAGGCACACUCUAGCCACGAAUAAUGACUCCCUAAAGGCCUUAUUUGUAGUGCAUAAAUCCUAGGGUUACGUUUGUUAGAAAUGUGUCUUAAGAGCCAAUACAUUUGAUGUAAUCUCCUUAGAUUACAUUUCAAUAAACGACAAACUUAUUUUGUUAUCUUUUACAUCAGUUAAAGAAACAAAGUCCGGGGAAUACUAAAUAGGAGAUAAAGUAAUCUAAAGAAGAUUAGAUUCAAGAGACCUUUGAUCUUUAACUAUAGUAUCCCAAAAUUUUCCUAAUCAUAGGGUUAUCAAAUGGGCAUUCAUAAACCAUCAAGAUUACCACAUAUUAUGUAUGCUUCAUAAAUAGGAUGGUUAGUCUCAAACCAUAUGUGUAGUUGACACUAAUACAAGUAUGUGGGUGCUCAUUAUUGAAUGAGUACAUUGAACGCGAUCAAUCGUAGUUAUCAUAUGGAGUAUUUAUCUUCAUGUCAAACGAGAACUCAUAAUUGCAAUAAUGCAAAUUAGUCCUUAAACAUAAGGCAUCAUGGUUGUCCUGUGAUGCUUUAUUGAUCUUUGAUAGCUCUCAAAGGCAAGCCGUAAAAUAUUUGUCUUAAGUGUUGGGGUCUCUUAAUUCAUCAUAGGGGCAUGUGAAUGUACAAUAAGGAAUCUCUACCUUCGAUAAAGAAAGAGAAUGUUUCGAGAUGCGAUUCAGCAAAUCUUUGCCCAAAGAAUUUUGAGAUUGAUUUAGAAUGUGAUUCUUAAUCAUCUUCUUUUGAAUCACAUGAGUUUAUAAAUCAUAUUAGGGGUUUGACAUAAUCAAUUUGUAUCCUAAUAAUAUGAUUUGAAAUUUUGUAUAAGAGAAGGAUCUUAUUGCAUUGCAAUUCCAAUUGAAUAGCUUCUUCAUCUAUUCUAGUUAGCUUGGGUAGCCUUAAUAUAUUCCUAGAUGUCACUCUUGGCUCGUGAAAGUCUUAGGAUUGAUUGUGAUCGAUCCAUAUAAAGGAAAAAUUAAAAAGGGGUUCUAAUUCCAGUUGAUUAGAAAAAGUUCUAAUAUUUUCCCACUGCCUUGCUAAUUAUAACCUAAUGGAUCGCACGUCUUAAAUGGUUAACUUUGAGUAAUACAAAUGAGAAUGAGGAAAUCAAUUUGAUUGAUUUGAUGUGAAUGAUUUAUUACGUGUAAAAACGCAUUUGGGCCUUGGUAAUAGUUAAAGGGAAUCUCAAAUAGUUGGGUAUCAAGCCUAAGGGAUUAAGAUACCUAAAUAAUAUGAUUUAAGUGUCACAAGGCCCAAAAUUAGAAUCUCAUUGGGGUUUGGCCAAAAGUCUUAAGUAAAUGUGUAUGGGAAUUGUUUCCAUAAGCUUAUUGACAUACAAACACAAUCUAACAUCAACCAAAUAGGUUUGGGAGAUCAAAGAGAGAUAAAAGAGAGUUUUCAAAAGUGAAACACUUUAAUCUUUCAUAGGGUUUAGAUUGAAACCAAUCUUGAGAAUGUUGCACUAGCAUCCUUGUAUUCUCAAGAUACUACCUCUCAUCUCAAGGUUCCAUUGGUGUGGAGACUUAAAAGCCAUAUACUUUUGUGGCUCACAUGGAGAAGAAAGAUCAAGGAGCAAAGAUCAAAGAUCAAAGAGGAUAUCAACAAAGAGGAAAUCAUCAAGAGAAGACCAAACACAAAUUGGUUCAAAUAAUUGCUUCAAAAGUAAUUAGAUCUUAUCAUUUUCUCUUGAAUUUUCAUUUAUUAUAAACAUAAUAUCAAUGUUCAUGACUUAAGAUACUUGGAAGAAAUAUUUUAAAAUCCCUUCAACAUUGGUAGAAAAUAUGAUUAUAACAGGAAUCCUAAACCAUGUUAGGAAUUGAAAAUAGGAAUUUAAAACCAAGAAGGAAACUAAACAUAAAACAAAUCAUUUUUCUAGUUGAAUUGUAUCUUCACAACUCAACAUUCAUUUGGGGCCAACAUGUAAUAUCUUAUCAGUUAAAUUCCCUAAUGAUAUAAAAUAGGAAAACUUAGAAGUAGCCUCCCAAUAACUUUAAUCUUAUACAAAAGAGUCUCUUGAGAAGAGAAGAACAGCACUCUGAAGUACCUUGCAGUAUAACGCUAUCUUAUAUAAAAGUCUCAUGAGAAGAAAAACUGUCUAUGUAUAAAAUAUGACGUUUCUUAGCUUCCUUUUAAGUCUUCAAUCUCAUUAAAGAAGUGGGCAAGCUAUGCACUUAGAUAUUCCAAGAGCAGCUCAAAUCGACGGCAAUUGGAUAGUCAACCCUUUCAUCUAUGAGCCUUAAAUUGGUAUAUGCCAAGAGCAUAUUGGACAAGUCCAUCGUUGGACAUGUGAUGCGAAACAAAACCAUGUUUGUGAAUUAUUGCGGAUUUCCCUUGAAUAUGAUCAACUGCGAUUGACUGGUUGUAUAUUUUAUAAGGCUCUAAAAUGGAUACAUAACAUGUGAAAAUUAUUCUAUAGCAAAAGAGAAAUUAAAUAAAUGACUAAAUUUCAAUACAUAUCUGAUCAUAGAACCAACCCUGGUAACCUUCUAAGCACGCUGUGCUUUUUAUUGCGCUAGCUUUUUAUUUUAUUUAUUCAAUCGACUACACAACAUGAGGUAGUCCUCUAUCGAUACAAGCGAUAUUGAAGGGAGGGGAAUCAAACCCAGGAAGUAGUCCUAUUGGCCUUUAUUUUUUAUUUUCAGGCUGCACUGCUUAGUCAUUCU